UUUUUUUUUCUUUUUUUUUUUUAUAUUUUAAUAUACUAUAUUUAGAAUGAAAGGUUAUGUAAACUAUCAUUCAAAUUAAUCAUAUAUUCACUUUAAAAAUAAAUGACAAUUCAAGAGAUACAAAAUGUAAAAUGUUAGAGCUUUGUAACUUAGGAACCCUAUUGUAUUCAAAUUCUAAACUUUCACACUUGCAUGCAACUUUUAAUGGAUGUAAAUAUUAGUGUAAAACUAGAGAGAAAUUAUACUGAAAUAAUUUGAUCGUCUUUCUUCUUGUGAUUUUUUUUCUCUUCUUUUUCUCUUCUCGUGUAGCUUUUCUUUUAUUCUUUUUUCCAAACUGUUAUUUAGUUAUUUCAAAUAUAAAAGACCAGGAAAGAAAAUUGUUGGAAUAUUGAAUAUUUAAAUCUAAACGAUUGUGUACAAAGAAUCUUAAAAAAUUAUCUAGAUUUCGACAGGCAAGUUUAAACUAUCAAUUCUAAAUGAUAUAUCGUGUACCAAAUCUAAAUGAUCAAUUUCCAAAUAUAAAUGAUCGUGUACUAAAAAAUCUUGAAGUAAAAUAUAUUUAAGAUUUGGGUAGCCAAAUUUAAACGAUCAAAUCUAAACGUUGUGUUCCAAAUAUAAAUUAUAGUUUUUCAAAUAUAAACGAUUGUGUACAAAAAAAUCGUUUGAUUUGGCUAUCCAAAUUUAAAUAAUCGUGUACCAGGAAAUAUUUUUAAAAAAUCGUUUAAAUUUAGCUCCAAAUCUAAACGAUUAUGUAUGAAAAAAUAAACAAAUUAUCUAAACGAUCGUUUCCCAAAUAUAUUACACAUGCUGGAUGCCAAUUAAUCUUGAAGCAUUUUUGGUAUUUUUCAUUGUGGGUCUUUGAGCUUUUUCCACUCUUGAAAUUGUUCUACAUCGUGUAAAUAUUUUACUGCUUUGUUAUAUUUUUAAAAAGGUGCCUAGAUUUUAAGGUAGCUUUUAAAAUGUGUUAUACUUCUUGUUCUUAAGUUUAAUGUUUGAUUUCAAUUCAACCUAUAGCUUUUACAAUAUUGCAAAACUAGAGAAUUUAUGGCUCUUAACAUUAAAAGUAGAAAUUAUUUGUCAUGGUCGAUUCUUGAUGCUGAGAUGCAUCUUGACGCCAUGAAUCUUGAAGAUUCACAAUUAAAAAGGAUGCAUUUGAAACUAUAAGAUUUUAAAUUAGUAGGUGAUUACAAUUCUAAAUUAUUAUUUAGAUUUAGUUCGAAAUUGUUGUUACGUGGAGGCAAAAUUAUACUGAUGCAUAUAUAAUUGAGGAGACAUUUUCUACUUUUUAUAUCUUGAAUAUGAUCUUGGUGUCAGUAAAUUUCUCUUAUUAAUUCCAACCCAACCAUUUUUACAACAGAACAAUACAUGAUACGAAUUUUCUCAACACAAAUUAAACAAAGAAAUGUUGAAAGUCUUCAAAGUCUUUAGCCUCUAACGAUUGUUUAGGUUCCCAGUCUGAUCGCGUAGCUCCUUGACCGAUCACUUAGCCCUGAUUGCUUACUCUUUCAAACACGAUCGCUUAACUACCUCAAUGAUCGCUUACCUCAUACGACCUGAGGAGGAAAAACUUAAAACGUAAGUCAAAAGACUUAGUGAGUAAUGCUUUUGAAAACCUUGAGAAUAUAGUUCAUAAACGUUGAAACACAGGCUCACUGUCUAAAUUCAGCAACACAUUUUAAAUCAUAAAUACACAUUAUUUUUUCACUUAUUCCUUUUAUAGACACGAACCGUUCUUAUGCAUUAACUACUGUCGUGUUCUUUUCAUCAACAACAUCAUUGAGACUUUUCGGUUCAUUCCUCGUUGCUUAGGCUUCUUGGCGCAAAACACAUCUUUUAUGCAUUGUCCCACCUCAUUCCACUAUGCAGGCCUUCUCUCCAUGGUUGCCUUUACUCAUUAUGUGCACAUAACAACUAGCUCAUUGAUGGAAAAAAGGACUAAUGGUUUGAACACAAUUUCACAUUCAUUUGAAACACAUAAAACAUAACAUGAGCUUUCAUUUAAAAUCUCUUUGCGAACAUUCAUGUAUGAAAUAUCAAUACAAAUCAAUAUAAGAAAGAAUAAAACUUUGAAAAUCUGUAAACAUUUUGGAAAAUCACUCAUAGUACUAAGUUCUUCUUUGUUCAGAACUCUUCUUCGAUCUUCUUCUCAAUUAUCAACCUCUAGCAUUUCUCUUUCUAAAAUCUUGUAAUCAUCCUCUCCUUUGGUCUUCUUCCCUUACUUAUAUUAACCCUAAGUUGGAUUAGUCAUUCUUUAAACUCUUAUAAUUUUUCCAGCUUCUGCUUAGUUAAGUUUUAAGCCUUCGCAUGCCAUGACAUCUGAAAACCACCCAUCCGAUUUAGUAAUUAUAAUCCAUAAUUUGACAUUCAUAACCCCAAGGACUUCUUCAACCUUCCUACACGAUUGUUUAGAUUUCUACACGAUCAUUUAACCUUUUACACGAUCUUAAAUUUUCUUGUAUGACCAUUUAGACUCCAACCACAUGAUCGUUUGAUCUUUUAUCCGAUCAUAUAGCUUGUCUUACAUGAUCGUUUACUUUCUUAUACGAUUGUGUAACCAAAUUACCUUUUAUUCAGGAAUGGGUCUCACACCUGUAAUAGUAAUAUCGAGAGAAAAGUUUUAAAAAAAUUAUGAACUCAUCUAAUGUCUUUUUUUGUUGAUGAACAAAAUAACGAGUUGUUGAUGAAAAACCAUGAAUCUUGACCAACUGGAACUUCAAUACUCAUUUUCUAAAGCAAAUUUUUUAAUUUUUGAUUAUAGUUGGGGUCGUGGUUAUGGUCAAGGUGGACAUGGCAGAGAAAGAAAUAAUAAUUGUUUUCAUGGUGGUUGUUUUAAUCAUCUAAAAUUCAAAAGAGCCACACAGACGAUGAUCAUAAAGAGGAGACUCCACAAAAUAAAGGUUCAAAUGUAGAGGCUCAUCGUGCUUAUCAAGAUAAUGAUAUAUUUAAUCCAUCCAACCUCACUAAUUUGGAUGUGAUAGAUUUAUUUGAAACUUCUAAAGAGAAAAUUAGCACUGCGGAUGAAACAAAUAAGUGUUUCUUUUGACUUUGAGAAUAUCUAGAAUAAUGUUAUUAUUUUUGUUAUCUAUCUUCAAUUUUUUUUGUUAAUGUUGAAAUUAUAUCACUACAAGAAAUUGGGAAUUCCCGACGCAGUGGCACACGUCGGAACACAGUGUGUCGAUAGGCACGUCGGCAAACCUGGGGAAUUUUCGACGCCCUUGUGUCAAUGUUGGAAGAGUGGUGCACAAUUAAAUGUGUCGUUUGGGCUUCCAUCGACGUCAUACGUACACGUCGGGCAUUGUGGGGAAUGCCCGACGUGCCACUAAACGCAUUAGUAAUUUCGAACCCAAUUCCCAACUACUCUGUGUCAACAUCGGGAAAUGGUGAACAAUUGGAUGUGACGUUUGGGCUUCCACCGACGCUUCGAAAAGUGUUGAAAAUUCCUCAACCAAUAUCCGACGAGCCUGACACAACGUGUUGGUUUUCAAGACGCGGGAGUUUCAAUAUUUGGACCAUGGGAUCAGAGCUUAAGUCUUCAGAGUUUUGGUAUGUGUUUUGAUCUUCUAAUCAACUUUAGACCGUCAAUUUUCACAACUCGAGAGCCAAGCUUUAAACCUUCAAUCUUCAAAACAUGAGACAAGUUAUAUUCUUUAGACUUUCAAACCUUCUUUCUUUAGAUAUUUAGAGGGCUUUAAAGUUUCGGUCUUCACGAUUUGAGAAGAACUAUAUUAUAUUCUUCAAAUCUUUGAUGAAGGGGUCAAACCUCUAUUUGUAGAGGUUUCUCAUGGACUUUAAAUGCGCGUGGACUCAAUUGCUUGUUGGGAUUGGGAUUGACUCAACAUAUCUUCUUUGACCCAAAAUUCCAUUGUGAACUGGAAUUGGGUCAAACUUGAGAAAUUUUAAUUACUCGACUCCAUCCAAUUUAUAAUUUCUACUAUAAACUUUGCUUUCGUUUUUUUGUUAUGUGACAAAAAUUCCAAAAUUUAUCAUCAACAGACUUUGAGGUAUCUAUACUUUGAAGUAUGUACAAUGUAAAUCUCUCUAUUUUUAAUAAAUCUUAAGUAUAAAUUUAGUCCACCAUUUUUUUUAAAAAGAAUUGGUGAAAUAAUAACAAUAAUACAUUGAUGCAAUCGAAAUAAAAUAUAUGAAUAUAUUUUCAAAAAUUUUAAUAAAAAUUUUAAUCAAUACCAAUUGUUUUAAUUCAACAAUAAAUGAACACUUAAACUAAAUUUAACAUUUAUUGAAAGUAUAGUAUUACUUUCGUAUUCUAGAUAUCAACAUGAAGAAUGAAUUGAUAUACCCAUUAUAUCGAAGAAGAAAACCAUGAAACAUAAAAAAAUAAACAACAAAAUGUUCCUAUAGAAUAUAAAUAAUAUACAUUUGAAUUUAAUUUAAAAUUCAUGAAAUAUUAUUUACUAAUACAAAUUUAUUUUUAUAACUUAUUUUCAUAAAUAACACUCAUAUUUUAUCAACAUUUUAAUAAUAUUAAGACUUAGGAGCCAUUUGGGAUGAGGGUUAUGCAAGAUUAUAAUAAUCAUCUCUGGCUACAAUUAAUAUUGUUUAAAAGUUCUCAAGAGCUAUAGUAAACAUUAUUUCAAAACCAUUCAUUUGCUACAAUAUUUACUAUUUGCUACACGUCUUCAUAAUUUUUGUAUUCUUUGCUACAUAGUUUACUAUUUUAUUCUCAAACUAAAAUAAUUCAUAUCACUCACAUACGAUGAUAAUCAAAACUAAAGUAUGAUCUAUACUUUAAAUACAAGCUAUUAUAACUCAACUAUAACAAUCUACUAGGACUAUAAUCUGAUUACCUCAAACAUUUCUUAGAUAUUUUAAACUAGAGAGUCCAAAAAAUAUUUUUAAAAAAAUAAUAAUACGAAUGUAUAGAAGAGUACAAUUAUGUACAAGUGAGAUUGUGACAAGAUUUUUAGAAAGAAAAAGAAAAAGGUAAUAAAAAAAGAAUAGAAAGAAAAGAAAAAGAAAAAGUUGGCGAUGACAUUAAUGGCUGCUGGUGAUACUCUGAAAACUACAAAACCACUUUUUAGUGUUUCUUGAAAUUCAUUCACAAACCAAAAUUCAUCCUUUCUCUCAAUUCUCCUUCUCUGCAAAUUUCCAAAUAAAUAACAUUUCAUAGAUCCAUGUUGCUUCAUCAGUAAACCUUAGAUCAAAUUUAGAUUAUUUUUAUAGAAAAAUUAAUUUAGGGUUUUUGUUCCUCUCCGCCGGAGAUUCACCAGCUGUGGCUGCCGCACGCCGUCUUCCUUCCGAUUCCGGUGCCUUCGCCGACUGGGUGGCUCCUCCCUCUGCCAUCGUCGCCGAUGAACUCUCCCUCGGUUUCAAUUCCGCCUCCACCAUUCCACCACCUCGGAUGUGGCCCUCAUCCAGACCCCUCACCAUCGGUUAUAACCACACGCCGGCGCCGACGCCGGACAUGGUGGGUCUCAUGGCCUCAGGCUUCGGAGUUGGCGUUAGCGUUUUGCCUCUGCUUUCAGGCCUCGCGCCGUCAAGUGUAGGAAUUGAAGAAGCUAAUUUAAUGAUCAGCCGUGGUGGUGGCGGCGACGACGGUGGCGGCGGAAUUCAAUUCAAUGGGAAUAAUUUAGAUGGGUUUGGGAUUUUGGGAGGUGGGUCGAGUUUGAAUUCCGGGGUCGGAACUUGCCAUGAUUGUGGGAACCAAGCCAAGAAAGAUUGUAGUCACCGGCGGUGCAGAAGCUGCUGUAAAAGCCGUGGGUUUGAUUGUUCAACUCACGUGAAAAGCACGUGGGUGCCAGCAGCUCGAAGGAGAGAACGUCAGAUGAUGGGCGCAGCGUCGGAUGCAGCGGCCGGUGGGACCUCGUCGGGGUCUACGUCCGGCGGGAAGAAGCCGAGGUUGAUUGCUUCACAGACGACUACUAAUUCUCAUACUUCCACUUCAAAUACUCCAACACCAAGCUUUGACGCUUCCUCAGGUCAUUUUCUUCUUUUCUCUCUCUCUCUUUCCCUCUUAUUUUAUUUUAAUAUUUCAUCUAAAAUAAAAACAAAAAAACUAUUUAAGAUGUUUAAAAUAUUAACAAAUAAAUUAUAAAAUCUAAGAAAUGAUACAAGUUUAUCAAUAUCUAUUGUUAUUAAUAUAAUUUGAAUUGCUAUUAUUUUGGUAUAUUUUGUUUUGAAAAUAGUCCAAAAGAACCAUGGAUUUUGAGUUGCAUCCAUUUUUUUUACUUCAAUUACACUAUCUAUAAAGUUAAAAAAUGUUAUUUAUAAAAGAAAAAUUGACAAAUAAAAAAUGAGUUAGCACAAAAAUGAAUGAAAUUCACCUGAUUUGAAAUAAAGUCACAUGUAGAUAGGCUAAAUUGUCUAAAAAGAUUUAGUGUAUUUUUUUAGUUUGUAGAAGACUAGAACUUUGUUUGAAAUUUUAUACAUAGCGGAUAAUAAAGUAAGCAAAUUUCUAUGUGAAAUGGUAUUUAUUAGUUUUUUUUUCUCCAAAAAUAAAGUAAAUUAUUUCAAGCUUAAAUAGUUAAUAAAUGGAGUUUACAUUUUGAUCUUAGUGUUUAGUUAUUUGAACUUACAUAAAAAGAAGGAAAAAAGGUUAGCACACAUAUUUUUGGUACUUUUUAUCUUUUAUCUUUCAACAAAUGAAUGAUAUAUUUUGAUUGCUUCAAGAUUUGCCAAGUGAAGCAUAGGAUGAGUAUUAAGAGGCAAAAUAAUACUAACAAAAACAACCUAAUUAGCUAUUUAUUAUUAUAUUUAAAACUUAUCAUAUACCUUAAGUAUUUCUUAAAAAGAAUAAUAGAUACAAAUAUAUGAUACUUAAGCUAUAUUCUAUUUGAUUUUAAUUCAUAUAUUUGUUUUUCAAAUUAUGUAAAUAAUCAGUUUGAUAUUGUUUUAGAGUUUAGGACGAAUUUCGUCUGAGGGGGAAAUGUUCAAUUCCCACCACUAUUAUAUGUAGUAAAAAAAAAGCAUAACAAAAUAUAUUUUUGAAUUUUAUAUUUAAUGAAUUUAAUUUUAGAUUUUAAAACAGUCAAUUUGUUUUUAAAAAAAUCUAAACAUUCAUAAAAUUUUGUAAUUUUUUUUAAUAUAAAAUGAUUAGGAAGAACUUUGCAGAACCAAACUUAUAAAUAAACUUUUAUUCUUUCAAUUUAUGCUAAAGAAGAAGAGGAUGGAAAAUAUAUAUUGUUUUUGUUGUUUUGUGUUAACUUUAAGCAACAAUGCAGCCGCUGAUAUGAGUAGUAAAAAGGCAAAAAAGCUGCCGGAACAAAUCCGAGCGCCUGCGGUGUUCAAAUGCGUGCGGGUAACAGCAGUGGAGGGUGGCACUAGCGGCGGAGGGAAUGAAUAUGCAUAUCAAGCCGUCGUUAAGAUCGGCGGCCAUGUUUUUAAAGGUUAUUUGUACGACCAUGGAGUAGAAGCUAGAGAUGGGUUUCCGAUGAUGUCGAAUUUGCAUCUUGGAGAUGGCGGUUCAACUUCGUCACCGGUCAUUGAUCCUGCUGAUGUUUACGGCAGCUCCACCACCCGCGGUGGGGGACUGGCUGGAGGCUCCGGCUAUGGUAAUUCCAUAAAUUGAUCCAUAUUGUUUAAACAUUUUAAUUUCAAUGCUGGGUUUAUAGCUUUUGAAUUUGUUUAGUGGAAAAAUAAGGGAUAGGAAGAGGAGCCCUUACUUUAUGCAUGCUUUACUUUUAUUUGUAUAUUUAUAUUGCUUACAAAUAUAAAUAUAUUCUAUUAAUAUUUCAUUUUGAAGGAUUAAAGUAAAUUUAUUUUAGUUUUAAAAUUUUAAAAAAAUCUAUGGUUUAGGUCAACAUCAAUAAUAUUUAUGGUAUGAAUUUUUAAAUAUAAAGAUUUUAACUCUUCUCGACAAUAAAAGAGGUGAUACAUCUCAAUUACUGUUGAUAUAUGUUUGACCUCUAUCAAUUUACAUCAAAAUUUACAUCAAAAUAUGUAUAACAUGUGUGUUUAAAAAGAAAAUUUCCGGUUACUUGUGAAGCACCGAUGAGUUUCCGUCUACACAUAAAGAUGUAAGCAAUAAUAAUUGCAAAAUUAAAAAUGAAACAAUUUUAUAGAUUGAGUUUCCACAAUAAUAACCCUAUAAGAUACCUAUAUUAGUAUUGGUAAUUGCAAAAUUUUACCUUAAAGAUUUUGGUUCUUUUCAAAAUGUAAAAUCCAACCAAAAUCAAGACGAAACAAAAGACAUAAAAUUUUGCGUUUGAGUGACAAAAGAGAUGCUUAAAGCUUGCAGUAGUGUAGAGCAAACUAAGAGAUGAAUGAGUAAACCGCGGAGGUACAAUGGUGAUUGAAGCUGCGGGGGCGGUUGAAGGCAUAGUGGGCGAGGGGAGAGGCAUGGGAACGGCCACGGAGGAGAUGAGUUCAUGAGAGUGGGAGUGAUGAGAGAGGAGAGAUAGAGUGAAGGAAGGCUUUUUAGAACACAGAGGAAAUACAAGAGAGAAAUCUGGGGAAUAAUGAAUAUGAGUUUUAGAAAGUGCGGGUAAAAGUAAUGAAGAAUAAAAGUGGGGAGAAAAGUAAAAUGUGGAGUUAAAAAAUGAGGUCACCUCCAGGAUGUUGACAAAUAUUAUAAACUAUUUAUCCACACACGAUAGGGGAACAAACAAAUAAAAUAAACGUCGACAGACCAACCUAAAACUUUUGUAUUAAGAUCGCACAAUCUUUUGCCUACAUAAAUAUUUUGUUGGCCGAAAUGAGAAUGUGUUCACGUAAUAAAAAUGUCUUGGCACAAUAUAUAUCUUUUCUAACAAUUUUUUAUGUUGGCAAAGUCCAAAAUUUUUACGUCUUCAAUCUUAUAUAAAAUUGAAACAAUUUCUAGAAUAGUUAAUCAUAACGUGGGCAUGCAUUUGAUCUCUAAAAAAUAAUACACUUCAUUUUUCUACUAUCCAAUAACUUGACACUUGCAUUCAAGCUUACUCAAAUAUUUUGGCAUUAAGUUUUUGGCAUCAUUAUCGAAUCAAAAUAAAAUACAUCUUAAAUUAAAAUUUAUGGUUUAGGGUUUAGAGGUUCAAUAGACCUAAACUUUAGCCUUUUGUCCCGAAGUUGAAAAAACGUUUUAGGCAAAAUUCAUUUUUAAAAUUAAGAAAAGAAGGGAAAAGUAAAGGUAGUAUGGAAUUCAAGUGACAAAUAAAAGGUUUUCAAGGAUAUGUUUGAUUUUCUUAAUUUACUUUGAACCAUGCAAUGAUUUAUAUGAAUUAUUGUGUGAAUGACAUGACUGGUUUGAUAAUUAUAUAAUAUUAUAUUUUCUUUAUAGAUUCAAUUAAACAUACAAUUUUCUAUUUGAAUAUUUAAUUUAUGACCAACACCAAUCAAUGUGAUAAGUACAAUAAUAUUAGAAACCAUUCAAAUUCGUAAUCCAUAGAAUUUAGUAAACAUUAACUUAAAUAAUCCAUAAAGAAGUUCAUUAAUACCUUUUGGUUAAUUAGCCACUUAGUCUUACCUUACAAACAUAGUUUUAUACAUUGUUAUAUUACUCAUGACUCAUGAAGUAAUACAUUUUAUUAGUACUCAUGACUCAUGAAGUAGUAAAGAAAGUAAAGAGAAGAAAAGGGAAACACUUGCAAUCAUUGUAAAUCCAGUUGAUGGAACACAUCAAAACCCCCUUGAAUUGAACCUCGAAACUUUGAACGACCCCCAAAUGAAUGUCUCACUUUCUCUUCUUUAUUUUGUGGCUCAAAAAGUGCACAAAGACCUUAUAUUUCAUGUGUCAACACCCCUUCAACCGCCAAAAAAAAUCUUAAUACAAAUAGCCAAAACCUUUUUCAAAAUUGUAACUCUUUCCUAAACUAACCGAGCCCACCACAUCAAGUUAUAAUAUGGUAAAACAACUUGUAAAGGCCAAAAAUAUCAUCCUCAAUGAUCAAUAUAUGGGUUUUGUUACGGGGUCUCGCAAAAAUAUAAAUUUUAUUUAUGAUAAUAAGAUUCAUGUCAAUCCAUUUUCUUUCUAAGUUGUAAAAGUAGCAAAUUUAAAAAUUGAUAACUCUACGAUUAUCGUUUGAUAUCCUUCAAAUAGGCCUAUGACUACUUUCUGAUAUUACUAAUUUUGUCAUCGUCGCAAUAUGAAAAAAGAAAAAAAGAUGUCAUGAACUGUUUUUUUCUAAAAAAAAUUGAUGCAAUUUCUCUUUUGUUUAACUAGUUUAGAGUUUUUUUCUUUAAUGAUGUAUUAAAAAGUAUUGAAAAAAAAUGAGGUGGACGAAAAACUAAUGUAAUAAAUAGAGUAGCGAAGUUCUGUACAGAGUACAUGGUUUUGUUAAAUCGUAGAUUGAGUAAAUGUCUAGUUGGAUUGAUAUGACAACUCUAGAGAGAGUGAGUGAAUAAGGUUUAAUUAAACCUUUUACCAAAUAAGCUUAAAUUAAACUAUUUUGAUAACUUUUAAAUUACAUACAAAACAUUAGCUAAAUUAUGUUAAAUAACAAGUUUGAUAAAAAAAAAAAAAGAAUAUGGAGUCAAACUUAUCCAACGAGAAUAUGUAACUAAAAUUAAAUACAAAAGUAAUUAGAAAAGAGUUAAACAAGAAGACACACUUAAUUUAUAGUGAUUCGGUCAAACUCGAUCUACAUCCACUUUUUCAAGCACCUCUUUGAGAUUUUGAUUGAAAAUCUUAUGGACUCUUUCCAUGGAUUAGAGCCGAAUCGCUACUUGCUCCUUUUUCAUGUUAAAAAAUAAACUGAAUCAUUUCCACGGGUUAGAACCCAACCGCUACAAUAUGUUGAGGGUUUAAAUUACACCAAAGAAAACUCUAUAAAAGAUAAAAGAGUGAGUAUAUAAUUUAAAACUCUCAAUAUUUAAUUCUGAUCACAAUACAAUAAUAAUUUUCUGAAGGACAAGAUGAAAAGAAUAAAAAUUGAAAGCUUUAGAGAAUAACAAUUGUGACUUUUGCACUUUCUUUACUAUUGUAAAGUUGAAUAAAGUUAUUAAAAAUUAGGGAGAAAAUGAAGUUAUUUAAAAAGAGAGGAAUGAUAUUGAAAUUUAAAAUCGUUUUGGGUCAUUGGACAUAACUAAAAGAAAAUUUAAUGGUUGAGAUUUAAAUUGUUAAAAGUUCAAAUAAAACAACUUUCCUCGCUCUUUUUUAAAACUAGUCAGUCAAAUACAAAGAUAAAUAAUAAUAUUAAAUUCAUUUUCUUUUUAAAAGUCAAUAUAGAACAAAAGCAAAAGUCAUAUAUGUUACUUCUCCAUUUUUUCAAGCGAUUUUCUCUAAUUGGUUCAAAUUGAUUAUUUCGCCAUCAUGUCACCAUCUCGGGUAUUUUUCUGUUAAGCUUCUUUUAGCAAUAUUUUCUUCGUUUGAAUUUUGAUUUGGGUGAUUCAAGAGGCGUCAGAUUUAUUGUUCUAAGCUCUACAUUAUGGACUAUUCAAAAUAAUAAAAUUUUCAACAAAAAUAUAGAUUUGUUGUCAUCAAAAUAUUAAUUAAUUAAUUAAAAUUAAUUAACUGAGAUUAAGGGCAAAAAAUCUGACAGUCUACGUGCCGAAAUCUGAUUGGAGUUGUGGAUUCAGUCCACAACUUGUGACUGGAGUCGUAUACCCGGUACACGACUUCAGUCAUGUGUAUGCUUUGUAGCAGUCAACUUGUCGGCUGUAGUGUUACUGCUACACUUAUUCGGCAUGCACGAAGUCAUAUACAGAGUGCACGACUUCGUUAAUUCAAAACCUAGUCGUUGAGCUUCUUCUUUCCAUCUUGCCUUCUGCCUUUCAUUUUUCCUUCUUUCUUCGAUCUUCACGAAAAUCUUCAACCCUUUAUAAAAGUUUAGCAAUCUUUUCAUCCUUCACGAAAAAUCAACAACCAAGAGCCUCUCUCACAGUUGGGCUUCAUGAAAAAAGUCAUCCUUCCCUCUCGUUUUGCAUUCUGAUUUUGUCAUCAAAAGGUAUGUUUACUUUUUAUUAUUAUUUAACUAAGUCAUAGACCGGAUACACAAUUUUGUUGUAAAAAUAAUUUCAUUUAGGUAUGUUAUUUAAUUUUGUUGUAAAAAUUAUUUUUAUUCAGGUUUGUUGUUUGAUUUUAGUCAUAUUGUUUGAUUUUAGGGGUAAAAAUUAGAGAAGUUUGCAAAAGUAGCAAAAAAGUUUAUGAUAAUAGAGCUCAUGUCACUUACAUUUUUAAAAUUGCAAAAAUAGCAAAUUUAAAAGCAGAGGUUAUCGUUUGAUUACUGUCAUAUUCACCAAAUUUGCAAUAUGAAAAAAAAAAAUGUAUUAUGAGUUGUUUUUUUCUAAAUUUUUUUGUCAUCUAAUGCAAUUUCUCUAAAAUUUACUUGAUUUAAUUAUAAAAAUUAUUUGAAUUUAGAUUUGUUAGUUGAUUUGAGUUAUAUUAUUUGAUUUUAGGAUGAAAAUUACUUACUUUGUUGUAAAAAGUAUUUGAAUUUAGGUUUGUUAUUUGACUUUAGUUAUAUUGGUGAGUGAUAUUUGAAAUUAUUUGAUCUUGGAAAAUUAUUUAAUUUGAAGCCUAUUAUUUGAUUUUAGGUUUGUUAUUUGAAUUUAGAAAAAUUAUUUGGUUUUAGAAAAAUCAUUUGGUCCUAGGGAUUUUAUUAAUUUUUGUGAAAUUAUUUGAUUUUAGGAAAAUUUUAGUUAGUUUAUUUUAUUUGGUAAAAUUAUUUUAUUUUAGGAAAAUUAUUUGAUUGAGGGAGAAUUUUUAUUUUGGCUAUGUUAUUUGAAUUUUUAUUUUAGGGAAAUAAUAAUUUGGGGAGUUUAAAGCGUAAUUAUUUGAUUUUUAGGUAUGUUAUUUGAAAAUGUUUUAAUUUAGGUACUUUCAAUUGAGUUAUUUGAAUUUUGAUUUUAGGAAGUUUAAAAGUAAUUAUUUGAUUUUAGGUAUGUUAUUUGAAAAUGUUUUAUUUUAGAUACUUUGAAUUUUGAGGAUUAGACUUAAAUCCAUACUAUUGUAUUGCAUAAUUAUUUAAUUUUAUGCUUUUGAAUUUUGUUUAUCAAGGUGGACAUGUAAUAUUUUGAAUUCAUCAGUAUGUUAUUAACUUCAAUAAUUUUUUAUAAUAGUUUGCAUCAUGAAACCUGGUCCUGUUGAUCUACCCAGCUAUGUCUAUAGUCCCUCAUCCCUCAUUGUAUGUAUGUGAUAUCUCUUUGACAGUGGUUUUGAGUUUUCGAAAGAGAAAGACAACGUCUCAGUGCACGAUCCCCUUCAAUAAUCAGCGUAUUGUGUCAUACUUAGAGGCUGCUGAACUUUUUGGAGUUUUCCAUAUAGGAUUCGUGUAGUUGGAUUGGCACUUGAUUACUUCUUUGGUCGAGCAUUGGAGACCAGAGACCAACACAUUUCAUUUGUCUUGUGGGGAAUGCACGAUUACAUUAUAGGAUGUUGUGAUCCAGUAGUUGAGGUUAUCAGUGGAUGGUGAGCCUGUUGUAGAAUUGUUAACGUAUAACUGGAAGCAAGUUUAUGAAGAUUUCUUAGGAGCUUUACCACCUGACAUGAAAGGUCAAUGGUUGAGUCUUCUAUGGUUGACAAAACAAUUCAUAAAAUUGCCACCAGAUGCUGAUGUUGUGAACGUUUAGAGAUAAACUCGUGCAUACAUUAUGCAUCUCAUUGGAGGCUUUCUGUUUGCUGACAAAUUAAAUACUCUAGUCCACUAUAUGUUUCUUCCACUUUUAAGCGAUUUUGACUAGGUUGGUAUGUAUGUUUGGGGUGUUGCUUGUCUUGCAUGGUUGUAUAGGCAAUUAUGUUGAGCCAAUAAUGCACAGCCUUUAGAAAUUGUUGGCCCAUUAAUGUUGCUACAAAUAUGAGUAUAUGACAUAUUUCCUAUUGUGGCAUACAAGUAGCACUAUAGACUCUAGUUGGUCGGCUUUUGAGUUUUCGGUAUUAUUUUAUAUAUAUAUUGUUUUUUAAAUAAAAUUUAUAUUAUAUAUAACUUAUUGUUAAUUUCUUUCACACAUUAGAUGGAACAGUGUUCUACCUUUAUCAAAACAAUAAGCAAAUAUGUUGUUGACGUACCAAAUGAUGUUUGACCAACGACUCUUAGGUAGUAAAAAUAUUAUAUGAUUGUUGUCUCGCUAUGUUAUUUUGUUGUCUACUUAUGUUUGUUUUUUUUAACAGAAUAAUUGAACACUGCACGUCUGACAUUAUGACAUUCCUUUCUGAUCGAUGUCAUAAAUAUCAUAAUAGUCAAGUGGUGUGGACUUAUGUGGGUCAAAUGAUUUCCUUUCAUAUCGUUGAGAAGCAUAAGCCAAAUCAUGUGUUGCGACAGUUCAGUAUGCUACAAAUGUCACCAACAUUUAGCUUCACAGAUCCAACCCUGCACGAAAUUGAUUUAAGAGGCAAGCACAAUCAAGAUUGGUGUAGGAUUCAUGUAGAGCGCAUAUUGCAAUUUGACAAUCGCAAAAUAAUUUUCGUGUAGAAGAAGUAGCAACACACAAGCCAAUAGUAUCAUACAACUAUUUUCCUAGUACUCGUCAAUUACUAGAUGCUUUAUCAUACCUUAUGACACUUACUAUUAUCGCAUGGUAGAAUUUUUAAUAUGAUUUGUUUUAUAAAUUUAAUACAAGGAUGCACAUUAUUUAAUGGAAAAUUGCAUGAGAUGAUAAAAAAGUUUUUAACAAAUAGCCCAUAACACCUCUUUUUUGCAUAUUGCAAAUAUGACAAAUAUGACAAGUAAUUAACAUAUCAGAAGGCUAUCGACUUUUAAAUUUGCUACUUUUGCAAUUUAGAAAAUGUAGUGACAUGACCCUAUUAUCAUAGUUUUUUUUAUAUAUUUUUGCAAAUGCCCUUUAUUUAAUUAUAUUAUUUGUAAUGGUUCAGACUAAUUUUGUUCAAAACGUACAUGUCUACUGCAUAGAAAACAAUUUACAGGAGUUGAACUCAAUAUGUGUUCAAACCUUGGAAGAUAUAGAACAAAUUAUUAUGCAAACACAGAUCGAAGACAAUAUGUGUUCAAUGUUGCCGACACAGAUCGAAGACACAUUCGACAACCUAGAGGACGACGGCAAAGCGAUGGUAUUGUAGGUGGAAAUCAAGAAAAUGUUUAGUUUGUAAAUCAAAUUUUUAAUUCUUAUAAAUUUCAAUUUUAAAUAUAGAAUGGUAUGAAAAUGCAUUUAUUUGCACUAAAACUAUGGUUAUACUACAAACUCAAGGUAAAAAAUAAUUAAAAGCUUAAAGCCACAAAAACUUACCUAAAAAUAUACAAUAUUUUUUAACUUAAAAAAUUUAUAACAAAUCUCAUAUAAUUCACUUAAUUACUUUAAAUAGGUGGAGAUGAAAUUUUAAAUGUUUGCAUUAAAAAGGAAAAAUGUGUGGAGAAAUUUCUAAUGCACUUAAACAUAGAAAUUGAAAUUCCUCCUACAUUAUCAUUAUAAUCAUAAUAAUUUUGGGUUGGAUUAGGACAAAAAUAAGAGAUUGAUUAAUUAAGUUUUUUAAUAAAUUAAACCAUGAUAAUGACAAUAAGGGCUUGAUAGAUUAAAUUAAUUAAAUGUGUAAGUUUUCAAAAAAUAUGGUAGUUUUUUUUCUAAGAAAUUAGACCCAUAUAGUCAUAAUAAGGGCUUCAAUGUUAAAGGUUUUUUUAAUUAUAUAUAUUUGAUUAAUUACAUCUUUAAAAAAUUAAACAUAAUUCUUCCUUUUUUUUUUUUCUAAUGAGUACACGACUUCCUUAUACAAUCACGUUCCACAUAGAUUAAACUGGUCAAAAUAGUUUGAUAUGGAUUAAUGGAAGUUGUGUACGAUACAUGACUUCCUCCAUUUCAAGAAACUAUCAUAUUUUUGUCAAUAGUUUGUCCAUUUAUUUCAUUUCUAUCAUUUCUUCAUAUACUACCCUAUUUUUGUCAUUAUUUUUCAAAUACACUAUAUUUUUUAAAAUAUUCCUAGUUUAGAACCAAUGACUUUAUCUAAGAAAACAAAUUUGAAUGUUGAUCAAAUUGUUAAAGCAAAGUAAAAUAUGACAAACAAAAGUUGAGAGUGAUGGUAAAAGACAUUCUAGAGUGUUGAUUUUAUAACAAACUUCAUUAAGAUUUCUAAUAAAUUCAAGUCUAGGAGAUUGAAAACUGUUUUUCGUGUCACAUGGAAUAAUUAAAUUGAAAAAAUAUUUAUGAAUUAAUUUGCUUUUUAUAGGAGCUUUUAUAAUUAAUUAGUUUUUUAUGUGAAUAAUCCUAAAACUAUAAAUUGUUACGAAUCUAUGAUCUAACUUUUGUAAAACAAUGAGUUAAAUUCAUACACUAAAAAGUUGUAUUUAUAUUGAUUUAAGUAUAGUAGGUGUGAUUUUUAGUACACGUUCUUUUGAUACAUUUUUUUUCGAAUGGAUGAAUGAAGUUUAAACUCCUAAGUCCGCAAUCUCUAAGAUGUGUUGUGAUCAUGAGGUUGAGAUCAAAACAUUUCCAUCUUUUUUUUUUUUAUUUUCGAAUGGAUGAAUGAAGUUUAAACUCCCAAGUCCUUAAUCUCUAAGAUGUCGUGAUCAUAAGGUUGAGAUCAAAACUUUUCCAUUUUUAAAUUUAAGGAAGUAUCAGUCUUCCGAGUCUUUAGUUUUGAAAGAGUUGUAAUCUUAAGAUCGGUUAAAGCUUCAAAAAGUGUUGAAAACUUUACAACUGCAAAUCAAGAAAUCUUAAGUUUUGAGGGGUUAGCACUUUGUCUUGAAUUCUUCCCACUUCGUGAUCAAAUAAAAAAGGGUUAAGAACUUUAUUAAUAGAGUUUUACCAUGAACGUUACAUGGGUGUGGGCUAAUUUUUUUUCUUUUUUCUUUUACCCUAAGAUUCUGAUUGGGCUUACACUAAAGUCGAGCUUAAGACCAUGAGCAUUAAUUGAGCUACCACAAUUACAAAAUGGACUCUCUUAACGUUUUUUAAGAGUUAAGAGCUAUUAUACUCUUGAUAGUUUUAAAACUAUCAUUGAAGCUAGCGUCAAGAAAGUCGAAGUUCAUGACAGUUAAUAAAUGUCAAGAAUAAUAAACGUUGACAGUUUAUAAACGUCAAGUAUACAAAUGUUCAUAAGAUGUAAAAAUAGUCAAAGUAUGUUGUUGUUAACGACAUUUAAAAACGUCAAUAAUAUACUUGUUUAUAACAUUUAAAACAUGUCAAGAAUAUACUUGAUUAUGACAUUUGAAAAACAUCAAGAAUAAUACUUGUUUAACUAGGGCAUUUAAAAAACGACGUUAAGUCUGCUUCAUUUUUUUAAAAAUUGUAAUUUAGUUAUAUUUUUGUUCAUGUAUUACCUCUGUAAUCUCAUUAGUGUGGUCCAACAAUCUGUGAAGUUACAUUAUUUCAACUACCAUUCUUGUCUUCUUGCGAGCUCUCCUCGCGUGAUGUUUAAGUUUAACGCUUUGAGUUGUUAAUCACCAGACAUGAUCCAUCACAUUGUUUUUACGCAAGAUGUCAUGUGUGAACUGCUCCUUUCUUUUCUUUCCUACUUGUCCUGCAUUAUAUUUAAGCAUGAUAGCCGUGUAAAAUAGGAAGGACAUUUAUGUAAGCCAUAUUUCUAAGUAUUUAUGCCUUUACAACAUAAGUUAUGCAUUCUGAGCACCCAUUAUGCAUUUUAACCUCAUUAUUCUAAUAAAAAGGAUUAUAGUAACGAUCAUUUCCAUACAUUAUUACUUUCUUAAGUGGACUUAUGUUACAUCAGUGUACAUCGAGCUUAUGAAGAGCAAUUUAAUAUAGAAUCCUAAUCAGUGUGUACUUUUUUUUUUUUUUUUUGUAGCAAUGGUUUGUGUUGGAUUUCAUAGAUCCAACACUUACUUGAUUUGUUGAGCAUCAAGUAUUGAAUUCAAGGGGCAGAACCACCGUCAUUUUAAGAAGUUCAGUGGUUCUGAAUAGGCACGUGCCAACCUACCCCCUAGAUUGAAGAAUUGUGUGCAAGAUUGGCACUUCCUUUGCGACCACGACCUUACUCGACAGUUUCAGGUGAUUUGAAACUUUUAAUGUUCUCAAACGGUAGUUUAUUUUUGUUUUUUGUAUGUAACAUUUUGAUUGUUUGCACGUAGAAGCAAUCAACGAUGAACAGGGCUGCUGGAGCAAAGCAAUCUUACAACUAUAGUAGAGGUUCCAAGUCAUUUCAACAACAACUACACGAGCUCUCUAAACAUGGUCAUUUAGUCGACCAUGUGGAAUUGUUCAAAGAAGCACACGCUCAGGCUAGUCAGAAUGUUUUCCUGGCGGUUGUGGGUGCCCAUGUAAGUUUGUGUGAUAGUUGUCUUAUUUUGUACGUACAUUUUAAUUUACACGUUUUACUUAAUUAACAAAUUUUUUAUUGCAGAAUCAAAUGUUGGAACAUUAGUCCUAGCCCACGAUAGAGGGUUCUCCAACCACUCUCUGGGGACGAGAUAUGUGAGACUGUCUUGGGUAGACGACCAAGCUACUCAAAUGUUCUUGGUUAGGGUCCGAAGCUAAAGUCCCAAUAUGUUGUUGGUAGUUAUUCAUCUACAUCACAGGAGCGAAAGAUGCACGCUAGAAACAUUAUGGAAAUAAAAGCUCAUCUUUAGGAAGUAGUAGAAGAAAGUAAUCGAAAGCACGAAAACGUGCUCGACAGAUGGAAGAAACGAGGAAGCAGAUUGAAGAACUCACUCGGACAAUGAGAGGACCUUGAUUUCAUUGAGGUACGUAAUUUUCAACUUUUACGUUCUUUAAUUUCUUAUUGGCAAUAUAUAUUUAGACUUAAUCUCGUGUCAUUAUAGGUAUGAGGGCAUGGGAUAACUGGCAUUCGCAACGCUUAGAUAUAUGUUUUUAGUUUUUAGUUUUUAGUUUUCAUUACUCAUGUACUUUCCAAACUAGAAACGUGUACUUUUUUAAUAUUUGAAUUAAUUUUAAUAUAAAUUUGAUUUGAUAGUUUAUUAAAUUUACAUUAAAUAUUUUUAGAAUUUGGUUAUAUUUAAAUCAAAUUCGAUCCCAAUAGCAAAUAGAUAAAUAAAUAAUAUUAUAAAAAGACUUUUCUGACGCACAAAACGCAUCAAGCAUGAACACCUCUUUUGACGCAAUGUCAGUCUAAGAUAUGUCAAUGUCACAUUGGUCAUUCAUUUAAGCCACUGUACACGAUGACGUUUGCAAUACCUUAUUGUCGACACUUUGACCAAAUGUCAGUAUUACCCUAUUGUUGAUGUGUUGGACAAGUCAGCGAAGCAUGCUUCAGGCAAAAUCCUUUGUCGAUGUCUUUUGGUUUGCUCAUUGAUUUUUCCUAUCACAACACAGUAUUCAUGACACGCUCGCCGAUGUGGAUUUCUACGUCGGCAUAUACAUUCCUUACACGUUUUGUGAUUUUUGUCAAUGCAUACAUGCGUCAGCAGAGCCCCUACUUCUUGUAGUGCUCCCAAACUCCUAAAGUUGAUCACACUGGAAGACUACUUUUCUUUGAAGAUCAAACAUCCUUCCAACACUUUAACUGCAAGAACAUCAUGCAUUUCGCUUCUUUAAAUCAAGUGGAUAAAUGUAUUCAAUCGAGAGAAUCAAAUAAUCAAGUACUAGAAAUCAAACCCCAUGGUUUAGACCAAUUUCAUGAUUUUGCUUGUUUUAAAAGAAAAAAAAAUAUGCCUUUUCAUAUUUUCUAAAUUUCUAUGAUUUGAAACAAUGUAUUUCAAAAUAUAACGUACAUAUAUAUAUCAUUUUUAAUAUAUUAUUUUAAAAUAGUUCAGUUCGAUUUCAAAUUGGUUUUCAGAUUUGAAAUCUUACCAAAAUUGAUUCAUUCGUUUUGAAAAUAUAUCAAACCAAAUCAACUACAUAAAUUAAGUUUUUGUUCGGUUUAACAUUCAUUCCGCCUCUUGCGGAUUCAAUGACCACCUUCAUGUGCAAAUUAAAAUUGAAAUUAAAAACAAAAGAAAAAGAAAAAGUGAAUAGUUUUCAAAAUUUGAAAAUAAAAAUUCGAAAAUUAAGAGAAAAAAAAACGAAAUUAAACAUAUGAAGUCACUUUUUCAAAUUUGUUUUCCCUUUCAAAAUUUGAAAUACCUUGAAAUUUGGUCAUAUGCGACAAAAUAACCGAGAAAUAUUUGAGGGUUUGCCUUCUAUCUUACUCUUCCUUUUGUGAAAAGCAAGUAAAGUUCGUAAUGUCACAAUCACAAUUCACAAGUUGGCAUAACAAAAUACAUAAAGAAAACCAAACUACAAAGACAUAGAAAGAAAUAUUGUUCCAAAAAGAAAAUCACUUUCAGCCCACAAACCUAGAGCUCAGCUAUGUAUUCAAAAUUUAAUGCAAUAAAAACAACCUAUAUAUGCUUUCUUUUCUCUUUCUUCUUCAAAACAUUUUGAUAGAAUAAAAACAAACUUUGAGGUUGCUUCUUCUUCAAGUGUGUUCUUGCAUUUAAGUUUGUGACCAUACCAAACAUCAUACUAAAAAAUAAACUAGUUUAAAUAUCCUUUUAACUUUUAUACAAACUUUUCUUACCGUAUAUAUAUAUAUAUACACUUUCAAAUAUCCAAUUUUUACGUUAGAGUUUUCAAAAAAAAUUAGUAUACUUCUUGCAGCUUGCUUAUUCCUCAUUUGUUCAGUUUGUUUGUAUUAUUGUUUAUUAGCAUUUCAUUGUAAAUUUUGAAAACAUAUUUUUUCUUUUAUAUAUUAUUUUCAUAAAAUUCAAUAAAAAUUUAAUUCUUUGAGAACUGAAUUUAAUAUGAUCUAUAAAGAAAAUUGGGCCUAAAUUAGAUAUAGUUUAAAAGUGGGAAUCACCAAAAUUGAUAUCCAUAAAAAUUAUAGUUUAAUUGAAUAAAUAUUGUUCUUGUGUAUCUUCACUAACACUUUCGCUUUUCUUUUGUCCUUGAAUAUGGACUUUAUUAAACACUUUUGUGUUUCGUUUAUAUUUUAGUGAUCCAUCGAUCAUUGUGUAGUUCAAAUGUCUAGGUUUUGAAAUUCUUUUACAAAAAAAUUAAACAUAAAAGUGCAUCAAAGCGUUUGUACUAACUUGAUUGUAAUUUGGUGAUUAUUUAUAGUUAGUGGGUGUAAGAGUAAUCAUUGUAAUUUGCAAAAAUAUUUACACUCUACCCAAUAAUUUCAAAAAUGGUAAAAGUACAUACUCAAAUAAAAGUCUAGACUCAAUUUAGAUUUGGCUACGCGAUUGUUUAGAUUUGGUUAUCAAAAUCUAAACGAUCUUUUUUCAAAACAUUUUUGUACACAAUCGUUUAGAUUUUUAUACACAAUUGUUUAGAUUUGACUACCCAAAUCUAGACGAUUUUUUUUCAAGAUUAUUUGAUACGCAACCAUCUAUAUUUGGACUAACAAGCACGAUCAUUUAGAUUUGACUAUACCAUUCUAUCCAAAUCUAAACGAUUUUUUUAAAGAUUAUUUGGUAUACGAUUAUUUUUAUUUAGCUACACGACCGUUUAGAUUUAGUACAUGAUCGUUUAGCUAAUUUGGUACACGAUCAUUUGGAUAUUUGUCUACAUGAUUGUUUAGAUUUGGUACACGAUCAUUUUUAUUUGGCUACACGACUCAAAUAAAAAAUAACAAUAUUCGAACAAUUCUUUUUCGAGAUAUUUAAUAUUUGUUAUAUAUGGUACAUCAAAUCUAAACGAAUAUCCAAUUAUUUUUGUUCAAAUCGUGUAUCAAUUUAUAUUUGGUACACGAUCUUAAACAAAAUAAUACUUUAAAAAAAUACAAGAUUUAUGAUUGAUUAAAAAUAAAAUUGGUGAUUUCAGAAAAUCUAAAAGAAAAAAGAGAAGAAAUAAGAUGAAAAGUAGAAGAAAAAUUGGAGAAGAAAUAAGAUGAAAAGUAGAAGAAAAAUUGGAGAAGAAAAGAAAGAAUGAAAAGGAAGAGCAAACCUCAAACAUGAAAAAACAAAUUAAUGACCAACUUUGUGGGUCUUUUUUUUUAAUUUUGGUAUAAUGUUAAUAGAAAAAUUGUAAUUGAUGGUCAUUUUAUGAAUAAUAAUUAAGAAUAUAGCAACAUUUUAAACAAAAUUACAAAUAUAGCAAAACUAUCACCAAUAGACUUGUAUCGCUGAUAGACUCAUAUGAUUUAUCAGUGAUAGAUCAAUAUUUGCAAUAUAGUAUAGAUUUUUAUCAUUGAUAAAAUUUAUCGAAGUUUGCUAUACUUUGCAAUUUUUUUAAAAUGUUGCUAUAUACUUAAUUAUUUUUAUUGAAUAUUAAGGUGUAGGUUUUGUUUUAUGUCUAAAACAAAAAAAAAAAAGUUAUGUUUUUAUGUAAAAGCCCAUUGGGCCCAUGUUACUUUGUAUUUAGGUUUCCUUUCCUACCAUUGUAAUGUUGAGAAACCUUAAUGACCUUUCUCCAAAGCUCUUCAUCUUCUCUCUGAUUCUCUCUAUAGGGAAACCUACACAUUUUUUCUGUAAUCUUCUUCAAGAACAGGCGAGGAUGGCCAACAUUGAAGUCAUGGCGAGAGAAACUAGUCUUUCAUGGACGUCAAGAACCAACAAAGGAUGGCCAAACACUGAGGUCGUAGUGACAGAAACCAGUCUUCCAUGGACGUCGACCACUCCAACAGAGAUUUGAAGAAACUCGUCUGGGCAACAUCGUUAUGCAUUGAGUGUCACUGAUGAUGUAGCCGCUGCUUCCUAACAAGCUUCAACUGACUAUAGUUAUGCAUUAAUUGUUUGGGUAUAAUAUUUACUACAACUAAUGGAAACUUAUAAAUAGUUGUAUACUAUUAUAUAUGUUCGGUAUCUCCACCCAAAUAUGAAGUGGAAGUAAUAACCCACUCUACCAACUUUAGAUAGUGCGUGAUUAACCCCUAAUGUUACAAGCAUUUUCACCAUUGAACUAUUAUAUAUAUGAGGCACAUGUAUAUAUACACAUAUAUAUUAGCAAAAUGGUAAGGAAAAGAAUAUAGUUAUCUAAGGUUUUGAAUCAAAAAGUUCAACUACCACAUAACAGAACUUUUCUUUAACCAAGAAAUAAGAUCUGGAGAAUGACUCAAUUAAGAUCAACAAUGACAAAAGAAAGCUUCACAAUCUCAUUAACCACUCGUGUUUUUUGCACAAAUACCAAACAAUGGCUUGAAUACUUUUGAAAACAGCAACCCGAUAUAAAGGCAAAAAGCUACGUCAUAGAUUGACAUAGUUGUGUUUUUAGGCAAAAAAAUACAAAAGGAUGAUAUGAAUAUUUUUCAAAACGACCGACUCUAAAAUUGACCAAAUCAACAAAAUCUAGAGAAUCACUCAAGAUCAACGUUGACAAAACUUUUCCGAUCUCAUAUAUUUGAUACACUUGUGUUUUUGGCGCAAACACAAUAAAAAAUUACUUGAUUAUUUUUUAAAACAGCCAUAACAAAAUGAUCAUAAUAUUUAGAUAGGGUUGAGAAUAUAUUAGAGCAAAGAAUUAACAAAUUAACUCUGCAAGGAAAAAUACAAGAAACCAUGAAAGCUGAAAAAAGCAUGUUGAAAUGUGUUGUAUGACAUGAAAACAUACCUAUAAUAACGAACACCCUGUUAGGAGGUUUUAAAAUUAGUAAACUGACUUGUUAUUUUAGCAUUAGAUGUUAGUUUGGAGAUAGUUCAUCAACUUUCAUAGACCUAGCUAUUUGGACUUCCAUAUUAAAUUUUUCUUGCCUAAAAAUGGAGUGGGAAAGAUAGGUAGGAUAAAAAAUUUAUGUUUCAACACACAGUAGUAAGGCAUUCAAUCAUAUUGCCACUAAAUUUAAUCUUGAAGAGUAACAUUCAUGGUAACAAAAAGUAUAGUAGUUUGAACAUUCAAACAUAAAUGACCACUAUAAGAAAUGUGGUCUACGACGAUAGUUAUUUUAUGUCGCAAAUAAAAUCUGUGAUAGUUAUUUAUAGUCAUAGAAGCGGGAGUCAUGGAAAGUCAUUCCAUGACAGUUUUAAAAAAUUGUCUGCAAUAAGUUUUUUCGUGACAGAAAAUAAAUGUCGUUAAUUACUAUUGUAUGACAACAAAUAACUGUCAUCAUUUGCGUAUUAACGACAGUUUAAAAAUGUCGUAAAUUCAUUUAUUAUGACAUUUUUUAAAUGUCAAAGAUAUGUGAAUCAUGACAGUUUUUUUAGAAAUUAAAUGUCAUUGUUUUGCUAUUGACGACAUUUUUUUCAUGUCAAAUAUAGGGCAAUCGUGACAAUUUUUCUUAUAAAAAAUUGUCAUUGUUUUAAUAUCGAUGACAAUUAUGGAGUGUAACGAAUUCAUAUAUUAUGAUAUUUAUUUCAUGUUGCAAAUUCUUCAAUUACUACAUUUUUUCCUGUUCUCUUUGUCGCUCCGCCAUUACACAAGUCAUUUGAACGACAAUAAUGUUAUAAUACAUAACACCCGUAUAGAAACAAAUGGUCAACACUUUAAUAUAUAUACACUAUAAUACACUUUGUAAUAUUCGUACAUUUCCAAUCAAGUUUGAACAAUUUACAAAUAUGGAAUUACAACCCUUAAUCAAAACUAGUGUAAAUAUCAUUAUAGUACAUAUAACAUGAUUUUCUGUACAAGCAUAAACAAUCAACCGGUAAUUCUCCACCUCUGAAAAUAUUCUUUGUUGCUUGAAUCAUGGUCAAAUCCUUCAUACUAGGACAAACUGACAUAAAAAAAAUCACAACCAUCAACCAAAAAGUAAAGUAGUACUAAAUGCUAGAAACCAAACAAAAUAAUCAAAUAAAAUGUUUGAGUUUUCUUCUUCUUGGAUAACAACCAAAUAUCACUGACAUUGAGAAUUCGACAUAUGACCACAAGCUAAAGAAAACAUAGUUACACUAGUUGGUAAUUUCAAAGAAACGUAGUUAGAAAAACUUAAUAGGGAUGAGAAUAAAUACAAGUAAGGCAAGGGUGGUAUUGUCCCAAAUUUCCACAACUUUUCUAAAACCUUCAAAAUUCCAUGGAAACUCAUCAACAAACAAUAGAGUUUUAGGUAAACUUUUGAAAUUGAAAACUUACCAUGGCUCUAUUCGGUGCAAGUCCACAGACUUUACUCUUUUUUACCUUUGAGUUAAACAAACAAUAGAGCUUUAGAUAGACUUUUGAAUAUGGAAACUCAUCAACCUAGCCAUAUAAAGAUCAAAUUUGCUUUAACAAAACGUACCUUGAAGUCCUUCCAAACCUAUUAAAAAAAAACAGAUAAGUCUAACACUUUAACAAAUUUCUAGUGCAUAUUUAUAUAUGCAUCUCAAUUGAUCACAAUAAAAUAAGAUUUAACAUAAAUACCCAUAAGUAAUACCUUUUCAAUGUUGCAUUUUCAUAAAACUUACAAAGAUGAGCAUAUAAAUUCUACCACCAUUACUUAUCUAGAAAGUCUAGUAGAACAGAUAGCUAAACCUUACAAAGGUUAUAGGAAAAGCCCAAAAGCAAAUAUUUGCCCAGCAAAUGGAUAAAAGUACAAUUUUCAUCUGAAAAAUAAAUAUUAAAGUUCCAGUUUAAUGAUCAUUUGAUUUUUAAUUAUUCAAAAGUGUAAUUGUUUUCUCACAUUUUCUGUACAACAUUUUUCAUCUUCGUUAGACAUAGGUUCAAAUUUGUAGCUAAAUUUAAAACACGAAAACUAGUUUCUGAUUUCCAAAAUUUUGUUAAUUCAACCUUUUCUUCUUGAAGAUGAAGACAAUAUUAAAGAAAUGAUGAUGAACCUAAUCUAAAUUAAAUGCCCCGAACUAAAACCAAUAUGGUUAUAAUGGGGACUAAUUUCGAAUCUUUUCAAAUCCCUUCCCUUCACUCUUCUUUACCGAUACAAACAGUUCAUAAUAUCUUAAUAUAUUGUUGAUCAUUAUACAAACUUCAUUUUAAUAAUAAAAAAAAAUACAAUGAGAUACUAAAUAGCAAAAAUGAAUGAAAUGAGAUUCAUUAUUCACUUUAGUUUAACUUGAAGAAAUAAAAUAGAGGGGAAGAAAAAUCAACAAUCUCCUCAAAUAAGCCCACAGAUUAGGAUAGACUUGAUACAACAAAUUACCAUUAAUCAAUAAAUAAAUGACAUAACAAAACGCAGAAGCUCCAAUUUUGAAACAUGUUAUUAACAUAAUUGAUCAAAAGGGUACACUACAAAAACAACGUGGGAUAACUGCACUUUUAAAGCCAGAAAUAUAAAUCAAAACAGCAAAGUGAACCAUAGAUCUUGAGGAAGAAAACUAUCGAACAUAGCAAAACUAGAAUGUAAAGGACAAAAUCAAAGCAUAUUACAAACACAUAAAACAAGUAACAUCCUCCGAUCAUCUUCAUAAAAGAAAAAAAAAAAUUAUAGUGUUCUACCCACUGAAUAGUGAUGAAGCUGAUUUAUUACUUUGCAGGAAGAUGAGCUUCAUUCUUGAGACCCAAUCUGUCUAGAAUUGUUACUUUUCAAGAUGACAUAUAAAAUAAUGCACAUUUCCUAGUACUAGUGAGUAGUUUAAGACAAUAGGAAGAAGUGUGGUAAUUAUCAACUUACUAAAGAAAUGACCAGUGACUCAAACAGAACAGAAGGUGGAAAGUCCUCCAAGUCAUUCAGAAUACCUUCCCUGCAUUACAAGAGUUUGGCGCCACUGAUUCAAUAUCUAAAUCUGUCAAAUAUCUCUAAUACACAACAAUCAGUUUUUAAUUCCUUCAACUUACACAACCAAAUCCUCAUCAAAGAGUGGUGUUUGUUUAACAGCAGGCACUGGUUUUGAUGUUUCCUAUAGUUCAAGGCACAAAUUACCUAGUAUGAACAGAACUCAUACAACGUCGAUGGCAUAACUUCCAAGUCUGAAUAACAAGGCUUCAUUGCUCUUGUGAAUUAUAUGGAGAAUAUUCUAGAUCUUCUUUAUUUGUUAUAUUAAAAUCAAUAAUACAAUGAUACAUAUAUAGUUAAUUUGGACAACCUAUAAGGAAAGGAUCAAAUUAAUCUAAUUACAAUAAUGUAUUCCUAAAUUACAGCUAAAUUACUUUAAUUACGGUGAUAGCUCUAAUUUUAACAAUAACAAUAAUAAUAAAUUAAAUAGCCGGGCAAUUCUUCAAAUUAAGUCCAAUAUUCACAUUCCAAUUUAUGAGAAAUAUUAGCUAUAAUGUGACAAAAUUAAGUGGUGGUGGUGGACAUCAGAUAGAGGUCGAAACCUUCUUUUUGCAUUCAAUAGUAAUUUUUACUGAUUUAUAUUAUUCCAAUCGAAGGAGUUUUCCAAAUAAGAUCAACUCUGAAUAUACACACCUUCAUUUGGAGAGCAAGGGUUAGAUUGCUUUGCAACAAACUCAAUCAACCUAUUUAACAGAUCUUCAAGUGUAGAUAUGGCCUAAAUUGAACCAUACCAAGUAGACAGUGGAAACUUUCAUAGAAAGAUUCAUAUUAAGAAAAAACAAUAAAAAAUUAUCCGAACUUUAUAACAAAUAGAAUCAACAGAAGCUUUGGCUUAAAUCAGCCAAACAAUCUUAUCACACUCGAUCAACAAACAGAAAUCUAGCAGCUCUGGUGAUUCCCUUAUCAUCUGAAAAAAGCAAAAUUGGAGCUAUUAGAAAACACCUUCUCUAUCAAGCACUGAAGAUAGCCACUUCAAACGUAACUCAUUUAUACAGUGCCCUUCAUCCUUGAAGCUCUUAGAAAAGUUCAGGAAGAAACUCUAGCACUUGAUUGUUUAUACCUAAUUAGACAUCCCAAAUGGAAACAAUUUGUGCAAAAACAAAUUGUAAAAAAAUAUAUGUAUUUAAGGAAUACCAAAUCCAUAUCUAUAAUAGACAUGUUGUGCUUGAUUUAGAAAAUUACAUAACACACCCACCUGAGUAGAAUAUCUAAAACCCCAAUCACAUCCUUUCCAAUCGAUGCAAGUGUCUGGAAAUUCAUGGAAAUUUGUCAAUAUGGCAUUUAGGAAUGUGCCGUGAAAUUAAAAGAUGACAUUUCAUAGCAAAACACCUUUGGUAGCAUUUCUAUACCAUCAACUUAAUUGCUUCUUAAAGUCGGUGCUUAACAUCCUUCACUGUAAAUCCUCUUUGAAAUAUUUCAUCAGAUCAUUCUCAAUAGAAACAAUGAUUCAGGAAUUAAAAAAUAUAUCAAAGUAAACAUUUGGAAAUUAAAACACAAAAUAAAAGGCAAUGAUAAAAAGGGAAAUGUACAUUUAUUCACAUAUAUUUUCUUUUUAAUGAACACUAAUCCACCAAUCCCAUUUCAUCGACUCGAGCCCUUGCAGGAGGAGCAGCCAUGGAUGGAAAGAGAGUAAAAAGAAAAAAAAAGCAAACAAACCCUAGAGAAAAUUAGUGAGACAAAAGUGAAAUGGUUACAACUACAACAAAGAAAAGGAAACGAAUCUAAGAACAAAAGCCAAACAGAAAAUUGAUUUGGAUUGAUUUAUCAAUACAAUCAAAAUUAGAAGGAGAAAAGAGAAAACUAUCACAAAAUAUGAAAACGAGAAUUUAUGACAGUUUUCAAGUGUCAUCAAUCCAUGACAAUUUUUAAAUGUCAUUAAAUAUAGAUAAUAAAUAUUUAUUUCACUUAAAUAAUCCUAACUCUUCCCCUUCAUCCUCACAACUCUGUGACUCGCAAGUGGUGUUUCCUAACCCCUUUCUUCACAAAACUCUUCAAACACUCACGUCGUCCUACACGAAUAUAUAUAUAUAUAUAGAGGCUAAGUGUGUUAACUUUGCCAAAGAAUAAAUAGAUUAGUAAUAUAUCUAAAAGAUAUAUGGUCAAGUAGGACAAUGAAGAACAUAACACAGCACUAAGUGGGUAAGAAACAGAGACAUUAAGUAUAAUAAUUACAAAAAUAUUUGUCUUUAAUUAGGAUAUCUUUAUAUAGAUGUUUCUUAAUGAUCCACACCGAAAAAUAGUUGGUGUUUGUUAUUAUUACUUAUUUCAUAAGUGAUUAUAAGAAUUUAAAUAUUUAAUUAUUUUAAUGAAUUGAUAAUCAAAACUUUGAUACUAGAAUCUAAUGAUUUUAUGAAGAUCUUUUUUUGUUUUUAAUGUUUCUCCUUAUGACUUUUUGACUGAAGGAACAAAAAGAAAAAGAAAGAAAAAGAAAGAAAAAGAGGGUUAGUUAUUAGGGUUUGACUUAAAAUGUAUAAUCAUUUGGAUUUGGAAGAAGGUUUUCUUUUGACCUUAUGAUUUUCUGUUGAUAUAGUCAGAAAUGUGACCUACACAAUGAUAUAAGAUGGGUUAUAUUAUAAUUUAGGUUAAAAUAUUAUAUAGGUUCAUCCACUCUAACUUUUGUUACACUUGAUGACUACAAUUUAUUUAAACACUAAGAUUAGUGAGGAGGAUAGCUUAGAAUAAUCAACAUAUUUGAGUUUCAUAUCUCUUUUGUUGUUAAUUUAGAUUAAUUAAUGUUUUAAUAAGUAUUUUAGAAUUAACUAGUCCUUAACAAGUGUCAUACACGUCAUAUUUGUGUUUUGUUUUUAUUUCAUUGGCUAGAUUAUUUUUUAUGAUAACAACAUUUUCUUUGGGUUAAUUUUUCUUCCAGUUGUUGUUGUUUAAAAUUAAAUCAACAAAUAGUUCUUAAAAAUGAAAUGCUACACUGAUUGCUAGACAAUUCUACUUUGUCACCGUUAAAAAAAUGAAUUAGUUAUAUUGCAUUAAUUUUGUAUACUAAAUUUUAUAAAGUUUUAGAAAAGAGAGUUGACAAUGGAAUAAAAAUACAAAUCAAGAGAAGUAGCAAAGACAAAGUUUUCGUCUUAUACAAGUACAUAUAGAUAUUCUUAAACACAUGACAAAUGAUGGGAUUAUUUUAACAAUUAUUUCAUAAAUCACUACCAAAUAAUAACUAUCAUUUAAGGAUGUAUUUUUCUAUUAGUGAGUCUCGUUCUAUUGUUGUUUGUAUGGACUUUUGAAUAUGCUUUCACCUUUACUGAUACCUAUGGAUUUACAUAUUAGACCAAAUCUAGAAACCUCUCGAUUUGAUCCGUCUAACCUUUGGUGAAUAGAUCGAUUAUACACUCAACUAUUAAUGAAGAUGUUCUAAAGUGUAAUUUUUAUAUAUCAACUUGAAAUAUUGAUGAAAUGUAAAACAUUUUUUAGAGAUAUAAUUUUAAAACAAACAAAUGUAGGAAAGCUUACCCCAACUAAAAUAAAUAUAAAUUAAAAAGUGAGAGAAAAGAAAAGGUUUACAUUGAAACUAUAGGAUUAGAAUCAUGCAAUCAAAUAAAGAUAGUUUGUUUGUUGAAUGCUAUUCAAUUUGUUUGCAAAGUUGGAAUGUAGAAAAAUGGAUUUUUUUAUAGCAAUUCAAGACUCAACUAAGUGAUGUUAUUUAAGAAUUUCUUAAGGUUUGUUAAUUACAUUAGUUAAUCAAUUUAGUUAUUAAUUUUUUGUAUUUAAAAGUUGGAUAAAUUUUUCGAUUUACUUCAGUUAUCUAAUAAGGUAUUUAUAAAUCAUUUAAUUUCUUUUUUAAUUAGAAUAAUUUCAAAUAACCAUAUAAAAGAGAAAAAUGAAUGAUUGAUUAUUUUUAUUUUAGAAGUUUGAUUAUUUUUAUUUUAGAAGUUGGAUGAAUUUUUGGUUUUCUUGAGCUAUAGUGGUUUAUAAGUUAUAAUUAACCUAAUAAAUUCAUAAGGUAUGUAUAAAAUCAUCUCAUUUAUUCUCCAAUUACCAUUAAAAUAGGAAAGUGAAAAGAUAAAAUUGUUACCAAUGCAAUAAUAAAAAAUAAUUCAGGGAAGGGAAAAAAUGUCAUAAAAAUUUUAUCCAAGCUUUAUAUAUACUAUAAAUUAGUUAAUUUGUAAUUAUAUACUAUAUAUAAAAGGAUGGAUGAGGAGAAACUUUUUGUUUUCAAUUUUGUCCAUCUUCUUAUUAGAUUUGUUUGUUUCCUACCUUGGUUUCGGUUUUAUUGUAAUUUGCUUUUUAUUUACUUUUUAAUUUGAAAUUAAUUAUUAAUAAAUACUUGGGUAUUAAUAAUUUUAAUUUUUUUUUCUCCAAUUAAUUAUAUCACUAAUAUUUCUCUAAAACCAUUCUUUACCUCUCUAUCUUUCACCUAUUUACAUUCUCUUCUCUCAUAAUAGUUAUUUUGUAUUUAUUUCAACCUUUUAAAUUCUUUUCUUAUUCAAAUAUUUAGGUAUAAAUAUCUCGUUCUUUUUCUUUUCUAUUCAUAUUCACGAGUCAUAACAAAAAGUUACGGUGUGAAUAAAUUAGUCUUCCAACAAAUUCAAAUGGAGAUUUUUGAGCCAGUGCUACAAAAGCUCACGAACCUUCAUCAUAUUUUUGCGAUGUCUAGGAACAAGAAAUCAACCCAAUAAAAAAGAUGCAAAGAAAUUGAUGAGGACUCAAAGAUGAAGAAUGUAAAAGUGAGAGACUAAAGAUAAAACGAUCAAAAACUUCAUUUUAAAAAAAAAUAACAAAGUGGCAUGAGGAUACCAAAAAACUAGGUUUUUCAAUUUUUAAUUAUUACUUUAUAAUUAAGUAUGCUUUUGAUCAGGUCAAGACGUAGAAUGUGUUUACCACAAUAGUAUAUUAUGGAUCUUGUAAGUGGUGGAAAAGAAAACAAUUUGUCUUCUCUAUUUGUAUUAUUUCAAUAAUAUAUUUUCAUUUAAAUUUAAUUAUUCAUUUCAAAACAAUAACUAAAUUAUAAUUCUUGAAUAAUUUGUUAAAUAAUUAUACUUCUUGAAUAUGGUAGAAAUACAUCAAGUAUAUAAAAUUAGCACAAAUGUCCAAAUAAUAAUUAAGUCAUUGUUGAUGUCCAAAAUUCCAAUCCAUUUAAAUAUUCGAUAUAUAAUUGAUACAUAUAAAAAAGUCAUACUCAUCCAUCUAAAGUUUGAUUGAAUUGAUUGUUUUAUAGUCAUACUAUCACAUUCAUUAUAUCUUUUAGCUCAUUCGAUUUAUACACAUGCAUGUAAGAUUUCUCUAGAAAUGAAACUGAAAAAUGUAUUUUAAAAAAUCAUGAGUAAAUAAAUAUAACUUCAUACUGUUUGUGUGAAAAAUUAACGUGCAUAGCGCAUGUUACCAACUAAUAUAUAUAAAAGCUUCAAUAUGGAGAAUUUUUUUUAGUCCAUUUUACCCUUUUGAUUAUAAGCAUUCUUACUAUUCAUUUGAUGACAAUUUUGUCAUUCAACUUCGAUGCAUGAAUAACCCUUCCUCUCCAUUUCUCUAACUGUUUUAAUAUUUUAUUGAAAAUUAUUUAUUACUUUAAUUAAGUUCACAGCAAUGGAAGAAUUUUUAUAGGCAUAAUAGUCAAUGCAAGGGAACCUUUUAAAAUUAUCUAAUCCACACUUUCUACCAAUUUAUUCAAUAUAAAUGUAUGGUAUCAUCUUCUUUCUUGAAGCAACAAAUCAUUAUCAAAUAGAGAGGCUAUUGAUUCUAUAUGUCUGAUUCAUAUGGGUUUCUUUCCAACGAAUCUUUAAGCAUUUAAAACUCAUUUUUUUCGAUCUUCAUUUAUGUAGUCAAUUGUCUAAAAAAGAAAAAAACAUUUCUUUCUUGCCAACCAAGACAUUUAGGCAAGUUCCUCUCUACAUGCUCUAAUUCUUUCAUUUGGAGGUUCUGUCUUAGUUCAACCAUCAUAAUUUAUUUCUUUGAUUCGUUCAAGUAAUUGGAGUUGUCCCACUUCUUCUUCUUUUCUUCAUAAUCAUAUAACGCUCCAAAGAUAUAGUUUGGGUUCUUAGAGGAACAUAUUCACAAGUUGUCUAUUUAAAUUUUCAUUUAUCCCAAAGAUAUAUUAUCUAUUUUUUCUUCAUUCAACAUUUACUAGCAGAAUGACUUCCUUUCCAUUUGUUGCUGUAAAAAGAAAGGAAUCCCAACAAAAUCAAAUUUACAUAGUUUUUUCUCUUAACUAACUCAUUAACUCAUGCUUUGUAGCCACCUAUAAAUAUGUAAAUGUGCUUUCUAACAAAUUAGUCUUUACACAUGACUUUCAUUUACAAGAAAAAUAAGAGUGAUAAAGAGAGUUUUCUGUGUACUCAUCUUCAAAAUUAAGAAAAGGUUCCUUCCCGUGGAUGCAUGAUUCAUUUUGCCGAACCACGUAAAACUGUGUAACAUCUCUCUCAUCUCCCUUAUCUUCAUAUUGUUGCGUGUGUGUACUUCAUCUACUCACCAAACCACGAAGAAAUUUCAUUAGGGUUUAUUGUUCAAAUCAGAGAGAAAUCGAAGAAAGAGAAGCAAAGAAAGUAAAGGUAAUUACUUUCCUCUUUCUUUUCCAUAUUGUCGCGAUGUGAUCGCUACGCGGAGCGGCCGACCUCCCCGUUUAUUUAAUUUUAAUAAACAAAUAGUUUUGGAGUUGCCACCAACCAUAUUAGAGUGUGAUUGGUCACCCAAAAUGAAAAAAAUAAUGGUCUGCUUAAAUUCAGAGAUUUAAGUUCGGGAAUCAGUUGUGUGUAAGGAAGAUGUUAGCACCCUACAACACCCACAAAAUGGUUAUCCAAUUUUAUCUUUUAAAUUAAAUUAUAGAGGUUCACAAAACAAAGUUUUUAUUUAGGUUUUGUUUAAAUAUCCCAUGUUUAUCAAUUCAUAUCGAAGAAAGUAAAACCUAAGCAUGAAUUGAUAAUUAUGGGUGGCAUAGGAGCCAUUAAAAAUAGGAGUUUAUUUUUGUUUUAAAAGAAUUUUUUUUAUUCACCUUAAGAAUAUUAAGAUACCAAAAUUUGAUAUUUUAAUCUCUAUCAUAGGUGUUUAAUGAGAAAUUUCAUGUAUUUAAUAAUUAAUAAAUUCAUGGAAAACACUACUCAAUCUCAUUUAAAAUAUGAAAUGUGUUUAUUUAAAAACAAUCUAUUAAUUAAAUUUCAAACGGAAAAAUUUCAUGUAUUCAUGGAAUUUAAAUUAUAAAAUCCAUAAAAAACAAUAUUAUUUCUUCAAUUUACAUUUUUAUGUUUAAAUUGAAAAAUGAAUAAUAACAAUGACAAAACAUUAUGAAAUUUGAAAAAUACUUGAAGGGUAAUAUGCUGAGAUAAAAUAAAUACAGAGAUAACAUAAGCAAUAUGAAAAAUGUACAAGAUGAUUAAUUAGCGUAUGAUGCAAGAUAAUUAAUUAAUACAACACGUGCAAGAUAAUUAAUUAAUGUAGGAGAAUGCAAAAUAAUUAAUUAAUUCAAAAGGAUGCAAAAUAAUUAAUUAAUGCAGAAUGCAAAAUAAUUGAUCAAUGUCAAAAGAGGCAAAAUAAUUGAUUAAUGCAUAAAUAUGCAAAAUAAUUAAUUAACCAAGAAAGAUGCAAAAUAAUUAAUUAACGCAAUAUGCAAAUAAAUAAUCACAGUAGCCAAAUGAAUGUCAAAUUAAUUAAUGCAGAGUGAGUGCCAAAAUAAUUAACGAUAUGCACAUAAUUAGCUCAGAACGGAGGGUGCUAAAAAUUAAAACGGUCAAAUAUGCCAAAUAGAUAAUUAUUAACGCAAGAUACACCAAAGGUAAAAUGGUUGCCUAAAUAAUUAAAAAGAUAACAAAUAAUUAAAUCAGCAUGCCAAAUGGAUGCUAAAUAAUUAAGACAUCAACUAAAUAAUUAACACAUCAUUUAAUUAAUUAACCAAAUGAAAUAAUUAACAUAGCACCCAAAUGAGUGCCAAAUAAUUAAUACAGAACACACUAAUUAAUUAACGCAGUAGCCAAAUGGAUGUGAAAUAAUUAACUCCAGAUGCCAAAAAUUAAAAACGUCAAAUAUGACAGGUGCUAAUUAAUUAAUAGGUCAAAUGAAAAAUGUGUAUUACUAAAUACAGGAUGCUAAUUAAUUAAUCAUGCGCAUAAAUGUAUGAAUGUGAAAUGGGUGUCAAAUAAUUAAAAUGAUGCAAAUAAUAAAAAGAUGUCAAAUGGGUGCCAAAUGAUUAACACAGUAUCAUCAAGCAUGAAUAAAAAAAAAAUUUACACGUCAGCCUUAAAUGCCAAAGGUUCUGUGUUGAUUCUCUUCACCUCUUUCCAAAAAAAUUUCUUUUACGUGUCCCCCUUCUCUAUCAAAUAAUCCUCCUAGCCAAAAAAAGAAUCUCUCCUCAAUUGAAUCUUCUCCUUCUCUUUUAAUAAGAAAAUGUCUCAUUUUUUUAGAUAGUGAAGUGGAGUAGUUUUAGAUAGUGAAGUGGAGUGUAGGAGAGAAGGGGGAAAAAGUGGAAGAGUGGGAGAAUGUGAGAGAUUGGGAGAGAGUGGGAGAGAGUGGGUACGUGGUGACCAAGAAAAACAAGGGAUGAUUGACAAAAAUAAGGAGAAGGAAUAGAAGAAAAAAAAACUUUUACUUUUAAAUUUUAAAUAUGUUUUUAUUUUUGUUUUAAAACAUAAGUUUAAAAUUUAAAAUUUAAAAUUAAAUUUAAAUUCAAAUUCUUUUAAAAAAUAAUAAAUAAAUGAAAAAAAAUAUAAAAAAAAGAGGACAAAAUAAAGAUAGAUUGGCCUAAAAAUGGUUAUAACAAGAGUAGAAAUUGAGAAAUUGGAUGGAAAUGGAUACUUUGCAUUAUGGAAAGCAAAGAUCAAAGUCUUGCUUGAUCAGUAAAAAGCUCAUAAACCCUUUUUAGAUCCUUCAGAACUUCCAACAACCCUCACAGCAACACAAAAAGAGAAAUGGAAUUAAAUGCAUAUGGAACACUAAUAUUAAACCUUAGUGACAAUAUUAUUAGGCAAGUACUAGAAGAGACAACACACAAAGUUUGAAAAAAGUUAGAAAGUCUCUGUGCCACCAAAGACCUUCCAAACAAGAUGUAUCUAAGAGAAAAAAAAUUCACAUAUAAAAUGGAUUCUUCCAAAAACUUAACAGAAAACUUAAAUGAGUUCAAGAAAAUAGUUUAUGACUUUAAAAGCUUGGAAGACAAGCCCAGUGAUGAAAAUGAGGCAUUUGUACUCCUAAAUUCCCUACCCAUGGCUUACAAAGAAGUGAAAAUGCAUUAAAAUAUGGAAGAGAAUCAGUUUAAACAGAUGUCAUAAUAUCAGGCCUCAAAACCAAAGAAUUGGAAAUACAAUCAUCACACAAGAAAAAUCAAAGUGGAGAUGGAUUGUUUGUUAAAGGUAAAUCCCAAAAUAAUCAAGGUAAAAAUAGUAACAAACCUUUUUCUAGUGAAGAUAAUAAAGCUAAACAGAAAAAGACGUGAAAAUACUAGAAAAAGAAGGAACACACAAUACAAGAAUGUUUUUUCCUUAAAAGAAAGAAUCAAGAAAAAGAAAAAGAUUCUAAAGGAAAACAAUCAGAAGCCUCUAUAGUAUAAAACUCUUUUACCUACACUGAUGCCUUUGCAUCAACCUUAGACCAAGCCAACCAUGUAAACCCCCAAUAAAAACAUGAUUGAGUUCUAGAUUCUGGAUGCACCUACCAUAUGACACCUUUUAGAACAUGGUUUAAUACCUAUAAGGAAAUCAAUGGAGAGUUUGUGUUCAUGGGGAACACUAAUGCUUGUAGCAUUGCUAGAAUUGGAUUAGUUACCAUGAAACUAAAGGAUGGGACCGUAAAACUUCUUAGAAAUGUAAGACGUGUCCCCACCUUAAAAGAAACUUUAUCUCAUUAGGAAUACUAGACUCUCUAGGAUGUGAAUAUAAACGGAAAGGUGGAGUCUUCCAAGUCUUUAUGGGAUCUAAAGAAGUCUUGUGGUUGGGAAAAAGGUAAAUGAUUUGUUCAUCAUAAAAGGAUUUGAAAUGAUAGAAGAGGCAAACAAUGUGAUAUCUCUAAACUUAACAGAGGCUGACCUUUGAUACAAAAGACUGUCUCAUAUAAGCCAGAAAGGUCUUGAGACCCUAUCUAAACAAGGCAUUCUGCCUCAAAACAUAUGCAGCAAACUGUCUUUCUGUGAACAUUAUGCACUAGGAAAAACAAGAAACCAGAGUUUCACCAAAGCUACAUCCAUUCGGAUCUAUAGGGUCCAACAUCCACUCCAAGUCUAAGUGGCUCAAGGUAUUUUCUAUCCUUUACUGAUGAUUUUUCAAGAAAAAGUUGGAUUUAUUUCUUGAAAACAAAGGAUCAAGCUUUUGAAAAAUUUAAAGAAUGGAAACUAGUGAUAGAAAAACAAACUGAUAAAGAGAUUAAAUACCUUAGAACUGACAAUGGUUUAGAGUUUUGUGGAGAGGUGUUUAAUAAUUUUUGCAGGAAAAGUGAAAUAAACAAGACACAAAACAGUGGCUUACACACCUCAACAAAAUGGAGUGGCAGAAAGACUACACAGAACUAUAAUGGAAAGGGUAAGGUGUCUAUUAUCAGAUGUCAUCCUAGAAGAAAAGUUCUGGGCUGAAGCUGCUGCCUAUGUUGUAUACACAUUGAACAGAAACCCUCAUACCUCCUUAGGUCUCCUAACACCCGAGGAGAAAUGGUCCAAACACCCAUGAAGUCUAAGUGACCUUAAGGUGUUUGGAAGUGUAGGGUAUGUUUACCAAAAUAAAGGAAAACUAAAGGCUAGAGUUGCUAAAUGUAUUUUUGUUGGUUUUACAGAAGGAGUUAAGGGUUUCAAGUUGUUGCACCCUACUAACAAAAGGUUUAUAAUUAGUAGUGAUGUUCUUUUCAGAGAAUCGGAGAUGUUUAUGCUAGAGAAAGGCAACAUUGCAGGGAACUCAGAUGAAACAGAAUCCUAUACUACUCAGAUUGAGGUGGAGAAUACAAGAAACAAUGUUCAACCUAUUGAGGAAUCUACAACUACUGAACAAGAACAAGUGGAGAACUUAAGUGAGGAACAAGCUGAAAUGAUUGAAGAACAACCUGACCUAAGCCAAUAUUCCUUAGCAAGAGACAGACAAAAAAGGGUAAUUGUCCCUCUAGCCAGGUAUGCUGAAUCAAACUAAAUAAGUUUUAUUUUAAAUGCUACUGUAAUUCCUAAUGAUUCAUAACCAAGUUCCUUUGAGGAAGCUGUGAACAGUAGCAAUGCAAGACAGUGGAUAGAAGUUAUGAAUGAAGAAAUAAAUUCAUUAAAUAUGAAUGACACAUGGACACUAGCUUCUCUACCUAAAGGAUGCAAAUCAAUAGCAUUCAAGUGGAUCUACAAACUCAAAGAGGGAAUUACAAAAGACUCACAACCAAGGUACAAGGCAAGGCUAGUAGCAAAGGGUUUCAUUCAAAGAGAAGGUAUAAACUAUUCUGAAAUUUUUUCUCAUGUUGUUAAACAUACUUCUCCUAUCCCUAGUUACUCAAAACAAUAUAGAAUUGGAUCAACUUGAUGUAAAAACAGCUUUUCUCUAUAGCUAUUUAGAAGAGACAAUCUACAUGGUUCAACCUAAGGGUUUUGAGGUUCAAGGUAAGGAAGACCUCUACUGUUUACUAAAGAAAUCAAUAUAUGGGUUGAAACAAUCUCAUAGAUGUUGGUAUAGAAGAUUUGAUGACUUUAUUGCUAGUUUGGGUUUUCAAAGAAGUUCUUAUGAUAUGUGUGUUUAUAUAAACCCAACAACCUAUAAGGACAAGGUCUACUUGUUACUCUAUGUGGAUGAUAUGCUCCUUGUAGGAAGUUCUAAAGAAGAGUUAAUUCAUGUCAAAAAUCUUUUGAGUAAAGAAUUUGAUAUGAAAGGCUUAGGGGAAUCAAGGAAGAUUCUAGGAAUUGACAUCAUAAGAGACAGAGACAAAUCUACACUAAGCAUAAACCAAACAACCUGUUGUGAGAAAGUGAUGAGAAGAUUCAACCUCACCGAUGCUAGACCUGUGACACUCCCUAUUGCAUAACACUUUAAGCUAUCAGCUGUCAAUUCCCCUAGUGAUACAUAUAUAGAACACCAACUACAAAUGGAAAAUGUUUCAUACAAUCAAACAGUGCGAAGUUUGAUGUACCUAAAUGAUUUCAACUAGCCCUGAUCUAUCCUAUUCAGCUAGCCUAGUCAACAGGUAUAUGACUAAUCCUAGAAGAAGGCACUGGGAAGCUAUCAAGUGGAUAAUAAGAUAUCUAAUUUGGUUCAAGAAUGCUAAACUAAACUACCAAAGGACCACCGAGACAGAACUAUAACUAAUAGGUUAUGUGGACUUAGACUUUGCUGGUGACAGUGACAAAAGAAGAAGCCUAACCGGAUACAUUUUUCUCUAUGGUCCUAAUCUAGUUAAUUGAAAAGCAACCAUACAAUUUAUUGUUGCUCUCUCAACUACAGAAGCAUAAUACAUAGCAUUAUCAGAAGCCGUAAAAGAAGGAUGGUGGCUCAAAGAACUGAUGAAGGACUUUGUAAUCAAACAGUUGAUUUUAAAAAUCUUCUGUGACAACCAAAGUGCCAUUCACCUAUCCAAGAACCCACAAUAUCAUAGCAGAACAAAGCAUAUAAAUAUUAAAUAUCAUUUCAUACGAGAAAAAAUUAAAGUUGGCGAACUACAAGUAUUAAAAGUACAUAUCUUUGAGAACGUUGUCGAUAUGCUUACUAAGACGGUCUCAACAUUGAAACUCCAAAAGUAUUUUGAGCUGAUAGCUUUUGACCUACUUGAAAAAUGAUAGAUUAGAAGAAAAAGAGUAGGAUGGAAGGAUCCUUAACACAUUUCAAGUUGGAUUCAAUGUGGAGAUUGUAAAAAUAAAGGAAUUCCAACAGAAUCAAGUCUACAUAGUUUUUUCUCUUAACUAACUCAUGCUUUUAACCACCUAUAAAUAUGUAAAGGUGCUUUCUAACAAAUUAGUCUUUAGACAUAACUUUCAUUUACAAGAAAAAUAAGAGUGAUAAAGAGAGUUUUCUGUGUACUCAUCUUCAAAAUUAAGAAAGGGUUCCUUCCCGUGGAUGUAGGCUUCAUUUUGCUGAACCACGUAAAAUUGUGUAGCAUCUCUUCUCAUCUCCCUUAUUCAUAUUGCUAUGUAUGUGUGCAUCAUCUACUCACCAAACCAUAAACAAAUUUCAUUAGGGUUUAUUGUUCAAAUCAGAGAGAAAUCGAAGAAGGAGAAGCAAAGAAAGUAAAGGUAAUUACUUUCCUCUUUCUUUUCCAUAUUUCUUUUCUUCAUCGUGUAGAGUUAGACACCCUCAUCCUCAUGCGUGUAAGGCUGCAAAGAAACCAACGUGAUUUCACCUCCUCCAAGUAUCCUUUAAUUCUUGGAUUAAAUAGAGGCCCAAAUCAUAAUUAGACCCAAUAGUUGCAAUAUACUUUCAUUGGUUUCUUCUCGAAAGAUGGAUCUUUUAUUCUAUGUCAUUCUAUGACCCCUCAUAAACUAACGAGUUUCAUAGUUCUUCGAUUAUAUAUCUUGAUAUCUAACCAUUUUGAUGGUAGUCUUUGUAGUUGAUUACUUCUUCUUUAAUAGUGAGAAUUCUAAUUGUUGUUUAUAGGGUUUAUAGUUCCUUUUUUCAAUUGUCGUAGUUGAAAAUUGUCCAAGAAUCGAGGUUAUGCCAUGUUGAUAUUGUUUUCAACUAUUCAAUUAAAGUGUUAUAUAUAAUAAACUCAUUCUUCCAUGCAUUUUGGAAGACCAUCAAUAAAUUGCAUGAACUUUCAAGCAUCCCAUUGCUUUGCAUCCAAAAUUCUUAAAGAAAUAGAAAUGUAAAAACAUCUAGAAUGAAUACCAAAUAAAACUUGUGUAAAUCAUACCAAUUGGACAAUUAAUCACAUGCUUAACCAUUCUAGUUAUUCUUUAAAAACUAUUAUAAAAAUUAAAAACAAUGGAAACUUUAUAAAAUUUUGAACCUAUCCAAAUUGUACUUUUUUAUGGUUAAAUUAGCAUGAUAUUGUAGAUUGAUAAUACCAAUGCUUAUAGAAAUCCAAGAAGUGCUUAGAUUUCCUUUUUUCUUUUCUUUUUUUUUUUUUUGGUGUCCAAAUGCUAUUGGUCUAUCUCCCAAAAGGUUACUUUUUUCAUUUUGCCUUUGUAAAUUGUUUAUUUUGAGAUUAUUAUAUGAUAAUGGAUGUGGACCAAUCAUCAUUAUAACAACAACAAUAUUAUUAUUAUUAUUUGUGAAAUUUUGUUUUAUUCAGAAGUUCUACAUUCUUAAAAUUAUUCUAUCAUGUUCUAAUUCUCAAUUGUUUUAUCUUUUAAAUAUAAGAAGAAAAAAGAAAAAAGAAAAGAAAAGUAAAGAUUCUAAAUAUAAAUUGAAACAAAUGUAGAAAAGAAUCAAAUAAAUUCUCUUUCUUCUAUUGGCAAAGAGAGGUUGUAUUCUUCAAUUCUAGAUUUAGAAGGUAUAUACAAUUCUCUUUACUCGUUGAAAGGAAAGAACAAUUUUGGACUUCAAUUAUUUACAUAUUUUUCAAAAGAAAAAAAUUUGUUUUAAAUAAUAAAUGAUUGAAAAUACUUAUAAAUAUAGUAAAAUUUUAUUUUCUAUCAGUGAUAUAUUGAUAGACAUAGAUAGAUUAUGUGAUGCCUCGAGUUCAGGAGGAGGACAUGAAUGAACUGAUACUACAGUUAAGUGAGAGGGAUCCAAAAGACAUGAAAGUAAGGUUAAAAAAGACUUAAAAUAAUUAAAAAAUUAAUACUUAUACCAAUAAGUUGCACAUUUCUUUUCGGUGACUCAAUCAUAUGAACUCCAAAGUUAAUUUGCUUAGACCGGAGCAAUUAUAUGUUGGUUUGUGGGAACGGAUUUCACUCUCAUAAGCCUUCAAGACAAUUAAGAAUGAUGUUGGGGAUGACCUUCACUUUAAUAAAGCUUUAAGACAAGUAAGAAUGAUGCUCUCAUGUCGUAGGAAAAAUUAAGUAAUUAUGGAAAAGAAAUAUGUAUCAAAUUUCUAAACGAUUUUUUUUCAUAUUUUGUAACUCUAAUAUUUCAAUUUCUUGAAACGGUUGAUUUUCAUGACAAUAAUGUUAAAAACGAAAAUUUUUAACAUUCAAUAACAACAAUUUUGAUCACAAUUACAUUAACAUGAAUGGUAUAAUUAGAAAUAUUACAAACCAUUCACAAAAUACAACAAGAUAUGUAAUUAGGUGAGGUUUACAAAAGUUCCAUUAAGCAACGUUAAAAGAGUCUAAUAGGUUUCAAAAUAAUCAUACAAAAGCAAGAGUCAAGUAGAAGUACAUUUAACCAUAGUUAUGGUUGUUUUCUUUGAUACACAUGCAAUAUAUUUUACACAACUUUUAUCAAAAGAGUAUAAAUAAAAAUGAGUUUUAUUUUUUAAAAAAAAUAUUUUUUCUUAAAUCAAUCCAAAUAAGUCCUAAGUCUUCUAGUUAAAUUGACCAACAAAAAAAAUAAAAAAUAUUAUUAAACUAAAAAUAAACCAUGGUAUAUAUGAUAUAUAGUUACAAUAUUUUGACUAUGUUACCAAUAUAUUAAUAUUUGAUUUAUACUUAACAAUAUAUCACAACACACAUAGCUCAUAACUUUCAUUUAGAAAAAAUAUAAAUGAUUUAUAAAAACAACUUUUUAGCACAUAUAUUUUAACAAUAAGUGGAGGGAAGAAAUUAAAUCAUUAACUUUUGAGUUCCUAGUACAAGCUUUACUAUAGUUGAGUUAUGGGUUUAUUUCCAAUUUCUUUUAUUAUUUUCUUGAAAAGAUAAAAAUGUGACAAUUAUUAUGGAUCUAUCUUAAUAAAAAAAAAUUAACAUCAAAUUGUGAGUAAAAAGAGGGGAAAACACAACAAAUACUAUACACAUUUUAUAAUGUAUAUGGUAAGAAAUGACUGUUUGUAUCUUUAAUGCGAAUAUUGUCCAAGAAUAUAACCCACAAUGAAAAAAUACAAAAAAUGUGAUUAAUUUUAUUAUGACUAGAAUGACGAGGGUUGUGUUAAAACUACGAUAGACAUAGUUAUGUUUAAAGUGAGGCAUACUUUAUAGAAUGGGUUAGCAUAUAAAUUAUAGUGAGCCCUCCGAACAAAGAGACACUUUAGAAGGCAUGAUCAUCAAAGAUUGACUAUAAGAAAUGCAAGAAUGGAGUCGGUGGUCAUAUUUCGUUAGGUUAUGGGAUUUUGAUUCACCGGCGCAAUGGCGAUGGUUGAGAAAGAUUGUGAGAGAGUGGAGUUGGGACCGAGUGGGGGCCUCCAAUUCCCUCAGUGGAACCAAUUAUCGCCGGAAGUGGAAGCUGCAAUGUCAAGCAAAAGUAAACCCCAAAACCCUCAAAAGCCAAACCCAAACCCAAAAGUCCCUUCAAAAAUCCCUAUCGCUCACCCACCCUCUUCCUUCUUCCUUUCACUAAAAUUCUUCAUAACUUGUUCCCACCAACAACCCCCCCAAUCAUCAUCAUCAUCAUCUUUCCUUUUCAUUUUUCUCUCUAUUUUCUCCCCUUUCAUUCCACUCAAACCACCUCCUCCUCAUGUAAGUCCCUCUUUAUCUCUGUUUUUGUGAAUCUUCUCGAGUUUUGGAGAAUUUUUUGUGUGAUUUCCAAUGGGUUCUGUUUGUUUUCUUCAGGAUGUUGAGUUUUUAUUGGUUUUUCUUGUGAUGAGUCCGUUUGUGAUUGAUCUAUGGUUUUGUUGAUUAGAAGGGAGGAGAUUAAGGGGUGUUGUUCUUGGUGGCGAAUUUGAUUUUCUGAUGGAUUCCUUUGAUGGGAUUUCUGUGUUUGGGUAUGAUGUGAAUUCCAGCAACAUGGAUGAUUCUGAUUCUUCUGGGCUUCUUGAAAUUUAUGUACAUCAUGCUAGAAACAUUCACAAUAUAUGCAUAUAUGAAAAUCAGGAUGUUUAUGCAAAAUUUUCACUCACCUAUAAUCCAGACCAGACCUUGUCCACUAGAGUCAUUAAUGGAGGUGGGAAGAAUCCUGAUUUCAAUGAAAAUUUGAGGAUGAAAGUUACACAGCCUGAUUCUGUGCUCAAAUGUGAGAUUUGGAUGCUUAGUAGGGCUAGAAACUAUUUGGAAGAUCAGCUUUUGGGAUUUGCUUUGGUUCCACUAUCACAAGUUGUUGGUAAGGGGAAAGUGACAGAGAAUUAUAGCCUCUCUUCUACAGAUCUCUUCCAUUCCCCGGCCGGAACGGUCCAGUUGAGUCUGUCUUUAGAUAAAUCAUUGCCUGUUGAUGAAUUGAAUUCGAUAUCAGAUCUGCCGGUUAGUUCAUCUAUAUCUUCGGAAGUUGUGUUGUUGGACAGGAAAAUAUCAGAAGUGAUGUUGGAUUCAGCUGAGUAUUCUAGGAUUGAGUUCCCUGAUGUUAAUGUGGUGAUGGAGAAUCAACAAAUGGUGUCCGAGUACUUUUCUUUGGCCGGAAAUGAUUCUUGUACAAGGCCUAGAAUUGCCACAUUUCUCCGUCUUGGUGCGUCGCCUCCCCAACCACCCUAUGACUUUGAAAUGACUGCUAAUUCAACUGAAGAACACCAACCGGGAUCAAUUUCCCCAAAUGAGAGUAGCAUUCAAAACUCCAGCUUUUUAAGCUCCACAACAACGAGUUUGAGUGAUGAUCGAAACUCGGUUGAUUCUGCUGAAAAGAAGAUCCGUUUCUCAGGUGAGUCAUCAAAUUAUGUGAAUGCUUCAGUCACUACUAUUGAAGCCAGAAAUCAAGUCUCUGGUCCUUGUCCAGAUACUCCAACUUCACGGAAGAGUGGCCGGGCUGCAGAGGAUAAGGAAUCAAAAUUUUCAAACAAUAAAGAUAAGAUUAGCAUAAAAAAGGAAGGAAGUAUCCCGUCUGUUAAAUUUGGUCAACUGUUUUCAGCUCCUUUAGGAAACAUUAAUGUUGAUGCUGAGCAGUCUGCAAUGCAGCAGCAAAUUGUUGACAUGUAUAUGAAGAGUAUGCAUCAGUUUACAGAGUCUUUGGCAAAGAUGAAACUUCCGAUGGAUCUUGAUAAGCCCGAGCAUGAACACCGAGGUGUUGUGCUUCAAACCCAUGAUCCCAAACCAGAAAUCAACCAAAAGAAAAAGGACGGUUCUCGGGUUUUUUAUGGUAGCAGGGCAUUUUUCUGAUAAUCAUAUAGGUGAUGGAAAUUCGACACUUAUAGCAGGGUAUGGAACUCAUAACUUAUCAGAACCUUUACAAACUUCCCUGGCCUCAUAAUCAAAUGGUAUUUAUAACUAAUCUUUAAUACUAUUUUUUGUUUUCUCUAGCUUGCAACUCUUCAUAAAGAGUAGUUCCUAAUAUAUCUAUACUAAAUCAUCUGUCACAGUCAUGGCAACAUGACAUUCUUUGUCUUGUGAUUAGAGUUUCGUUUUUUUUUUUUUUGCGCAAUGUAUAGAGUUUGAUUGUAUCCAAGCAAGCUGUACUAACACAGAGUUUUCUUAUAUGUUAAAUAACAACAGUCUUUCUACUCGUUACUCUUAUUAUUCCACUGUUUAAGAGUAGAAACCAUUUAUAUGUUUAUUCCACAACUUUUCUUUCAAACAUGACUGUAAAUUGAUCAAUUAUAGGUUUAACACAAAAACCAUUCAGAUCACAAGGAUCCGCAGUUAAAAACUCUCUUACUCUAAACUCUAAAGUAGAGCAUGUUAACCAUUUGUGAUACACUUUUUUUUUGUAGAUAUACAUAAUGCUAAUGGUAAUAAGCUUAUUAACUAUUAUUUUUCUUCAUGUGAUCUUGUUAUAAAUCCUUUUCAAUUCUUACCCCACUCUUAAAGUGAUAAAGUCAUUGUUCAAAUUCUAUUUUUUAUGAAAUCAUUAUCAAAGGGACCCUCAACUUUGUUAUUUUCAUAUAUAACCAUGUUUUUCUUUGAUCAAUAGUCCGUUGGAAUGUCUUAAAUUCGUUAUCUAAUGCUCUGAAUGACCAAGCACGAGGUCUCACCAGGAAAGGGCCUAGGGUCAAUACUCUAUGUUGGAAUGCCUAAAACUUGAAACUGUAAUUGUAUUUUAUUCUAUUUACGAUUAUGAGUCUAGAGACUAGAGAGGUGUCAUAUAUAAACCUUCUAACACUAUGACGUCUUUCCAAUCUAUGUUGUAUGACAUUUGUCUUUUCUCAUGAACAUAGCUAACAUACUUUUAACAAACCAUGUAAAUCUUGUGUGUAGGUAGAUCUUUAUUGCCUACGUUUUCUCUCUUUUAUUUUGUUGGUUCCAUAACACGCUAUACAGUCAAGUUAACUGAUUUUUGUUUCAUUUAGAAGCCAAAGGAACUUUAUCAACACAUUGAAGCAAUCUCUUAUUAGAGGGAAGAUAAAGAAGGGUUAAGGAAAUGUAUGAUUAAGAAUGUUGAAAUUUAUACAUUGGAGUGGAGUUGUGGGGCAGGAAGAGGUCAUGUUUUGUCAACACAAAGUGCUUUCAUGUUUGGAAAUGCAAUGGGAAAAGGGGUCUAAUUGUUUGUAUUGUUAGAUUAGACAAAGGAAUCCAAAGUAGUUAUUAGCUACUAACUGUUUAGAAUUAAGUUACGUCAUCCACUUUCACAUUGAAAAUUUCUAAACACACCUUUCUUAUUGCCUUUAUGAAAAAAGUGAACUUGACUGUGGGUAGUUUUUGCCUUGUGAGUUAUGUUUCUUUGCUUUAUUGGUGCUUUAUUUUUCCCCUCCCACCAACCUUAGUGUCAUCAAGUGGCCCAUGGCUUGUUUGACUCUACCAAUUCUUUGAACUUCAUAUGAGCCACUUGUGUUUUUUUAGAAUUGGGGUUCUUUCGUAUGGAGUAUGUUUGAAUUUCUCUCUUAAAAUUUAAAAUGUUUUUUUUCUUUGACUCAUUUUAACAAUUUGGUGUUUAUUGAAUAUAGGAUUGAGAAGUUUGAAUUUAUGUCAUUUGUGUUUGGAUUAUGUAAAAUGAUGGAUGACUCAAAAUGGUUGACUGGAGAACAAGGGAUGAUGACAGAAGUUUGAAAUUUUCGAAUUUCUUGUUUCUUUAAUCAUUUAAAAUACACUAACGUGUUGAUAUUUCUAUCGAUACUUUUAUAUUUUAGGGUUCAAUAUUGACAUGUAGGUUUAUUGAUACAUUUUUUAUAUCGUAAAAAACCUAUGAAAUAAUAAAAAAAUAACAUGCAAGAAAUGUGAAUACAAUAUAAAUAAUAAUAAACAUGUUAACUUAUUUAAAAACGUUAUUUAUUUUUAUGGUUUUGUAGAUAAAUUCCUUGCCAAUUGAAAUUUUAACAUUUUAGUUGAUCAAUAUUUUUAGCUUACUAACUAUAAAGAAAAGCAUGGAAUGAGAUUUUAGACUUCUUGAGACUUUAUAUGAGCUUUCUUAUGGAGUCAAAUGAGAGACUAAUUUAUAAUUUCGAGGGUUAAAUCCUAUAUUUAACUAUGCUAUUCGUUUUUGUCUAUUAUGGUUAAAGAAAUGAAUCUACUAAAAAAUAUAACAAAGUAGCAAAAUAUUUACACGGUAUAUAACAAUUUUAAAAACGAAAAAAAUUGAAAAAUACCAAAAAUGCUCAUGUGAUUAAUUGGUAACUAUUUUGAUGGUUUAAAUUUAAAAUCGCCAAAUCUAAAUGGCUUUUUUGGUAGUUUAGAUGAUCAGCCAAAUCUAAACUAUAUUUUUAAAAAAAAAUUGAUACACGAUCGGAGCUAAAUCUUUAAACAAUUUUUUUAUAAAUAUUCUUUGGUACAUGGUCCUUCAAAUUUGGUUUUUUUAUACAAUCAUUUAGAUUUGUCCAACGAUUUUUUUUCACGAUCUUUUUUAUGUGUUCUACCUGUCACACGAUCCAAAUAACCGUUUGAAAAAAAUUUUAAAAAAAUCUUUUAUAUUUGAUACAUAACAACCAAAUAACAGUUUAAAAGAAAAAAGAAGAAUUGCAGAAGAAGAGAAAAAGAUGAUAAAGAGAAGAAAAAAAAUUGCAAAGGAGAUUAGAAGAAAGACAUGAAAAGGAAGGAUAAACCUUGAAUAUUUAGGGAAAAAAAUAGUCAUUGGGUCUUUUCAUUUUGUUACACGAGUUGUAAAUAUUUCCUGAUUUGUUAUAUUUAUGAAAAUUAACGAAAAGGUAAUUUUUGAAAGAUUUUUGUUUGCAAAAUUCUAAUGAAUAAUAUACAUGUAAUGAAAUCUUAUAGUUCAAAGCUAUGGCAAUAUGUCAUGAAUGUUAUCAAGUGAAGUGCUAAAAUUUGAUAAAAGGAAUGAGAUAAACUUGAAAGUUAAUGGACAAGAACCUUAACUAAUAACGAUUGAAUCUUGCAUAAAUAUUCAAAUAUAGUGGAUUCCUAUGACAAUUUUUUAUUGGCUUAUUGUGAAUCUUGCAAAUUAAGUUUCACUAAAUUUUUUUGUUAAAAAUAAUUAAUAUAUUUUGUGUAUGGUUUAUAGGAGUAAUUUGAAAAGGAUAGAUUGGAUGGCAGUAAGUUCUAUUUAUUUCUAUGGGUACUUUGUGAUGACCAGAUCAAGAUUGCGUUAGAAUAUCAAGACAACACAACCUCACCUUCCUGUACAUAGCCAUCACAUUUCCACGCAGCCCUUUGGGUUAUGCAAUGCACCAAGCAUGUUCUAGUCAAGUGUAUCAUGCCUAUCUUCUUACUUCCAAGAACAUUCCAUGGAAUUUUUCAUGGAUUAUUUCUUGGUCUUUGGGAAGCUAAUAUGAUGAUUCGUUGGCAUAUCUAGAGACAGUUUUAAAGUGUUGUGAAGAAACCAACCUAGUCUUCAAUUGGAAAAACAUCAUUUCAUGAUGAUUGAACCCAUAGUGUUAUGACACAAAGUUUUCAAGGUUGGGUUAGAAGAUGAUUAUGCAAAGAUUGAUGUGGUUCCAAAUUAAAGUUCCAUAUGCUAGCAAAUAAUGUCCAACCUUUCUUGGUCCGGUUGGUUUUAUCUACAAUUUGACAACGAUUUUCUCGACAACUUUCCGAAGGCGAAUCAAUCGUAUUAAUUUGAUGAAGAAUAUUACGUCAAGGUUUUGAAACUUGGAAAAAUGUGUUGACUUUUACCCCUAUUUUGGUUGCUCCAAACUGGACUCGACCCUUUGAGCUCAUGUGCAAUGUAAGUUGUUUAUGCAAUGGGCAUGUAUAUUGGACCAAUGUAGGGAGAAGAUCCUGCAUCGUACCUACGUUCAAUCUUUCUUGAAUGGACUAAUAUGACAAGUUAACCAUAAACACCCAACUUUUCAAACCAAUUGCUGACGUGCUACUUUAAAUUAAGGGAUAGUUGCAAAUUUAGCAAUUAAAUUCAAAUUAAUUAAGUAUAUAGCACAAUUUUAAAAAAUUUACAAAUAUAGCAAAAUUUGUCAAAUUCUAUCAAUGAUAUAAGUCUAUCAUUGAUAGAUCAUGUUGCAAAUAUUGGUCCAUCACUGAUAUACCAUAUGAAGUCUAUCAACGAUACAAGUCUAUCAGUGAUAAUUUUGCUAUAUUUGCAAUUUUUUUUAAAUGUUGUUAUAUCCUUAAUUAUUAUUGCUAAAAUAGUUAUCCAUUGCAAUUUCCCUUAAAUUAAUAAAUAACAAAUUUACAUUUUCCUAUUUCGGACCCUAUCUAAAUUUUAAAGAAACUAAAAAUAAAUAACCAUCAAGUUCAAAAUCAUGCUAAUAGUCAAAAUGUCGAAAACAUGCAACAAAAAGCGAAAGCAAAAAACUGAGUCCUCAUAUGGCAUGUCACGAGCCUUUCUGUAGCUACCAACUUUCCAUUUUCUCUACUUUUGCCUCAAACAUUAAACAUAGAAAAUGGUGAAUAUAAAAAUAUACUCAGUAAGGGAUCAAAGUCCCUCUAAAUAAUUUGUUAGCUUCUUACUAGGAGGUACCCCUAUGAAUAGUACAAAGGAUCUACUGAAAGUGUUUGGUUCAAGAAUUGUUUGUGUUGUUUCUAUCAAGGCCCGAAAAAGAUUUAAAGAAUAGUUCUGGAGAUAUAAAUUUAUGUUGUUACAGGUAAAAAGUAUGUUUGAUGUUCAAUUUUUUUCUAUUAUUUGUUUGAAAUUCUUGAAUUAAAAUUGACGCAAAACGAUCAAACGUUUCCAUACAGAUUAAAUCCUUUCACUCAGCACAUAGAGGAAAAAUAUCGCUUCUUAAGAAGUGGCCAAAGGGUUAAAGUAAUGAAAUUAGUACUACUAAUAAAGCUACUAAUGUGUUCCAAAAACUAGUUCAACAUGGCAAGUUCCAAAUGUUUUGAAUGGUUAGUGGUCUCUUAUGAGACAUUUUGAGACAUGGUGAAAAAGACUACAUCCGUGUCGGUUAGGUUUUAUAUCCUAAAACUUGUGAUUUGUAACCAAUAAAACUUAUUUCUAUUUAAAAUAAAGUUGUUACAUAUUAUUGAAAAUGGAAAAUAACUUAUUUAUUUCUUGUUAGAAAGACCUGAAUCCAAUAAUCUAAGAUCCAUGUCUAUGACUAUGAGUGCUUAAAUUUGAUGUAAGAACCUAAAGAUGGAUCAAGUUCAAGUAGACAGUGGAAAUGGUUUAUAAUAUGCUAAUAAGGGUUGCGUACCUUUAUUCUGAGGACACUAUUGGAUUCGACAUGUUUUGUAGUUGUUAUAAAAAAUGUCUUGUAAAGUAUUAUAAGUGAUGUGAUCCUAAAUCGUUCAUGUAUCGACAUGUGAAUAGGACAUACUUAUGCUACUACAAUAAUUUUUGUCUUUUUCGACACAAAAAAACGUGGACAAAUCUUAAAACGUGGGCAGAGCUUCUGUCGAUGUUUUUUUUUUUUUUUUUUUUUUUUGUGUAGGCAUGUUUCAUGGCUGAAACCUCGCCGUCUUUUCCUUUGUCCAUGUUGUUGAUGUUGCGUCGGCAAAACUGUCCACACCAAUUAAAAUGUAGGCAGAAAAGACUGUUCUGGCCACAGAAAAAUGUCGGCAGAAAGAUCUUUUCUUCCACGAUCAUCAUCACGUCCGCAAAAAUAGACUUUCUAGCCACAUUUGUUUCAUGGGCAGAAACUGUUUCUGGUAACGAAAAGAUUUUUGUUGCCAUAAAGAAAAAAAUUUUCCACGCUAAAUUUGUCGAUAGAAAUAUAUAUAUGCACAUAGAAAAAAUUAUUUCAAUUUUUUUUUCUUAUUUAUUAUUAGUAUUGUAUGCUUCUAAAUUAAUUUUCAAAUAUAUAAUGAAAAAUAUGAAACAUUGCAACAAAAAACUAAAAAAUAAAAAUAUUUCUAACCAUUAAUACUUUGUCAAAAUAUGACAAAUUACCAUAAUUAUUUAAUGUGUCAAGGUACAUGAGCUAUACUAAAUUUUAUUUUGGCAUAUCAAAAUGAACCAAAAAAUAUUAAAUACACAAAAAAGAGUUAACUCACUCAGAACGUCUUAAAAAAAGUAGUCAUUUCCAGCUCCUUCAAACUACAUAAACCUGGAAAAGGUACAUUAAAAUGAAUAAAUCCCAAGUGCGUCUUUGAAACUAAAGUCUAACUAAAAAUGUGCUAGAAAGUGUCUUGACUCUCAAACCCAACCUAUAAAACAAGUUUCAAAUGCCUAAGUGUGAUCACAAAAUACCUACAAACCAUCCAAAAAGCUUAGAAAAUGUCAUAUAUACUUAAAAAUGUCAUGUAUGUUUCAAGCAUUCAAAGACCUAAAAAUGUCAUAGGUUUCAAUCAAAACGUCCAAAGGCCCAAGUGUUUAAGUGUCUAGGUGUCUAGGUAGUACUUCUACAAACGAUCCAAAAACCUAAAUUUGAAAUGUUACUAUAUGCAUGAUUGACGACCGUAACUGGCAGGAUAGCCACAUAUUAAUUUAAAUUAUGCUUUAACAAUAUAAUUUUUAAAAUUGUAGUUUAGAAAAGUGCCCAAGUGUUUGAAGAUGCAUCCUCUUCUACUUGCUCUUCUUGAUCCAACUUUUUUUUUAUGUCAGCCCACUUUUGUUCCAAUUUUGCAAGUUCAUUUGCUAACUUUUCAUAUGCUUGUUCAAGGUAUGUCAUCUCAUUCUUCUCUUUCUCACUUACCACAUUUACAUAUAAUAUCUAAUAAAUAUAAAUAUUAAUCAUAGUCCACUUUUCUUUUUCUUUUUUUUUCUUUUUUUCUAUUUUUUAAUAUAUUAUUAAUAAUAAAUAUGGGUAAAUUAGACAUUUGGACCUUAUAUUUGUGUAAAAUAUUAGUCAAUUUAUGACAUUUAUGAAAAAUUUGAGAAAUUUAGAUCAAUCUUCUAAUAUAGUAUAUAAUUUUAGGACAUAUGAGUUACCCUAAAUGUUAAUAUAUAAAACUAGAAUUGAUUGAUCAAUCCAAAAAUCAAAAUGAAAACACUUGAAAAUCACUAAAACUUGUUAAUUUAUGUCCUCAUGUCACCUUUCAAUUGUUCCAAACUUGAUUAUUUCUAAUUUCAUCAUUAAUUUAAGAAACGAUGUAACAAUUUGUGAUUGGUCCAAAAUUUCUCGGCUAACGAAAUGAUAUCGAAUCUAAUAACAAAUAUGUUCAUUUUAAUAUGAGAAAUUCAUCUAUUCAUUUGUUUGAGUAGAAAAUCUAGAUUGAGCAUAGUUGUGACUGCAUCUCUCCAAAUUUUAUUUAUUUUUUCAAUUAGUACGAGUAGUAGGAUUGGUCUAGUUCAACUCAAAUAAUAUGUGUUAAUAGUUUGUAGUUCAAACCUCUUUAUUUUAUUUGAAAAAGAAAAAGAAAAACGAAGUUUAGUUUUAUGGGUUAGUUAAACCUUACCAAUUAUAUUCUGGUGAAAAACUCUUAUAUUAUUCCAUUUUGGUUUUUUCUCCUAAACUCUUAUACGGUUAACUAGUGUACAAGAAAAUAAAUAAAAAAGACAUCACCACAUCGAAAAAGAAAAAAAGAUUAAUAUGGUAACAAAAGAAGACCAUUUAUGAUAUUUGACUAAACCCUAAAAAUCAAAUUGAAACUGCCUUCGUAAAAUCUGAAUCCAAACUUUUAAAACUGCAAAACCCAAAUAGAUACCAUAUACGAACUAUAUAUAUAUAUACACACCAAAUUUGAAACAUAAUCAACUUGCAUUACAAAAAAAAAAAAAAAUAUCCCUCAAUUUGCAUUUUGUAUACACAAAAGUAUCACUAAGCUUUUAAUAAUUUCGUAAAGUUAUUUUAUACGGAUGUGUACUUAUUUUAUUUUGCUUUGCCAUGAACCUUUAACACCAAAUUUUAUUUUAUUUUUUAUUCUAUUCAAUAUCGUUCUUUUUUUACUUGGAGAUUUCAAUUUGAAAAAAAAAUAAGUAAAUGAUGAGAUGUGAGAGGUUUAAGUCUAGAAAAAUAAAAUAAAAUUAGUUUUUAAUUUGAGUUUAUAUGAUUUAAAUGUGUUAAUUAUGUUUUCGGGUUGACAGAGAUGUUUUAUCAAUUUAUAAAUUAAUAAGAUUUUUUUAAAAUUUUAUCAAUUUAACUAAUAUGAUAACUAAUCUAGAACCUAAUUAUUUAAAUAUAAAAGUAAACAUUAUAGUUAAUGGAAUUCUACUGACAUAAUCAAAAUAAGUUUUUUUUGUUUAAAAACAUUGAGGAGGAAAACAGAUGUAAGUAUAAUAAAAUAGAAUGUUUAUAAAAAAAUAGAAUUUUAACAAAAACAAAUUAAAUAUUGGUCUUUUUAAUAAAAAAAACUUAUUUACCUUUAUAGAAAUAAAAAAUACUAAAAGAAAAAAAAUGUAUUAAAUUCCGUUAUAAAGUGUAAAUAUGUUUGGUUAAUUUUCAUAAAUAUAAUAAAUUAUCAAAAUAUUUAUGAACACCGCAACAAAAUGAAAAUCUUCUUGAAACGGACUAUUUUUAAAAAAAAUAUUUUAGGUUUGCCCUCCAUUUUCGUUGUCUUUCCAUCGUCUUCUUCUCUUCUUCUGUAGUUUUUUUCUUCAAAACUAUUAUUUGGUUUAAGUUCGUGUACCAAAUAUAAAAUAUCUAUUUUUUUUCAAACGGUUAUUUGGUUGUUCCAAAAUAUAAAAGAUCGUGAAAAAAAAUCAUUAGAUAUUGGAUCGUCAAAUUUAAACGAUCGUCUACCAGUCAAAUUUAAACGAACGAUCGUGUACAAAGAAUCUUAAAAAAGCCGUUGAAAUUUAGAUUUGGGUAGUCAAAUUUAAACGAUCGUAUUUCAAAUAUAAAUCAAAUCUAAACGAUCAAGUACCAAAUGUAAAUGAUCGUUUUCCAAACAUAAACGAUCUUACCAAAAAAAUCUUGAAAAAAAUUAUUGAAAUUUGAUUACCGAACUAUAUGUAAAUGACCGUAUACAAAAAAAAUAUAUGAAAAAAAUCGUUUAGAUUUGACUACCUAAUCUACCAAUUGUGUACAAAAAAAUAUUGAAAAAAAAGUAUAAUAGUCAAAUUUUACCAAUCAUUUCCCAAAUAUAUUACACGCUAAAUGUAAAUUAAUCAUAGUAUAUUUUUUAUAUUUUUUAUUGUGAGCAUGUGAGCUUUUUUCGAUUUUAAAAUAAUUCAAUAUCAUGUAAAUAUUUUGCUAUUUUGUUAUAUUUUUACAAUUUCCUUAGGGGGCGUGGAGUAGUUAUUAUAAUUUAUGAUUAUUAUAGUCUUUGUUUGAGGUUUAGAUUAUUAUAAUUUAUGUUUGAAAAAGUUAACAGAAAUAGUGACAUAGGACAGUUGAAGUGAAAAAUGGUGAAAGAGAGAGUAAGGAACAGUGAUGGAUGAAAAAUAAAGAAAAAAAAAUAGAAUAGUCUUAAUCUUACCCUAAAAAUUAUGAUAACUCGGUGCUAAACAUGCAGUGAAGUAAUAGAUUGUUUGAUAGUAGAAGGGUCAAACGCGUUUUUUACCAUUGAACUUACCUUAUUUUCAAACCCUAAUUAAAAGGUAAAAAGUGCAAAAUAAAACACUAAACAUGGGCCCACUCCUUUGUUCUCCCAAAUCCAAUUGGCCCCACAUCCCUCAAAAGAAAAUAAAAAAAGAAAAAAGAAAAAAUAACUUUCAUCCUAUAUCUAAAGAAAUUUCCGUCUUUCAAAACCCAAAAACUCCAAUUCCCAAUUUUUCCAUUUUCCAACAUUCAUUUUCUCUCUUCAACUUUGACCACGGGAGUUUCCGAUGGCGGACUACGGCGGAGCUAUUUCCCUCUCCCACCAACCUCCCACCUCCUCUUCCUCCUCCGACGACCACAGCCCUCCAACAAGACCUCAGACAAAACCCAGCAGAACCCCUACCUCCGGCGGUGCCGCCUCGUCAGUAGACACCUCAACCAUGAAAAAGCCACGUGGAAGGCCACCUGGAUCAAAGAACAAACCAAAGCCUCCAAUAGUGAUAACCAAAGAGAAUGAAUCAAGCAUGAAGCCCGUUGUCAUCGAGAUCUCGGCUGGAAACGACGUCGUUGAUACUCUCCUUCAUUUUGCAAGAAAACGACACGUCGGCCUCACUGUCCUUAGCGGCUCUGGCUCCGUUUCAAAUGUUACGUUACGACAUCCAAUGUCCCAUUCGACAUCUUUAUCACUUCAUGGACCUUUCAGCCUUGUUUCCCUCUCUGGCUCUUUUCUUGCUAAUACCACGCCGUUUUCCUCUAAACCUCAUUCUCUUUCUCCUUCUCCUUCUCCUUCUCCUUCUUCCUCUUUUGGAAUUUGUCUUGCUGGUGCUCAAGGUCAGGUGAGCUUUAACCCCAUUAAAUCCGAUACGUUAUGGUGAAUUUUUAAUUAUUCUCUCUCUCUUUUUUUUAGGUUUAUUGUUCCUGUAGUUUAGAGAAAACUAAAGUUUAGUCCCAUAAUUUGGUAAAGUGUCUUAAAUAGUUUCGAUUUUUUAUUCUAACUCUAAACAAUAUUAUCAACUGUAGAACUAUAUGAACUAAAAUUUAAAUUUCUCUCAAAUAAUAUGUAAUUUACCUAUAAUUUUGUGAGUGAAUGAUGUUGGAGUUUAGUUAUACUAGCAAGUUGAACACUUUUGUUUAAAGUUUAGUAAGUAAUUAUUUAAUAUUAAAAGAAGUUAUUAUGAAUAACAAAAAAGAAAUUAUUUUAACACUUGACAAAAAUAAACUUAAAUGAUUACAAAUAAUAUGAUAGAUUUUGAUGUAUUUAUAAAAUAUAUAUAUAUAUAUUUUACCAUAUUAAAUGGAUGAAUAAGACCUUCCAAUGUAUUGUGUCUAUUAGAUUUAUAAGAAUGGUUCCUUUUGAUCAAGAUUUUUUUUUUUUAGUUUAGCAUUUAAACUUUGUUGUUGCUUACCUUUCAAUCUGAAAAGGUAAAACACAUUUGAAAAAAAAAGCAAAAGUUUGAAACUACUUUCUUUUAGAUAAUUGCAUUACAUUUUAAAGCUUAGACAUGAUAGUUGUCACUAUUUAUGUUUUAGUUUUUAGUUUUUAAUAAAUAAGUAUAUAAACCAUAUGACUCAGUACCUAAGAGUUUCUUGUUCAUGUAAUGUACGUUUUGAAAGUGUUUCAAAAAAUAAAAUCUUUGUUUAGGGAAGAUGAAAAUUGUUCAAAAUAUUCAGCAAAGCACAAUUUUGAAAAAUAAAAAGGUUAAAAGUUAGGAAUUUAAAUUGUUAUUAGUUAGGGUAAAUUUAAACUUUCCAUUCAUAUUAUUCUUGACAAGGUGUUUGGAGGGAUAGUUGGCGGGAAAGUCACGGCAGCAAGUCUGGUGGUGGUGGUUGCAGCGACAUUUAUAAAUCCAGUGUUCCAUCGACUGCCAAGCGAGACAACGGAGGGGGAGGACGACAGGGUUGAUAUGGCAAAACCCACCAUCAACGCUACCGAUGAGUCCCCCGUCACAGCGACUACAACAAGCUCGGCGACUCCAAUGACGGUUUGCGUAUACAAUGCUCCAUCGCCUCCGGAUCAUGCAAUGCCGUGGGUGCCGAGUUCUCGAUCAUCUUACUGAAAUCUCUAUUAGAAUAGAACAUAACAUACACAUAUUUGGUGAUAGUGAUUAUUGUCAACUAAGAACUGAUAUAUAACAAAAAUAUGUGAUGGUAUUUUUGUUGGGAGGCUUAAUUAAUUGGAUAUUUUUUUCUUGGUUAAUUGGUAGUGUUUAAUAUUGUGAGUUUUUUAUAUUUAUUAUUUGGCAGGGGAAAGAUAGAGAGAUGAUUGAUCUAAGAAAAAGUGGUGUAGGGCUUAGGGUUCUAUCCAGUGGUUAUUAACUUAUGAAUACAUGGCUUAUUCUUUUUGUUUACCUUUUUUGAAUGUCAAGAAAGAAAAAACCACUUUUUGAUCUUUUUUAAAUAAUUAUGAUUUUCACUUUAAUUAUUUACCCUUCUUUUCUAUUCGGUAAUAAUUUUGUUUUUCUGCUUCUUUUAUUAAACUUAUGCUUUCUUUUUUUAAAAAAAAAAAUUAAACAAAAAUAUUUUGUAGAUUUUAAAAUUUAAACUCUUCCAAUAAAGAGUUUUUUAAAAAAUAUAACAAACUACCAAUAUAUUUACAUAGAAUAAAAUAAACUUUUUUAAAAAAAGUUCAUAGACCUACAAUAAAAAAUGCUAAAAGUGUCCUUGAUUAAUUGACAUCAAAAGCGAAUAAGAUAUUUAGUAAGCGAUCGUUUAAAUUUGACUAUUUUUUGCUACAAUAUAGUUUAGAUUUGAUUCAAAUUUAAACUAUUCUUUUUCAAGAUUUUUUUUGUAUAUGAUCGUUUAGAUUGGACUACUGUUGUAUAGAAUCAUUUAAAUUUGGGAAAUCAAACCUAAAACGAUUGUUUAUAAAAAAAAUUGUACACGUAGUUUAAUUUUGGCUAGUUAAAUUUAAACGAUUUUUUUUCAAUAUUAUUUAUACAUAAGCAUUUAGAUUUCACUAUUUUUGUACACGAUCGUUUAGAUUUGCCUAUCCAAAUUUAAACGAUCAUGUACAAAAAUAGUCACAUCUAUACGAUCGUGUGUAUAAAGAAUAUUGAAAAAAAGUCAAAUCUAAACAAUUCUUUUUCAGGUUUGCUACGUUUAGAUUUGAUACACGAUCAAAACAAUUUUUCCAAAAGAGUCCUCGUGUACUAUUGUUUAAAUUUAGCUUCUUUUUUUUUGUACAUGAUUGUUUUUAUUUUUCAUAUUUUAGAAUUUAGUUAAUAAUUGAACGGAGUUUUAUGCUUAAAAUUAGAGGUAAAGUAUUCACACAAAGAAUAUUGAGAUAAAAUAUUCAUCAAAGUAUUUCCAAACUCUUUUAUAAUAGUUUGAAAUUUUUAAAAGAAAAAGAAAAGCCUAUAGAUUUAAUUUCUACCUCUAUUUAACCUCAAAACUUUGAAUUUGGUACCAUUUGAAAACAAAAAAGAAGUAGAAAAGCUAAAGGAUCCAUUUUAUUAUUUUAAAAUUACUUUAAUGAAAUAAAAAUAAAAUAUUUCAAAAUUUAAGAAAUAAUUAAUUUAUAAUUUGACCAAAUUUAUUUUAGGAGCAUGGGAAUAAAAAAAAUAAAUAGUAUUGGAUAUUGGAGUUCAAGUGUACUCUUGUCUAACUUCUUUGUACUACUCUUGACUAUGAGUCAAUCUAUUUUCUAUUCAAAUUAUUAUUUCGUAACAUCUAAAUAAAAUAAAAUCAUGAACUUGAAAAGACUGCUCAUAAUUAAUCUCUAUUCACGUGCCAAACAUGAUUUUCUCUUUUCUUUGUUCAUUUCAAACUUUAAUAUUUAUUUAUGUAUACAUUCAACUUUAUAAUAAAGCUAUUUUAAAAUGAGAAAAAUUGUCGAAAAUAACAAAAGUUAUUAAAUAUUUUUAGAAAAAUUUAUUUUGAAUGGUAUAAAAAAAUAAAAACUAUUUACAAAAUAUAACAAAAUAAAUUUAAAAAGACUGUUCUAUUUGAUAAAUAGUUUCAAUAUUUUGUUAUUUUUUAUAGAGUGUAAAUAGUUUGUUUGUUUAACUUUCUAUUUUAACUCUAACAUAACAUGUGUUACGUGUUAAGUUUAAUUUCUUUUAACACCUCUAAUCCUAUUAAAUUCUAGUUAGUCCAUUUUUUUUCUAAGUUAUUGAUUUUCUCUAAACAUGUUUUUAUUUCAUUCCUUUCUUUGACGAGUGAACAUUUGAGAUUCUACAACGAGUUAGCGACCAACACAAAUAAUUUAGUAUUAAGGUUUACUUAUAAAACAGUAAAAACUUAUGCGACAAAACAAUCAAGGAUAAUAUAGGUGUAUGCAACGUUUAAAAUUAUAAAAAAAAAUGAAGAAAUUAAACGUAGGAUUAUGGAAAAAAAUAAAAAUUGGAUGGACUCCCAAACCAAUGAUUAUAAGAAUUGAUAAUUGAAGAGUCAAACAUUCUUUUAUGAGUAAAAAAAACUAAAAAGGAGAUAAAAACCAAAAAGAGGAAAAGGGGGUCAUAAAAGAGGGGCAGAAGGGGUAGCUUUAGAAGAGUAAAAGAAGGGUAAAAAUUAGUGGUUAAAUUGAUGUUUGAUAUGAAGAGAUAUGUCACUAUCUUAUGUACAAAAGUAGAAAAUGGGGAAUUGAAGAACUCUUAGUUGGCAUACAACUAGCCUACUCCCCUACAAAUUUUACUUACCAUGUUUUCUUUCUAGAUCCUCAAUUUUUGUUUCUUUUCAUAUAUGUUUACAUAUAUAUAUAUAUUAUUUCCAUCACUAAUUCUUUAAAAUCAUCAAGCUAAGUGUCCACACAUGUAUAUGGUCUUACAAUAUUGUUCAAAGAAAAUUUAGAGUUAUUCAUUCACAAUCAUUAUAAAAACCAUCAAUGUUAUGAGUAAAUGUGACUUGGCCUAAAAUCAAUAUGAAUGAAUAAUAUUAAGUUCUAAACUACACUUGGCUCUAGUGCUCAGAUAAGUCAACAACUCAUUGUUUAUCUAAUUCAGAUUUUGUUCUAACUUGAGCAAUAUUAAGAAACAAAUGUAUUAUGAUAAACUUCAAGUCCAUUUUCUUUUUAUUGAAUCUAGUAGUUUGAAGAGGGGUUUAAUCAUUUUGAUUAGGGUUGGAUAAGCACAUUUCUCUUCUGUAUAAGAUUUUCAAUUUUCUUUUUCUUCAAAAGUUUUAAAAUCUCAACCAUAGUAUUAAACUUUCAUUCAUACAUCCAUAUAUCCAUGUAAAAGAAAUAUCAUAAACAACAAAAGAUAAACAUCAAAAUGAAAAUAAUAUAAAUACAAUAGGGAUGUUUAUUUAUUUAAAAAUAAAAAAAAUUAAUAGUUUUAAUAUUUUUUUAAUUUUAUGUUUUAAUGUUUUGUCUAGACGUAUCUAUCAUAAUUGACAUUUUAUCGAUACUUUUAUCAAAACUUUAAUAGAAUUAUGAUUAUGAUAUUUUUUUUCGAUAUUGUCAUAAAAUUAUUGUUUCGAUAUUUUAUCGAAAUGAAUAUUUUGGACAUUGUUGAAAGGAUGAUCAAUAGAUUUUAAUUAAAAUGAUUGAAAAGAUAAUAAUUUUCUAUUUUUUUUGUUUCGGGUAGGAUUGGUUCUUUACAACUCUAGAUCACAGGCACGAAAAGAACCAUCAUUUCAGUGUUCAAAAGAAACAAGAGGCAACAAUGAUGUGUUGUUUUGUUUUUGUUGGGUUGAAACACUUAAUCCUCUUUUUCAUAUUUACAUAUAAGUGUGUUUGUUAGUUAGAUGGAUUGGAUUGGAUUAAGUUGCCUUUUACCGAAACUAAGUUAUUUGGAUGGAAAAUUUCUUUAAUAUACAUAACCUUUGUUAUAGUCAUGAGUAAAAAUAACACAUUUUGUUAAAGUUAAUAGUAAGUUUGGUUUGAUUUUAAUCUGGUAUGAGUUACUUUUAGGUGAACUCUUAAAUCAAUCAAUCUAAACAAAAAAUGUUAUUUAUUUGAACCUAACCCAACCCAAACCGUAGGUUUUUGUUAGGAUUGAUCAACUUAGCCAAAAACUACUAGUGUUUCAAACUUAAUGAGGCGUUUCUCGAGAUUGUCUUGAAGUAAUAUUCAUUAUUUGAGAAUGUCUUGAAGUAAUAUUCAUUAUUUGAGAAUGAAUUCUCAAACUGAAAGAGAACCUAGGUUUUAACAAGUUGAGUGAAGUUUCUCGAGAAAUGUCUCAUUAAGAUAUAUAGUAAAUUCAUGUUGAGAGAGAGUCUCACACGUAGAGAGAACCAAAAUUUCAUUGAGAGAAAGUUUCACACUUGAAGAAGCCGAAGGGUAUGUUUGGGGCUAAAAGUGGAGUGGGCUAUAAGUAGUUUACUCCUUAUAUUUGGGGUAAUGUUUAGUUUUAGUUAGAGAUUAGGAUUAGGAUUUAAAAUAGCCUACAUGCUUUUACUACUUUUCAAUCCUAAUAAAUAUUGUUUCAAGGGUUACAAAGUUCAACGACCAACUUUUGGACACCCAACUCUCAUUCUCCCUCCGCCACCAGGCCUCCGCCGAGUAUGCCCGCCGAGUGCCGGGUUCCGUACCGAGAAGUGAAAUGGUAGGAUUCUUCUUCUAUGCUGCCAACCAAACCUUCAAUCGUCACCGAUCAACCUUGAAAAUAUCUUUAGAAUUUAGUUAUAAGAAACGAAAGAAACUGUAUUUACAAGUACCCUUUUUAAAAUAGAAAAUUUUAACACAUUUUUUAUGUUUUUAUUUUAAGUUCUUAUAAAUAGUGUUUCAAUAAAACUGAACUCAUUCCAAUUAGACUCUUGGAUUAAAUAUAAUAAUAUUUUUUAAAAUAUAUUUUCUCAUUUUCUAAUGGUUUUUUUUUAUAAAUUAUCGUUAUUAUUAGGUUAUUUCUUAAUAAUGAUCUAUUUUCUCUCUUUUUUUUUAAAGGAAAUUUCAACUAAGGAUCAUUUUAGGAAUAAUAAUUAAGCAUAUAACAACAUUUAAAAAAAUUGCAAAUAUAGCAAAACUAUCACUAAUAGACUUAUACCGCUGAUAGAGUUCGUAUAGUCUAUCAGUAAUAGACCAAAACUUUUACAACAUGGUCUAUCAGUGAUAGAUUUAUAUCAUUGAUAAAAUUGGACAAAUUUUGUUAUAUUUGUAAAUAUUUUAGAAUGUUGCUAUAUAUUUAAUUAUUUUGAACUUAAUUGCUAAAUUUGCAACUAUCCUUUUUUUUAGGGGAUAAUGCUAGUCUCUCUUUAUUUCUCUUUCUUUUUUCAAUUUAACUAGUUCGAAGACCUAGAAUGAUCUUUUAAACUCAAAAUUACAAUGCUAGAGAAAACUUAACGACCAAAUUACAAUGCUAGAGAAAACUUAACGACCAAGUAAAAAUUAAAAUUUAAAAAAUUUAUGAUUUUUUUAUUUCUCAAAUAUAAUUUAAUAAUUUUCUAAUAAUUUUAAUAAUAUAAAAUUUGAUAUAAAAAAAUUAUAAUUUUUCACUAACCGAAUACAAGAUUAAAAUACUAUUAGUUUAUUUCAAUUUGAAUUAGCAUAUUAUGAUAUUAAAAAAAGAGUUGUUUUAAAAAUAGAAAAAUUGACAAACUAUUUACACUCCAACAAAACUACUAAAAGAAAAAAUUCAUCACACUUGAUUUUUAUGAAGUAUAAAUAUUUUGUCAAUGUUCUAUUUUUGACAACUUUCCAAAGAAAUCCAUUGUUUUUUUCAAAUUACUUAAAGUGACAAAACUCAAUAAAAUUUUAUUUCAAAAUCUAGGAAAAUCUAAGUAUCAUAUGUAUAGAUAAUAUUAAAUUUAUUAAAGAACAACAUAAUUAACAAGAUUUAAUAAAGGGACAUUUGCACGUGUGGCAAAAUAUAAAAUGAAAAUUAAGUUCAUGACGUAAGAUUUUAAAUUUGAAAGAUUUACCUAAAUCUACUAGGAAUUUUUACGAAUGUACUAAAUUAUGAUUUAUUUCCUUGAUUAGAUUUUUGUAAAUUUGUAGGACAAUUAUAACCCUAUAAUAAUUAUUAAUUAUAUAUAAAUUUUAAAUUUAAAUCAAAAUGAUUUUCUUAUUUAAAUUAUACUAAAUUGAUUAGGUAAAUGAUAACUUCUUUUUUUUUUCCGCCUAGUAAUUGAUGUAUAAAUUUAAUAAUAAAAUUAAUUUGAAAUAUUUGAAAUCUUUUCUAAUAAGGAAACAAUUAAUGAUUAAACAUAACAUUAUACCAUUUUUGCAUCACCCAUUAAGAUUUUGAGAAAAAAAGUUUGGUGCUGACCCGGUUUCUUCAUAAAUCAAUUUAUGUCAUUUCUUCAAUCAAUUUUGUCGUUAUCAAUAACGUUCUUUACUUUGGUUCAAAAUUUUGUUCGAAAGUUUUCUUCUUCACCUCCGAAAUCUCAAUAAACCCUAGAAUGAUUCACAUUUGAAACGUUUGAUUGUCUAUUUAAUCGAGUAUCUAAAAUAUACCUAAUAUACCUAAUGUUUCAUAUAUUUUAAAUAUAUACAAUACUAACCUUGAACUUUCUACCGAAAAGUUUUGUAUUUGUCAGUUGUUGAAUGUCUUCUUCUUCACCUCCAAACUCUCUAAAAGUUUUCUGUAAAAACUGUAACCCACGUUGGAAGGAGUAAAUGACCGUUUUCAUAGAAGGAAAGCAUUAAAUGAUUUUCCAUUUCUUUCCAAAAUCGUAUCCCACAAUUUUUUUCUUUUAGAUAUUUGUUAUAAAUCAAUUAAAUAAUAUAAAUGUGUAUUAAAGUAAUUUGGGCUAUACAUUUGUGUAAUAUUGAGGUCCAUCGAGGACAUUUGUGAAAUGAGAUGCAAAUUUAGCAAUUAGAUUCAAAAUAAUUAAGUAUAUAAUAACAUUUUAAAUUUUCUGCAAAUGGAGCAAAAUUUGUCGAAUUCUAUCAAUGAUAUACGUUUAUCAUCGAUAGACCAUGUUGCAAAUAUUGACCUAUCACUGAUAGACCAUACGAAGUCUAUCAAUGAUAAUUUUGCUAUAUUUGCAAUUUUUUAAAAAUGUUGCUAUAUCCUUAAUUAUUAUUGCUAAAAUAGUCAUCAAUUGCAAUUUUUCUUGUGAAAUUUAUUAGAAAAUUAAGCUCUUCAUGUAACAUUAUAUAGCAAUUUAGGCUAUAUGAGUUAAAGACCCUUUAGAUUUUGCAAGAAUGACAAAUUAUCACUUCCAGACCAAUUGAAAUUUUUAGAUGACCAAAAUGUCCUCAUAGUUAAAAAUGUGUAACUGCAUUUGAUUAUCGUUUCAUUGCUAUCUGAUUGUCAUCUUAUUAUUACUAAUUAUCAAUAAUAUCGAUUACUAUUUGAUUGUUGUCUGAUUGCUAUCUAAUGUACAUUAUUAUCUCAUCGUUAAUGAUACUAAUUUACCAUCUCAUUAUUAUUUAAUUUAAUAUGAUAUCAUUUACUAUUUAGUGACAUUUUUUUAUAUAUAUAAUUACUAAGUAGUUUAUUGAAUAAUCAUUUCACUAUCUUCCAUUUUUUUGUCAAUUAUUUAGUAGUUUAUGAUUACCUUUCAUUUUUUUUUGUCAAUUUGCUAAGGAUUUUUCUAUUACAUUAUGAUUGUCACAUGAUUACCUUACUUUUUUGUUGUUAAUUUCUAUGCAGUUUCUGAUUAUUCUUCAUUUUUGUAAUCUACAUAACAUUGUUUUGAUCAUCUCAUUACCACUAUGAAAAAUGACUAUUAGAAGCUUAACCACAACGAAAAAAUACUGAGAUAGUAUCACUUGAUUACCUUCUAAUUGUCAUUUGAUUACUUUUUUUUUCUUUCAAUUUUAGUUAGCUUUCAAAAAUAGACAUUUGAUUACCAUCUGAUUGUUACAUUCUACUUUUUAUUUAUUUUUUCAUUUUAGUUAGCCUUUUAAAUAAUAAUUUAAUUUGAUUUCCAUUUGAUUGUCAUCUAAUUACCUUAUGACUGUCACCUAAUUAUCUUAUAAUUGUCAUCUAAUUACCUUCUGAUUAUUACGAAAUUUUCAAGUCCAACAUAAAGUGGAUUAAAGCUUCAUUGAGGUGUAAUAUUGGAUUAAUUGGUUUGGAUUGAUAUUGUUCCUUGAAGGUGCCAAUUGAGGAUACUGCUUGAAUUCCUUAAGUUUUAAACGAGGUUGGUUGGAGUUUGAUUCUUCACUAUUUAGGUAAGUUGUAGAAUUUACAUUUGGGGUGAAUUGAAUGGAUGAAAUUAAUUGUGGAAGUGUUUGAUUUAUCUAUGUAAUUAUGUCUAGGUUGGCCAAUUGGAUUUUACUUUGACCCAGGAACUUAGGUAAAGUUAAGGUAAGAGAUUUCUACUACUGGACUCUAUACUUAUUUAUUUUAGUAGUAAUGACAUCGGUUUAGUAUAAAGAGUUGGAUUAUUACAUUGACUUUUUAUUAGCUAAAAAUGUAUUAAGAAAUGAACAAUAGCCUUUCAAAUAGAUUUCCUUCACAUAUGUUGAUGUUAUGUAACGCCCUAAGUUUAGGAGGGAGAGAUGAAUGAAUCUGUAUUAUAUUUAAAUGAGAGGGAUUCCGAGUACAUGAAAUUGGGAUAUGAAAGUAAUGUUCAGAAAGACUUAAAAUAAUUAAAAGUUAAUAUCUAUACCAACAAGUAUCAAUAAUUAAAAGUUAAUAAUUAAAAGACUUGAAAUGACUCAGGUUGGUUUUUAGGGUUUUUUAGGGAUAACUUUCACUCUAAUAAGCCUUUAGGACAAAAAAGAAUAAUGUUGCUAGGUCGUAGGGGAUGCAGGAAAAUCUAGAAAUUAUGAAAAUACUUUACAGGCUUCAUGGGUUUUUUCUUUUUGUUACUCGAACCGUAAAUAUUUUUGGGUUUUGUUACAUUUAUGUAAAUUAACCAUAUCUAAUUGAGUAAUUAAUUAGUUGGAGAAUUAUUUAAUAGUUUAGUUUAAUUUAAUUUAAUUUGAUGUAAUUAAAUUAAUUAAAUUAAAACUAGGGAAUUUUUCAAAAACAGAACAAAGCACGAAAGUAUUUACAAUGUAUAGAACAAUUUUAAAAAAGGAUAAAGCCCACUAGCCCACAAUGUGAAUUAAAAUACAUCCCGAUUAAUCAGUCACACAUGCGUGAAAAAAUGAUUUUUUACCCAGUCUAAAUGAUCUCUUAGCAAUGAUCUCGUAGAAAAUCUAAACAAUCUCGUAGCAAGUCUAAAUGAUCUUGUACCCUUGUACCAAGUCUAAACCAUCUUGUACGCUUGUAUCAAGUCUAAACCAUCUUGUACCAUUCUACCUAGUCUAAACGAUCUCAAAACAAGUCUAAACGAACUCGUAGCAAGUAUAAACAAUCUUGUACCCUUCUACCUAGCCUAAACGAUCUUGUACCAAAUCAAAAUGGUCUUGUACUAAAUCAAAACGAUUUAUUAAUAUAGUGGUCUAUCUUUGUCUACCUGGGAUAGACAACUGAUCGUUUAGAUAUUAGUAUACGAUCGUUUAGAUCUUGUACCAAGAAGGAAAAAAGAGAGAGAGAUGUAGAAGAAGAAAGAAAUUCUGGAAGAGAAAAUGAAGAAAUUGGUAAAUAUUUACAAAAAUAACUAUAAUAUUGUAAAAUGAAGAAGAAGUAAUAAUAUGAAGAGAAGAUGAAUAGAUCGCAAAGAAGAAGAAGAAAAAAAGUGAAAAAUGGUCAACAUUAUUCAAACGCAAACCUAAAAUUUAUGAACAUAUCUUGGGCUUUUUUAUUUUGUUACACGGUCCGUAAAUAUUUUGGUGUUUUGUUGUAUUUAUAAAAAUUAACCUUAAAAUGAUAGGUUUUGUAACAUAUAUUAAUUUAAAUAUGUUUUAAAUGAAAUAUUAAUAAAUAUGAUUUAAUUAAUUAGAUGAGUUAUUUAAUUAACUAAUUUAACAUUGUUUGAUUUAGUUUAGUUGGACUAUUUUAAAUUAAAAUAACUAAAUAACCUCCUUACACGAUAGUUAUUUAGGGGAACAUGUGGUGAUCCUACCUAUCCCUUCUUUCUCUUUAUUUAUAUGCAUAUUCAACCUACACAAGAGGAGAGGCUGCAUAACCUAAUUUUCAUACAAUAAAGAAAACAAAUCCUUCAAAUUUCUUUUUUCUCUUAAAAAGGAUUUUUUUCCUCCAAAUUUAAGCCUCAAUUACUCAAAAGAUAGGGAGGUAGCCAAGUCGUGGUGUACGAAGAUUGAUGACACUUCUAAAUUGGCGACUUAUAGAUUCAUAGGCAUCCACAAAAGUGAGUUUCGUCUAUAUUUACCAUCUAAAAUUUAUUUUUGUUAAAAGCAUGUCUAAUACUAUAGGUUCUCUUUAUCUUUUCAAUGUAGGAGUAUUUCCAACUUUUUCCAACUAAAUUGAGUUUUGUUACCGCGAUCUUCUACUGCAUUAGGACUUUCAUCCAAUUCAUAACUACACAGUUUGGUCAAAAUACCGUUUUACCCCAAAAUUACAUCUUGUUUCUUAAUUUUCAACUAAUCAUGUAAUGAAUAAUUGGUUUAUAUUUCAACCAAUAAACGGAAUCCUUCUCGGCUCAAUGAGAGAGUGUGGGACCCUAUAUUCAAAACUUGGAGUAAGCAGUUAAAGAAACAGUCUCUCUAAUAUCUCUAGAAGUUGGUAUAAGUGAAUUUCGUUUUGCACCCUAUGUUUUCAACUAUGUACUUGAUCUUAUCCUUGAAAUAGAAAGCUUGUUGAACCUGCGAUGUUGAACUGCUCUCACAUAUGUAGAUCUAAGGAUAAUUUUGAAUAAAUAGGAGUUCAUAGUUAGUUUAAGAUUAAAAUCUAGUUACUUGUUAUUAUAUUUGAAAUAGUAAGUUUUAAAUAGUAAAUAAGGUUACAAAGUAAAAGCGACUUAUUUAAUAUGAUUCAGUUUUAUAAUCUCUUUGCAUAGGACGUCCUUACUGACAUGUCCCUACAAAGUGGGUUGAUACAAACCAAUGUAUGGGCACAAAUAAAACCUUGGAAAUAAAUUUUAAGUAUGGGAAAAUAAUAAAACUUAAAAGGGAAAAGUACAAUAUUCUUGGCUAAAAUAUAUCUGCACAAAUAAAACCUUGGAAAUAAACUUUAUGUUUGGGAUUUUUUUUCUUUUGUUAGUUUGUGAGGUUUGGUCAUGGUAAAGUUGCAAAGAAAGUAUUAUGGUAUCGACACAAACGAAAUAUAUUAUACUUUCUUACGUGAGAUUAGAUCAUUUGAUAAAGAAAGUCAUUGUUGUACCAUUAUUGAGGUUUGGUCAUGUUAGAUGAAGAAUUAUUGAUGUAUAGAAGAGAGUAUGUCAAUGUAAUGAAGUCUGACCUUCAUGGUCCUUUAGAAGUAGUUUUUUUUUUAUUUGACAUUGAUAUAACUAUAUGAUAUAAAGAAGUUUAUUUUCUACUUGAAUAAAGGGUAAUUAUAAUUGAUAGUCAUUUUAGGAAUAAUAAUUAAGAAUAUAACAACAUUUAAAAGAAAUUGCAAAUAUAGCAAAAUCUAUCGCUAAUAGACUCGUAUGGUCUAUCAGUGAUAGACCAAUAUUUGCAACAUAGUCUAUCAGUGAUAAACUUCUAUUAUUCAUAGAAUUUGACAAAUUUUGCUGUAUUUGUAAAUUUUUUAAAAUGUUGCUAUAUACUUAAUUGUUUUGAAUUUAAUUGUUAAAUUUGCAACUAUCCCUUGAAUAAAUGUUAUAUGAACGUACAUAAUCGUAUGAUAUAAAGAAAUUUAAUUUCUAUUUGAAAAAUGUUAGAAACAUACGUAACAAAUAAUAUCAAAUGAACUAAUGGAAAGAAUGUUUAUUUAAUUUAAAUUUAAUAUUAAAUGUAAAUUCGAGUAAUUUCUACUUAAUUUCUAUUUUCAUCUUUAAUUGUUAAUAUGCCAAUUAGUUAAUUUGAAAGAAGUAUAUUAUUAAGUUUCACUUUUUUUUCAACCACGAUGAAUUGACCUAGUGGUGAAUACUUGGGAUGUGUUUACUUACCAUCAAAAUGUCGUAAAAUUAGGUGAAUUAUCUUCGUGAAAUUAGUUUGUGUGCGCAUAAACUAACGAGAACAUUCAUAAAUAUAAAAGAAUAAGUUUUACUACUUUCUAUUACUAUUAAAAUUUGAACUAAAAUUUCACUUAGUAAUAAUUUUAAAUUAAUUAAUAAACAACAACUUAAACUUAGUAUAUAAUGAAAAAUAAAGAUUUCAAGUGUAAAUCUUGAAAUCAAGAAAGUAAAACACAACUCAAAGGCCACAUUUCUAAACUGUAAUGAAAGUUGGUGUAAUUGUAAUAGAUCAAUUUUAUUGAUAGAUUAAUUGUAACGAACUAGAAUAAAAAAAUAUAGUUUGAUUAUUUUUAAUUUUAUUUACUUAAAAUCAUGAAAAUUUAUUGUUAUGGUCUACUUUUACCUCUACCUCUAAGGGUCAAGCAGUAAUGACAACAAUAAUAGUAGCAGUAAAAACGUCAUAUCUACAGUAACUGUUAUCUUACAUCUACGUCUAAGGGCCAAGCGAUAACAAUAACGAUAAAGGUAGUAGUAAAAUGUAAAAUUGAUAGUUUUCAGUUAAAACAAUAACAAUAAUGACAACAGUAAUAGUAACCAUAAUGGUAACAAUGAUGAUAAAAUUUAAUUUUCAUCAACACUUUAAUAUUUAAAUAAAUAUAUAUAUGGGAUCUUUUUAAAAAUAUAACAAAGUAGCAAAAUAUUUACACACUGUAGAAUAAUUUAAAAAACGAAAAAAACUCAUACGCCCACAAUAGAAAAUACAAAAAAUGCCCCGUGAUUAAUUGACAUCCAGCGCACGUAAUAUAUUUGAAAAACAAUCAUUUAGAUUUGACUAGCGAUCGUUUAGAUUUGGCUCUAAACCUAAAUGAUUUUUUUUAGAUUUUGUUGGUAAACGAUUGUUUAGAUUUGAUCAUUUAAAUUUGGAUAGUCAAAUCUCAAUGAUGUUUUUCAUAAUUUUUUGCAACAUCAUCAUUUAUAUUUAAUUGUUUAAAUUUGGGUAGCCAAAUCUCAACGAUUUUCUUCUAGAUUUUUUGGUACACGAUCGUUUAUAUUUGAAAAACGAUCAUUUAGAUCAUUUAGAUAUGAUCAUUUAAAUUUGGAUAGUCAAAUCUCAACAAUUUUUUUCAAGAUUUUUUUUAGCACGAUCUUUUAUAUUUGGAACAAAAUCAUGUAGAUUUGAUCUUUCAAAAUUUAAACGAUCUUUUAAAGAUUCUUUGUACACAAUGAUUUAUAUUUAUCUAUCCAAUAUCUCAACGAUUUUUUUCACGAUCUUUUAUAUUUGGAACAACCAAAUAGCAUUUUGAAAAAAAAACAUUUAAAAAAAAUAGAUCAUUUAUAUUUGGUACACGAUUUUAAACCAAAUAACAGUUUUAAAAAAAAAUAAAAGAAAAACUGAAGAAGAGAAAAACAUGACAAAAAGAAAAAAAAAAUCGUAGAAUAGGAAGAGAAUAAAGACUAUGAAAAUAAAUGACAAAUGUGAAAUAUUUAAAAAUAAAUGACCAAUUUGAUAAGUUUUUCCAUUUUGUUACACGAAUGAAAAGUAUUUUGGGGAUUUGUAUUAUUGAUGAAAAUGAAGGUAUAUAUAUAUUAAUUGUCUAUAAUAACUAUAAUAAUAAAGAAAGGUAUGAUGAGAAAGAAAAGGAAAGGAAAAUGAAUGAGUUUGCAUGAGAAGAAUAAUAAAAGAAAGUAAGAGAGAGAGUGAGAAAGGGUUUAGGCAUGAAAUUGCAUGCGGAUGGAUAUAAACUUUUGGAUCUUUGGUGAAGAGUAGCCUACGAGGGUUCCUGCAAACCCUGACCCAGGUCGCAUGCUACACCUCUGACCUACUUAUCCUCCAUUACAGUACACUUGUCAAAACCACAUUGGACAUAACUCUACACUAGUAGGCCCCACACCGUGACCUUCUAAACCUAUAUCUCUUGUUUUCUUUUUUUUAAGUUCAAUUGGUCAAAAGCUUUCUGCCCAACUUUUGCCUGCAAAAUUUCCCUAUUUCCUCUCACACAGUACACAAUUCAGUCCUCUCUCUCUCACCCUUUUUCCCAACCAAAAUUUCCCUAUUUCCUUUCACAUUACACAAUUUAGUCUUCUCUUUCUGCCCUUUUUCCAAUUCAAACAAAAAACCUCUUCCUCUUCUCUUCUUCACCCUUCUCUUCUCCCACCCACUAUCUUCCCUUCUAUGGGAACAAUUAAGGGCUGCAACCAUCCCUUUUGUUUUUGGAAAUUGAACCAUUUUCAACUGCCCAUCUUUUUUCAUUUUCUCUUUUCAAUUUUAUUCGUAUUUCGCAGUUGUGUUUCUCUCAAAAUGUAAUCCACCGAGGAGCUUUCGGUGUAUAAAGUUAGUUGUUAUUAUAGUCUGUGAGUUAUAAUCAACUAUGUGCUGUUAUAGUUUUUGUUUAAGGUGCAUACUAUUAUAAUCUAGUUUAUAAUUAUUUGUGUUUGCGGUGAUGAUUAUUUUAGUCUGUGUUAUAAUAGUCAAUGGUACCAAGGAAAGAGUGAUCAAUUUGAUUACAUAUGAAUGUUACAUUAGAGGUUGGAUGCUUAGUUAGCCUUAUUAGGUAAAUAAUUGACAUUUAGCUAGGUUUAGGGUUUAGGGUUUCUCAACGUUUUUCAAAUGUCAUAAACAAGUAUAUUCUUGACGUUUUUUUUUUCAAUUGUCAUAAACAAGUACAUUCUUGACGUUUUUUAAAUGUUGUUAACAUCGACAUACUUCACCGUUUUUACAUGUUGUGAACAUUUGUAUACUUGAUGUUUAUAAAAUGUCAAAGUUUAUUAUUUUUUACAUUUAUUAACUAUCAUAAACUUCGACUUUCUUGAAGUGGGCUUCAAUAACAAUUUUAAAACCAUCAAGAGUAAUAAUUAUUGAUUUGUUAAAAAACAUCAAGAGAGUGUUUUUGUAGCGAUGUUUCUCAAUUUUUUUCUGUGUUCCACCAAAACAAACAAAUACAGAAGGCAUCCUAUACAAAUAUGUAAAGAAAAUAUAAAAUUACAACCAAAAUCUCUAGGUGAAAUCAUAUUAGAACUCGAUCAAGAUUUGAAACCCUAUACUAAUCUCGAGGCAAAUAUAAAACAACUUGACUAAUAUCUUUAAAUAAGAACCGAGAUAACAUAUGAAAAAAAAAAUACCUAAAAGAAACAAUUGCUAUCCUAAUCAGUAUGCAAAUGACAAUCAAAACGUAAUUCGUAAAUAUUCACCUUAUUUUUCUUGAUGACUUCGAAAGAUAUUAAAUGUGGGAGGAAGGAAAUGAGAGAAAACCCAAAACACUGUAAAAAGUUUAUCGGGAGAUGGUGGUGAAACUUAUUGAGCAAAACAUUUCAUUUUUUAAUAUAAUAAUAAUAAUUUUAGUAACGUGGACAUUUUCAUCACAAUCGAAAGAUUAAUCUCGGGACCUAUGUUACUCCAUUCACAAAAACUCAGGGCUCACGAAAGUACAUUGUAUCUCGGGGUGAUUCUAGCUGAGAUUUCUUGAGAAAAAAAAAUGUAAAUUUUUUUAAAGUUUACAAAUUUAAACUGUGUCGUUUUCGUCAUUUUUGUGAAGAAAAUGAAAGAGUUCAAUAAAAAGAUUAGUUAUGAACGGAUACGUGACAGAAAUUCCGAAAGCGAUCUCUCAUGGAAUUGAAGCAAUGCGUGGGAACUCCAGGGUGAGGGCGAUGAUGGAUUAUUUGUGUGUUUGGGCAGGGUGUGAUUUCCCACAGAAAGAGAGCAGGGUGGCGCGAAUGACUAAGCCAUGGUCUAAACAAGUGGUCGGCACGAGGCGUGAGCAAGGCGGUAGGCGUCAACGGUGAGGUUUUGAAUUUUGAUUGAGGGAGGGUGUGCUGAAGUUUAUUUCAGGAUGAAACCAUAAAUUUAUGAAUACUUUUACAAGUGAAAUUUUAAUUGAAAAAAAAGAAGGUAAAUAAUUUGGAAAACUAUAAAUUAGUCUAAUAACAUAACACAUCUUCUGAUGGCAACACAUAUGGUGACAAUUCCAAUCUAAAAUACGUAAAAUAAAAACUCUGUCUUCCCCUUCUUCUUGAUAUUGUAUAUCUCUAUUUUUAAUUAAUCUAAUUUUAGGGUUUAGAAUAAGAAAGGGCAGUAAGCAAAUCCACCUUAACCUUUAACAAUCUACUCAACAAUUCCUUAACUUAACUCACACUUAAUUGUGUCUAAACAACAUUUAUGACUAUUAUUCAAACUUUAGGGACUCAAAAUCAACAUUAUCAAUUUGAUUUCACCCAAAUAGACACUUACUUGAACCAUCAUACACCAAAAAAUUAUUUUGUUUCAGAUUCUCUUACUGUAAUCUCAAGCUGGAUUUAAAAUCAUAAAUUUAUUAAUGGAUAAUAAUCGAGGGUUUUUUGUUUUUUGUUUUUAUGUUUUUUAAAUGGAACAUUUUUUAAAAUAGUAAAAUAAAUUUAAAUAUUUAUAAGUUAUAGCAAAAUUUUGAAUUUUAUCAAUGAUUGACACUCAUAAAAGAAACUGAACUGUCUAUUAAUAUCUAUUAUUGAUAGAAUCUGAAAAUUUUAAUAUUUUGUCAAAUUGGUUAUUUUUGACCCUUCUCUUUUUUAAAUUCUAUUUUUAAAAAAUAUUACUUAAGAAAACAUAUAGGGUUGGUAAGUCAUUUAAAAAUAAAAGCCUUCUAUCUUUGUUCCUAAUUUUAAAAAAAAAAUGUAAAAGGAUUGUUUGAAAACUUAUUUUUCUUUAUUUUUUGUCUUAAAUAAUUAAUUAUUGAACAAAUGUAUCUCAUAACUAAUUGGCUUUUUGGUUUUUUUUUUUUAAAAAAACUUGUUUUUAUAAUUAGAAAGAAAAAUUGAAAAUGAAAUAAAAAAAACUUUCAAAAUAGUUACAUUUUAUUUUUUAAAAAACAGAAAACAAAACCAAGUACCAAACAUGUAUAGUUUUUGUUUUUAAUAAAAAAAUAUUAAAAACAGAAAAAAGAAACACAACAAAACAAAAAUUGAAAUGAUUAUCAAACGGGGUUUUUAUGUAAUGCCCCUAAACCCAAGAUUCAAACCAUGAUUUGAAAUUCGGAUACCCGACAUUCCUCUAUAUCCCCUAUGACAUGGAAGUUUCAUUCUUAUUGUUUUAUAGACUUAUUAGAGCGAAGUUGUCCCCACAAACCAAUACAAAUCCUUUCAGUAUGCUUUACCCUCACUCACAUGCAUCCUAAGAAUUUUCAGGAGAUCACCCAACAUAAAAUUGCUCUAAGCUAAACACACUUAACUAUGAAGUUCUUGUGAUCAAGCCACACCAAAAAGGAAAGUGAACCUUAUUGAAAUAGAUAGUAACUUUUAAUUCUUUUAAGUCUUUCUUAACAUUACUUUCAUAUUCUCAUUUCAUGUUCUCAGAAUCUCUCUCAUUCAGAUGUGAUAUCGAUUCAUUCACGUCUCUCUCCUAAACUUAUGGAAUUACACUUAAAUUAUAAGUUUGCUUUCAAUUUAGUUUGUAGAUUUUAAAAUGUUACAAGGUUAGUGUGGGAAUUUUAGUUUUCUUUCAAUUUGAUCAAAAUGUAUUAAGAUUUCCACUUUUAACAUUGACUUACUAAAAUUAAUAUUCACUUUAGUUUUUGGUAGCUACAGCAGGUAGCAAUUUUAAGAAUGAUAACUAAGUGUACAACAACAUUUAAAAAAAAAUUCAACAAUAGCAAAGUCUAUCAACGAUAUACUUAUAUCGUUGAUAAACUUUUAUGGUUUAUUAAUAAUAGACUAAUAUUGGCAAUAUAGUCUAUCAGUGAUAGACUACUAUCAUAGAUAAACUAAGACAAACUUUGUUAUAUUUAUAAUUCUUUUAUAAAUAUUUAUAUAUGUGCAAAUACUUUAAAUCUAAUUAUUAUAAUUUCAGUAUAAUUGUCCAUUGAGUUUUUUACAAUAAUAUUUAUUAAUGAAAACCGUAGUUCAUAAGUAAUCAAAUACUAAAUUUGAGCAUUUAGCAUAAAAACAUGAAUGUUAAAAGUAUAAAUCCUAAAAUCUAGGUUGAAACAAAAUUCAAAUCUAGAGGUUAAAGUUGUAACAUUCUGAAAUCUAAAAAUUAAAUUGAAGUUAAACUCGAUGAGUAAGAACUAAACAUAUAAUAUUUUAAAAUUUAAACCCGAGAUAUAAACUAAGAUCUAAAAUUGAAAAAGAAAAAGAGUUAUUUUCCUUGCUUUGAAGAAGGAAAUUGUUGUAGAAGCCACUUUUCAAUUUAUAAGAUUUUCUUGGAGCAAUGAGCAAUAGUAGUGGGCUACUCUUACUAUGGUGCUUGGGCUUUCAAUAACAAACCUCAUUACCCAAACAAAGAUCUUGUUGGGCUUCUCCUGGCUCGCUCCCGUGAUCUACAUUUUCAUAUAUAAACCAAAUUUAAUCAUUUUCGAUUUUGUUCUCACACUCACCCACCAAACUCUUUUCUAAAAUACAGUGAUUUAGUGAUUCAAGAAACUAUUCUAAAAAAUGGGGUUGGAUCAAAACUAACGAUAAAAAGAGAUAAUUGUGAGAAUGACAAAAAAAUUGGAUAACGAACUAAAAGAUAGCAAAUUUAAAAAAUAUUAAGAUUUAUAGUAAAAUUGGGGUUGUAGACUUCUUUUUUUUUCUUAACCAAUUAUACUCAUUUGUAUACAAAAUUUCUUUUCCUUAAAAUAAAGUAUAUUUGUAUAGGUAAAAACUGAUACAGGAUAUCAAAGAUUAACAGAUACAGUGAAUUUACAAAAAUCAUCAAUUUUUUGGAAAAUAUUAAAUAAUUUUUUAUUUUGGAAGCCAAUGUUAAGAACGAAGGUGAUUUUGACAUACUACAGUGGUGGAACAGUGAUCGACUUGAGGUUCUUAGUCAUAUGGCUAAGGAUAUUUUGGCUAUUUCAUUUUCUACUAUAGCGUAUGAGUCGACUUUUAGUGCCAAAGGACGUUUUGUUGAUUCAUCACAUUGCUCAUCGCUCCUAAAACAGUGGACGCUCUCAUAUGUACUCAAAAUUGGCUAAAUUUUGAUCCAACAGAUUUUUAAGUUCAACAUGAAUUGGAAGAGGCUUCAACAUUUGAAGAAGGUAUUAUGCAAAUUUUUUAAUGAUGUGUAUUUUAUAAUUGUAAUGUGUAAUUUUACCGAAUUUCAUGAAGUUGUUUUUCUCCGCUUAUUCUUGAUUUUAAUUAUAUAGGAUUCUAGGCUUUUUCUUAUUACUUGUCAUCUAACAAUUUUUUUUUUUAAAAAAAUGAACAAAGCCGGUGAUCCAAACUUCCACUCUAUCAACAACAUUUGAGACAAAAGGUAUUAAUCUUUCUUUUCUUUUUUUGAUGAUAAUUUUAAAUUCACAUAUUUGCAUUACAAAAAAUCACGUGAAAAUUGCCGGUAUUUCUUUAUUACUACAAAUGUAGUAAAUGUUAUCAGUGCAUCAGUGAAACGUCGUGAUAUUUUUCAGUGUGUUUAUUAUAUAGUGUCAUGUGUCCUAUAUAAAAUUUUUGAAUCCACCACUGCUUGCACUAUCCAGUAUCAUCUCCCUUUAAAUGCACGAAGUUGGUCAGGGAUGGAGAAUUUCUCUGUCUCUAUCCUUUUUGCAAAUCCUACUUCUCCUUUUAAUAUACUACAUGACAAUUUGGAGUAGAUAACCAAAGUACUAUAUGUGAUUUUUUUAAAAAAGAACAAAUAUUAUGAAAAUGUUUAAUAAAAUUUAUAUAAAAAAAAGUCAUUUGGUUGUUAAUUCUUUGAUGGAUGAAUAUUACCAAGAAUAACAGGUUAUUUUAUAAUAAAAAAGUUGUUAAAACAUACCAAAAAAAAUUAGAAAAAAAGGAGAUGAUAACAAUUUUUUUUUACAUAUCACAAAUAACACAAAUAUGACAAGUAAUUAGAUAUAUGAAACAACUAUCAGACAGCUAUCAACUCUUAAAUUUACUACUUUUGCAAUUUAUAAAAUGUAGUGACAUAGACCAUAUUAUCAUAAAUGUUUUUGUUAUUUUUGCAAACACCCUUAUAUUUAUUGUUUAAUAUAAUUUAUUUGAUGGCAUGUUUUAAUUAAAAGUUUGCCAAUAACUUUUUUAUGAGAUAUUUUUUAAAAUAGCAAAAUAAAUUAAAAUGUUUACAUACUAUUGCAAAAUUCUGAAUUCUAUCAAUGGUAGUCACUGAUAGACUCCUAUCACAAGUGACUAUCAAUGUCUAUUAUUGAUAUAAUUGGAAAAUUUUACUAUAUGUUGUAAAUAUUUCGUCACGUUUGUUAUUUUUGACAAUUUUUCUUUUUUAUUAUUAAUUUUUCUUUUUUAUUAUUAAUUUUUCUAGUAAUGACACGUUUUUCAUUUUUAAGAAAAAUUGCAAAAACCACGCUUAAAAUACAAAUAACAGUUUAAAUUACACCUUUAAAACUUUCAAUUAUAAAAGAUGGACCUCUAAAUUUUUACCAGUCUCCAAAUUAAACCUUCGAAAUUUCACUAAUUACAAAAUAUGGAUCCAUAAAUAAUAAAAUUGAACUCAUAAACUUGUACCAUUACUACAAUUUAUAUCAGCACCCAUAAGUUUGAAGGUCCAAUUUGAUCCAAUUUUUUAAUAUUCAUAUAAGUGGAAGAGCUCCAUUUUAAUUUAAAAGUAUAAUUGCAAAAACAUGUUAUACUCUUUCUUAAUUUAAACGUUUUUCUUUCUAAUUAAUUGAAAACUAAAACCACUCAUUUUCUCUUCAUAUAUUAUUUCAAAAUGAAGGUAUUUAAGCUAUUUUCUUUUUAAAAUUGUAAAUAUUCAUGCAAUUAACUGAUUGCUUCCUCUACAUUCCAAUGCUUUGUGGAAAAGGAUUAAAAUUUGUCAAUCACAUUUGUCUCAUUGUUCUCACUCAAAUUGCUAAAUAAUGGAGAGAGAGAGACUUCAAGAUCUGAUCCAAAAACUUCAAUCCUUUUUUGCACUAAAAAAUAAGAUUGCUUGGAAUCUCAACCUGAUAAAUAAAUUAAUUACACUAAAGAAGGAAAAAAAAAUGCUAAACUUCUAUUAGAAUUAACAUCCAACUUGUUAAAAUUUAGAGUUAAACUCUGGAAGAGUUGAAGAAUAAGGUGACAAAUUAAUACAUUCGAAUCUUCAACCUUUCUACAUAUUGUAGUACUAAAAACCAAUAUUAAAAUAUUAUUAUUCGUAUAGGAUAUAUAUUACUAUUAGAAAAGUGUAUCUUUUUUGUUCUCAUUUUUAUUUAACUUUUUUAAUUCAGCCCCAGUAAAAGUAAAAUAUUAAAACUUUUAAAAUAAGUAGAUUGAAUUGUGUAUAAAUAUAAUAACUAGUUAAUACAGCUAAUUGAGUUUAAGAACGAGAUCUAAAUUUUCAUACAUAUAAAGAAAAAGUAAUUAAUUACUAUAUAUUUACAAUUGUUAAUUGAGAAGAGUAAGUAACGUUUUAUCUGCUAAACUAUGAUUAAAUUAGCGAUGAAAUUCCGAGAUGAAGAUCCACAUGAACAACCCUUCUUCCAUUUCAUCAAAUUUAUUUCUGGGUUUGAGAUAAAAGAGAGAAAGGAUCUCUCAUUGACCUAAAAGAAAAACAAAAACUAACAUUACAAAGACAUGAAAUCUAGAGAGAGAGAAUUAAAGUAAAAAAAGAAAAAAAAAAAGUUUCAAGACAGACGGAGAGUUGGGUGUUCAAGUAGACGGCGCCGUUUUUGGAAGCUGAGAGAAGUGACCGGCGCCGGAGCCUUCCUGACCUGCUGGAUUCUUUGACCGCUGAAGAACGGUGGCAGCGGCGGCUGCGGCAGCAGCAUUUGCAGUAGCUUGAGAUGGCUGAUGGGGUUGGCCGGAAACAGCACCGGCGACUCCGAUAGAGAAGUCCAAGAUCUGAGAGGGAUCCUCGGCGGAGAUGAAGUCCGGGGGGAGAACUUGAGAGAGCUGACGUUGGUGUCGCGGGCGGGGCAUAGUUAGAGAGAGAGAGAGAGAGAGAGGGAAUUUUAGAGGGAGAAAGUGAGAGAGCGAAUGAGAAUGGUUUGGAUUUUGACGAAUUUAAGAAGCAGCCACUCCAUACGAUCAAAUCCGUUCACGCGCGCGCGUCACUUCACUCUCCAUUUCCAAUUUUCUUUCUUUCUUUUUUGUUUCCAUUGUUUUUCAAAUAUCCAAUGAAAACAUGGUUGAAUAGAUGAGAUAUAAAAUUAAUUACUAUCUCAAAACUAAAUUCAUGUUCCCAUCUCUACUCCUAAUUAUUCAAAUUCAAAGAAUGUUUGUACAAUUUUUUUUUAUUAUUUUAUUGUUUACAUUUUAUUAACUUUUCUCUUUUCCAAUUUUUUUUUCUAAUUUUAAAUAAUUUAUUUGGAUUUUAAAAAUAUUGGGAGGUAGAUAAUUAUUUUUGAGAUCAUAAAAAGUAAAGAAAUUUGAGGUUUACCAAACAACUAUGAACAAGAAUAGAUUCAUUUUCAGGUUUAGGGUUUAGAUGAAGACUCACAUUAAAUUUUUACAUGUGAAUGAGAGGGGUUGUUUUUGUUUGACCAAACUGCAGUUUAGUUUUUUCUUUCUUUCUUUUCUUCUUUAUUUUUUAAGAACAAAACUGCAUGUUAGUUGACUCCAUGAAGGUCUUCUGGUAAAUUAAAAAUAGGAAAAAAGUGUAUGGAGUUUACAAGUGGCUUAUAUUAGGACUAUUAAUUUGUUGGUUAUUGAAAAUCAUUGGUGUUUUAGGUGUUUAAGGGUAUUCAUGUUUUCAAAUCCAUACUAAAUCGAUUGUCAAACAAAUAGAAUUAAUCUGUUUGAUUCAAUUUUAUACAAUACUGAAACCAAAUUAUGGGGUUUAGUUGCACGUUACUUUUCAAAACUUAAAUGAAAUUGAACCAAACCAAAUUAAUUAAAGAGAGUGUUAUGAGACAAACAAACUAAAUAAUACUUGGUAAUCCUUCAUUAUAUGUGUUUCUCAAUAUUACAAUGUGUUAUUGAGGUUGGUUGGCUUAUUUUAUUAUAGAUCUAUUAAUAAAUAUAUGGAUUAAAUAGGUUUGAAGAUUUGAUUGAUGUGCGUUUAUUAAUAAUCAUAUGACUAAUAUUUAUUAAUAAAGACAUUCGGUUGGUUGGGAUUGUUUUCAUAUAUUCAAGUUGGUUAUUAAUAAAUGUUAACCAUGUUUAUUAACAAAUUGAUGGAGUUGGAUGUUGUUUUGUUACGACGUUUUUUUACCUAAAAAAUAUUAGCUUGUAGGCAUGCGAUAGUGUUGUGGUUGAAGACAAAAGUGUGGCAAAUGUGCAACAAAGUUAUGUGUUGAAAGAAAAAGGAUUCUCUCGAAAAACAUUUGCAGUGAUAUAUUUAGAUUUGUGGAAGUUUUAGUGUGCUCCUUCAAGAACCUAUGUGUUACAAUACUGCAUAUCGAAUAUAAGAGAUUAAGAAGCAAUUCAAGAUUGCUGAACGAAGACAUUGCAACUGGUCAUUGAUUAAGAGGGAGUGAUCCUAUUAAUGUUACGACAAUUGUUUUCACACAAUUCUUAGUUCUGAUGUUCGUGAGUCAGUCCAUGGUCAGCACAUUGAUUCAAGUUUAGAGUUCAACAUAUUGGUUCACGUGUAGAGUGUUGUACCCUAUGUCAUAACAUUGUAAUGGUCAAUUACUACACGAGCAAUAUAAUCCUCUUAUCAUGGGUCUAAGGUCCUCCAAAUUUAGAUGUUGUGUCAUUGAACUACGUUACCAAAGUUUGAUGUGUUCUCUAUGAUUUUAUGUGCUUCCGUAGUUGUUCUUUUCAGUUAUUAACUCCCGGUACAAUAAACAAUACAAGAAUAACUAUAAUGAGCGUUUUCUCACAAUACAAUCAGUUGAUUUCAGUUUCAUAAUUAAAUAAAGAUGUCUAUUGUAUUGUAGGAUAUAAUUCCAACUUAUCAGCCAUACAAGACCAUCGUGUUCGAGGGAGGUGAUUAGGAGGAGUAAACGAUGGGAUGAACUUUACCAUAUAAGAAAAGUUGUCAUAGUACAAACAAUUUUAAUCUCAAGUCAUUCGUUCUCAAGAGAAUAUCCUAAUCGAUUAGGACUUUACUAUCUUCGAAAAGGUGCCACACAUUACAAGCACUUUCAAGUUUACUCUAUGAAAAGGUGUCAUAGUACAAGUAAUUUCAAGUUCAAGUUUGUCCCCUUGGAGCUAUGACAUAAUCAGUUAGGACACAUCUUUCCAAGAAUGCAGUGAAGUUUCUCCCUGUUCUUUAUAAUUCUAGGAGUCAUUUGAACAUAGGUUGCAAAGUUUCUCAUCCAGCUAAACAUGUUUGCAGUAAUUUUUCUUCAAGUCAAAGUAAAUCAACUUGGAUAUUUGAAUAGCUCGAUUGUGGUUUAUGGGGUCCGUAUGAUUAACCAUCUUAUUGUGGUGCUCGUUAUUUUCUACUUUAGUGGAUUACUAUUCUCCAGUUGAAUGGGUUUAUUUGUAGAUUGAUCAAAAAUAAGUUUUUCAUAUGUUUAUGUCCUUUAUUGCUAUGAUUGAUCCACAAUUUGCUCAAAAGGUGGAAAUUGUUCAGAGUGAGAGUGGAACUAACUUUAACUGCAUGAAAAAUUAUUUUCCAAACCUCUUGUGUGGGUACACAGCAGCAACAAAAUGGAAGGGUGGAAUGCAAACUUAAAUAUAUUUUGAAUAAUGUUGCUUCUGCUUUAAGAUUUUAGGGAGAAUUACCAGGGAUAAAUGUGUUUUAGCUGCUCAUCUACUAAAUUGGACACCAUCCAAUGUUAUCUUCAACAAAACUCCAUAUAUGAGAUUCUUUUUCGUUAUGCUCUUUCAUUUAGUGACUAACAAACCAUUGGAUGCUUAGCUUUCAAACAUAAUCAACAAGCUAAAGGUGACAAGUUUGCUAGUUGAAGUCAUAAACGUGUUUUUACGUGGGGUAUUCAUUUGUCGAAAAGGUUUUAUAUUUUAUUUGAUCUUGAGAUAAAUGAGUUUUACGAUUAAUUAGUUACGACGAUGGUACUAAGGCAUGCAUGUUGGUUUAGGAAGUCUUGUGAUCAAACCUCUACAUUGUUGUUCCAUCGAUUGAAAUUGAUAUUAUUUUGUUGAGUAUUUUACAUAUUUCAAGCCCACAAGUGAAGGAGAGUAUUAUUGAUAUGAAAUUAAAAUUUAUUUCUCUCCCACUUCUAACUUAAAUAUCUUGGUCAAUUGGCGAUUUAAGAACUAUCAAUCAUUGUAGCUUCUCAACCUCUUGUUUUUCCCUCUUAAUGGUUAGUUUAGUCGUCCCUCAAUCUUAAGUUUUGAUGUCGCUCGCCACCACUUGAUUGCAAACAACAUAUUAAGUUUCGCCAUAGUUUUUGCUCAACCCUUUUUAUUACUUCUAGUCCAAGAGGUGAAUCCACAGAAUCAUAAUUCAUAUGUGGUUUGGUUGGGUUUUAGUUAUAUAUGUAUUUAAUCUUUUUUUUUUAUUUAGAUCAAUUUGCCCCUAAACCGAACCAUCAAAUACCCUUAUUUGGUAGCAAAAUUCAUAAAUGGUGUUAUAAUUUUAACCAUUGUUUUAAAUGUAAUAGUACUAUGGACAAACCAUAAAACUAAUUCAACCUACCUACUAAAUAUUAAGUAUACUAUUAUUGAUUAAGUUAUAAACAUGUUUUAUGUUCAAUUUUUGUAUAAUCAUUAUUUUUUUCAAUAUUGUAUAACUUAUAAUUAUUCAUUAUAUAAUAUAUACAUUAGUUUUUUAAAAAAGAAUUGAGUUCAUAACAUCAAGCAUUGCUUUUCUUUUGUUUUUAUCUUUUUUAAAAUAUUUUUUUACUUUAAGUUUUAAAAUUUAAAAUUCAAAUUAUGGAUACACCAAAAAGUUUUCUUUUUUUAUAAUUUAUAUCUUUUGAAUCACAAAAUUAAAAAAAUUGAAACACCCUAGAACAUGAAAUUAUGAUUAAGAAAAGUUUAAAAGAAACGAACGUCACUACCAUUAUCAAAAAAAUACACGUUCAUUUCAGUGGUUGAAUCAUAAAAAGUUCAAAGUUAAGCGUGCUAAGCUUUGAAAAAUCCUAUUUCAGGUGAUCUUAAAAUUCUCUUAUAAAACAUCCUAAAAUGAACCACAUUGGUUUGUGAGAGUAACUUGAGAAUGUUAGAGUUAUUAGUUACUAAAUCUUGAUCGGAAUCCUAAACUUGGGGCGUUACCAAAAGUUUGAGACACAAAAUUCAUAUUGAGAAACAAUAACUUAAUGUAUCUGCAAACAAAAUAGUAUCUAGAUUUAGAACCAAACAAAACCUUCUACUUUAUUACAUGAAAUUUUGUGUGUUUAUUUUCUAAUAUAUAGAUAAGAUAAAUUUGAAAUCUAAGACUGAAAAAAAAUAACUUUGGGAUGGAAAUAAAGUUAAUGCAUUAUUUACAUAAGUUGUUAAAAAAGCUAAAAUAAUUAAUGUACGGUAUUUUAAAUUUUGUGGUUAGUGUUAUAUGAAUAAAGAAUGUGACAAAGAUUCCAUAAGUAUUUUUGUUUUAUUUUUAUUUUUAUUUUUAAAUUUAAUCUCCCUAUUUUUACACCAAUUUUAGAAACUAUGCUUCAUUUUCUUCUCCUCAUCAUUCAUUGCAUCAUGGAAAGUUACACCAAUCACUUUUGACCUAUAAUAACUACUUCCAAACUUAUCUUCAUCCUCCUCUCUUAAUUAGAAAAAGUAAAAACAAAAUAAAAAUAAUUAUUUAUAGAUUAUCUAUAUUUUAAAUUUUAAAUUAAAGAAUGGAUUAUAUUAAAUAAAGAUAAUAAUAUUUAAAUAUAUAAUCAUGUUAUAAACUUAAAUAUAAUCAUCAAACUCUUGUUUUUAUCAAAUGCGCUUACCAUACAUAUAUGCUUUGUAAUUCAUUCACAGCACGUGAAAAUACUUUGUUUUACAAAUAUUAAUUAAAUCUUACCUAAAAGUAAAAUAAUUUUAAUUCCUCACUAAUUUUUAAAGUUAACAUUGCAACACUUUGAUAAGUUUUGAAAACAAAACUUUAAAUUAAGAAUUUGAUACAAUCUGACAUGUCUAUAGGUUAAAUUAUUCUAUGUUGACCUCUGGACUGAAAUGUUUGUUCAUCAUAGUUCUUAUAAAUUUGGAUGUAGUUCAUGUAUAUAUAGCCUACAGACUAGUGAUGCCAAUUGUACAUGUUGGACUAUGUACGUGAAUUAAUAAAUUAUUGUAUUAGAUUAUUUUAUUAAAUUAAGUCUAUUAUGUGAUCUAUUUAAUUAAGGUCAAAGAUUCCUAAUUGAGUAUGAAUUAAAUGGGUAGAAGCCUAUUACUAGAUUGAUUAGGAUUUAACUGGAAUUCUAUGAACUAGUAUAUAAAGAGAUUUAGGUCUGUGGUUCAAAGAUACUAAAACAAUAAGCACUCAGUCUUUCUUGUAUCUCACCGAGAGAAAGAUCUCACUAAGGGUAUUCAUGGUUUUGGUUGAGAAAGAUAAUAGUCAUUUUAUAGUCUUUAGGCAGCGACUAUUUUAUAGCCAUCAUUAAUGGAAUCAAAUAUGUAACUUAUUCUUGACAAUUCGACAUGAAUGAUAUUGGGUUAAUCUAUUAUAUAGAUUUAAAGCAAAUAUGCCAACAAGUGGUAUCAGAGCAUGAACUUCAUGUUGAAUUGUUGGAAUAUGUUUGUUUUUUUUAUUAUUAUUGAUUUUUUUAUCCAAGAUUUUAUUAAUCAUAUUUUGGUUUUAAGUUUAAUGGUUGUUGAUUCAAGAUUUGAUUAAUCAUAUUGCGUUUUUAAAGUUAAAUGAUUCUUGAUUCAAGAUUUGAUUAAUCAUAUUGUGGUUUUUCAAAGUUUAAUGUUUCUUGAUUCAAGAUUUGAUUAAUCAUGUUGUGAAUUCAUGUUUAAUUUGAUUCAGAUUAAUUGAUCAUCCCGUGGAUUAAACUUGAAUGAUAAUUUUUUGUGAUAUUCACAUGUUUAUGUUAUAUUAGUUGCAUUUUAAUGUACCCAAUUAUUGGAUGAAUUUUGGUAAAGAUUAUUUGGUGUUCUUCCUUCAUUAUUUGUUUACAAUAAUAAAAUUAUUGUUAUUGUGUCUUAUUUUUUAGAUGAAUUGGUCAAAAUAACAUAUUGUCAAAGCAGUCUAUGUUAUCUAGAUUAGUUUAAUUCUAGACUAGGAUAUACAUAUUCAUUGAUUUAUACGAAUAAUUAUCAGCCUAAAGGAAGAUAAUUAUUUGGCCAAAUUAUGAGUAUGCGUGUGGUAAUGAGUAUGUGACAAUUAUAAGGAUUGCACAUGAGAAAAAUAGUCAGUCCAAAGAAAGGCUAAUUUUUGUACAGAGUUUAUUGUCAGUACUUUGAUUACUACGUUGAGAGUACCAUUUACACAGUUGGUGUUUCUACCCAAAGGUUGGACAUCAAUGUUGUGCUAGGUAUCUUGUAAAAGGGGCCACCAUAUAUGUGAAAUUAUUUUGUCAUAUUUUAUUUUAUGACAACCAUUAAUUGUGAGUAUAUAACUUAUUUGUUUGUUUUUUUGUUUAGUUGGUCUUGCUCAAAUAUCUAGAAAUAUGUGUUCGAUCCCUAAGUUGAAUGGAUCAAAUUUCAAAAUUUGAAAGAAAAGCCUAGAGAUACUUCUCGAGAGUAUGAAUCUAGACCUUGCAUUAAGGACUGAUAAACUUGCCUUCUACUAAGAAACAAUCAAAUACGACUAAUAUUGAGAAGUGAAAACAAUCAAAUCGCAUGUGUCUCCUGAUUAUUAGGCACUUCAUUCAAGAGUUUUUUUCCAGAUUCUAUCACUAAAAAGUGAAAAUGUCAAAAAGUUCCUUGCCGAAAUUGAAAAAUAUUUUGCUAAAAAUGAAAAAGGAAAGGCAAGUAUUCUUUUGACUACUUUAACUUCCAUGAGGUAUAAGGUUAAUGGAAACAUAAGAGAGUCUAAUAUGGAAAUGUCUAAUCUCGUUGGUAAAUUAAAGGCAUUUGAUAUCGAGAUAAAUAAAAAUUUACUCAUACAUCUAGUACUUAUCUCUCUUCCUACACAAUUCACUCAGUUUAAGAUAAGUUAUAAUACUCAGAAGGAUAGAUAAAGUAUUAAUGAGUUUAUCUCACAAUGUGUGCAACAAGAAGAUAGGAUUAAGAAAGAAGAGACAAAAAGUGCUCACUUGGCAACUAACUUUCAUGGUAAGAAGUAUGAUUAAUCAUUCUUCUUUACCGAAAUCCCUCUUAGGUGAGACACUAAAGACUGCAACAUAUAUUCUCAAUAGGGUACCUACUAAAGCCGUAGCUAAAAUCCAUUAUGAGUUGUGGAUAGGAAAGAAAGCCUAGAAUUAGGCAUCUUCACGUCUGGGGUUGUCAAGCUGAGGCUAGGCCUUACUGGCCUAACGAAAGAAAAUUGGACCCAAGAACUAUUAGCUGCUAUUUUGUUGGGUAUUUUGAGCAUUCUUGGGAUUUCAAGUUUUAUGAUCCCACUUCGAGAUCAUUUUUUGAGACUGAAAUGCCAGAUUUCUUGAGAAUGUUGAGUUUGAAAGAAAGAUAACAUAAAGAAAGUUGUCUUUGAAGAAGAAUUAUUUUCUCUUCCUAAUGUGGGCAUGGAUGAUGUUCAGGCUGGAAUUCUUGACUUCACUAUGAAACUAAUUAUAGAACAAGACAACAAUGAAGUUCCUAUUGAAUCUGAAAUUUAAACUCAAUAAUCUCAAGAAGUGACAUUAAGGAGGUCCACAAGAGAAAAGAGAAGUGCAAUUUCAAAUGAUUAUAUUGUGUUUCUUCAAGAACAUCAGGAUAAUAUGGGCAUAAUGGAAGAUGAUCCAAUCAACUUCCAACAAGCUCUAUAAAGUCCUAACUAUCAAAAGUGGAUAAAUGCUAUGGAAGAGAAAAUAAAAUUCAUGAAAUUAGACAAUGACAUUUAGGAAUUUGUGGAAUUGCCAUCAGGAGUGAAACUCAUAGGUUGUAAAUGGAUAUUUAAAACCAAAAGGGAUUCACAAGCUAAAAUCAAAAGAUAUAAAGCUCGUUUUGUUACAAAGGAUAUUACUCAAAAGGAAGACAUUGAUUACAAAGAGACUCUCUCCAAUUUUGUCGAAAGACUUUUUCAAGGUAAUCAUGGCAUUGAUAUCUCACUUUGAUUCAGAGCUACACCAGAUGGAUAUGAAAAUUGUGUUUCUCAAUUGAAACGUUGAUGAGACAAUUUAUAUGGUACAACCAGAAAACUUUAUAUCUAAUAAUUCAAAGUCUAUGGUAUGCAAAUUGAAGAAAUCUAUUUAUGGUUUCAAACAAACCUCUCGUCAAUGGUAUCACAAAUUUUAUUAAGUAAUUACCUCUUUUGGUUUUGAGGUGAGUAUAAUGGAAGAUUGUGUAUAUCACAAGUUCAAUGGGAGUAAAUCUAUUUUCUUGGUGUUAUAUGUUGAUGACAUACUCAUAGCAAAUAAUGAUGUAGGUUUAUUGCAUGACAGUAAGAGAUUUCUCAAAAGAAAUUUUCAGGUGAAGGAUCUUGGUGAUGCUUCUUUUGUAUUAGAAAUUGAAAUACUGCGAGAUUGCUCUCGGGUAUUAGACUUUUAAAAGAUUGUUUUUUUUAUAAAAAAAAUGAUUAGGGAUAGACACAUUUAAAAGUAUAAAUUAUAAUUAAUAAAACUAUAAAUUUUGGUGUAAUGAUACAAUUAUUUAUUUGUGGUCUAAACCGGUACAACAUUUAAAAGUAUAAAUUAUAUAUAUAUAUAUAUAUAUUUAAUUAUUUUGGUUUAGAAAAUAACAUAUCUCUUCUAUAAUAUAAUAAUGUAAAUUUUAUAUAUAUUAAUUAUGUCUAGCAGAAGGGAGCUCUUUUUCGUCAAAUGGCAGAAGGGAUACUUAUCUCAUAGACAUGAUAAAGCAUUGCCCAUUGAUAAAUAUUAAACACAUAAAUAAACUAAGUUGAAUAAAGGUUAUAAAUGUCUGUGAACCUUUAUUUUAUAUUCUUUUUAACUCGAUAGAUGUGCAAAAUAAAAAGAGAAGGAAGUGAAAUUUCUCCACAGAUUUACAAAACUUAAAAAGGAACUAAAUAUAUUUUUAAAUAUAACGAAAUAAAUUAAAAUAUUUUAAAAAUAUAGUAAAAUAUUAUCAGAUAUCUGCUCUACCGUGAUAUACUAUUAUUUGUAUCAUUAUAGAUAAUAAUAUUUUUAUUAUAUUUUGAUCACGAUAUACUAUUAUCUAUAUCGUGAUAGAUAAUAAUAUUUUAUUAAAUUGGUAAAUAUUUUUAUAAACCUUGUCUCAUUUGAAGUAAAUUUUGAUAUUAUUAAAAUUAAAAACAUCCACUUAUAAUUUUUUUUUUCUUCAAAAUCAAAAUCACUAAUUUAACCUUUACCGUAAACGAAAUGUUUUUCAAUAUACGACCUUGACAAAAUACAUUUGAAAAAUAAUUAUCUCACGUUAGAAAAUUUCAAAGAAGUAAUAGUCUCCAACAUAAUUUUAGUCACGAACAUAAUUUGAGAGGAAGGUAUGCCUUUAAAUCAUUGAAGUAAAAAAAAAAAAAAACUUUUAAACUUGCAUAUACUAAACUCUAACUAAAUUUUGUUUUUAUUUGUUGGUUUUAAAAUAUAAGAUUAAAGGGUGUUGUAGUACAAACAUUUUGACAAAGUGGUUUUGUAAUUAGAAUUAGAGAUAAUGAUUUCUUUGUGAUGGAAACAAUUUUGUUUCUAGUAAAUUAUCUUUAUAGAAUCUUGGCUUCUGUUUUAAGUUUGGAGUUUUAUGUUUUGUAGAUUUGUUGUUUUCUUUUUAACUUUUUUUUUAUUUCUUUUUCACCUUUCUCUAUGUUAGUAGUGAAAAGUUUCCCACUCAUUAAACUCAAACAUUGCCUUUUAUUUUGGAUAAGGUGAGAAGGAUUCGAUUCAUAUAUAUAUAAGUUAUUAAAAAUGAGGAGGGUGGCAUCCGUUUUAGGGUAUUAUUAGUUGGUUUGAGCCUAUAUGUUCUUAGGAUGGAAUGAGUAUUUUCCAGUGGGAGUUAGGGAUGGGAAAAUUAGAACAAUAAUGUUGGGUUUUUAAUAAUUUAAUUAAGUCGGAGUGUGAAAGUAAAUGGAAAGAUGGGUAAUUGGGUAAUUGGGAAUAUGGAGUGAAAAAGAUUGUAAGGGUGAAAUGUAGAAUUUAAAAUAGAAAAAGUGAAACAAUGCCACGUGUAGAAGAGGUCCCUCAGAAUUUGGAGGAUUGCUCCAAUAAUGUUGGUGGUGGGAGUCAGCGUACGGUGAUGAUUAAAUUAAAAUAUAGGGACCACUAAAAGACAAACACACCCCUUCCAAAACACACACGGACCACAUGCAUUCAUCUAACUAAACACUCCAUAUUCAUUUUCUUUAUGUUCUAUAUACAUAUGUAUAUCCUAUUCUUUUUCCAAACAUUAUUACCAAUUCAAACUCAUCUAUCGUAAAAAUAUAUAUAUAUAUAUAUAUAUAUAUCCUAUUCCUUUUGUAUGAGAAGAUCUUUUUGUGAUUCUUCAACCUUAUCCCAUAUAUAUAUAUGUAAAUAUAUGUAGCAAUAAUCUGCUAACUCUGUUACUCUGUGUGUUUCAGAACUCCUGUCCCUGCACUGUGUACACUUUAUGGCCACAUUCAUUUUAGCUUCUCUACAAUAUUAUAUAAUUCUACAACAAAACAAUGCUCUAAAAUUUCAUCAUUAUUUUUUGUGUUUUGUGUUCCUCAAUCUGUCCUUUCCGGUCACAAUCUUGUUUGGUUCUGUAUGUAAUAUGAGGGACACCUCACAAUUCCAAACUGUGCUAAUCAACCCUCAAUUACUCGUUUCAAGUCCGAGAUCACAUUGUCAUAUUGCUUCAUGCAUGACAGAGGUAUCUUAAUUAGACUUGAUGGAUCAAUAUAUAUAUAUGUACUCAUGCUAGUUCUUCAACCAUAUGUCUUUUAUCAUGGGAUUAAAUGGUUUAGUUAUAAUAGAUAAUUUAACAUUAGGGUAUAUAAUUUUGAGUUAAAAAGAAACCAUUCGACUUAAUGAAUGAGAGAAUAGCAUAAGAUAAGUGAACAGAGAGUACGUUUCCCUUUCAAAUUUUCUUAUCAGUAUAAGACUCUUCUUUUCUUACAAUUAUGAGAAGGCUAUGAAUCAUCCUUUUAUGUACUACAUAUAUGUGGACAUAAACCAUCGGAAUGUCCACAACUGAAAUCCCAAGCCCUUCUACAACUCUUCUAGAAAGUUCUACCACCUUGGUAACAAUUGUUGCACUUCAAUGGAGCUAAUUAAAUAGUAGAAAAACCUGCAAAACAAAAUUAUGUUGACAAAAUGGCUGACUCGCGAAUCUCCACUAUUACAAAACUUAAUUUACUUGACGUUUAAGAAUUGUCAAGUAUCUAUUUACUUGACACUUUUCAAUGCGUCAAGUAAUCUAAUGUCAAGAAUAAGGGAGCUUUAUUUGAUAGUUUUUAAGCGUAAAGUACAAUUUUGGCUUGGUUUUAUUAAACUUGAUUUUAUUUUUAGGUUAGUGUUAAUUGUGCACCACACAAACCAGCAUACCCAUAAUUUAAAAUUUUAGAUCCAUAAUCUUUUCAAAUGGUGUGAGACAAUAUAUGGUUGAAAAAUAGUGCAACUGAUCACUCAAAAUUUUGAUGCAUGUAAAUAUGUGAUGCAAAUUUGGCUUACACUUUUAAUAACAUUAAAUUUAGAUAUGAAGUUGAACUUGUACCCAAUAUAUAUGUCUUUUGAUGGUAAUAGAAUUACAUCUAUCUAACUUUAAACGAGAUAAAUGUUUGCUGAUUAUUAAUUGACUACGCUAAUUAUGUAUUUUCAUUUGUCUUUGCAUCUUAUAACCUUUAACUUUACAUAAAAGAAUUAUACUUCUUAUUAAUUGAAUUUACUAUCUAUGGUUAACACUAGUCGAUAAAAUACAAAAAAAAAAGUAGUCAAAUCUAAAGGAUUUUUGUUCAACAUUUUUGGUAUACGAUCAUUUAAAAUUUGGUAGUCAAAUCUGAACAAUUUUUUUCAUGAUUUUUUGGUAUGAUAGUUUAUAUUUGGCUACUUUUUGUACACAAUAAUGGUUUAGAUUUGCUCGUUUAAAUUUGCUAAAUCUGAACAAUUUUUUUAAGAUUAUUUGUAUAUGAUCAUUUAGAUUUAGCUAUCCAAUAUUCCAACAUUUUUUUUUCGAACAACCAAACAACAUUUUGUUUGAAAAAAAAUAGAUCUUUUAUAUUUGAUACACGAUCUUGAACCAAAUAACAAUUUUAAAAAAUAAAAGAAAAGAAAAAUUAAGAAGAAGAAGAGAAAAAGAAAAUUCCAUAAAAGAAAGAAGAUGAAAAUGAAUGACAAAUUUAUAAUAUUUAGAAAAAAAAUAACCGAUUUCAUGGCUUUUUUAUUUUAUUGCACGAGCCAUAGAUAUUUUGGUAUUUUGUUAUAUUUAUGAAAAUUAACCAAAAAAACUUCAUUUAUCUAAAUUUAGAUUAAAAAUAAUGUAUUUGAUAGUGGCCUAUAUAGAUUAAACAUAAUUGUAUAUAUAAAAAUAAAAUACAAAGGCAACCCAAUUGAUAGAUUGACAAAUUUUAAGGCAUAAAAUUAACAUGGAGCAAAAUUUAGACCAUCAAAACAUUUUACUAUUCACAUGUAACACUUUAGAAAUAAUAAUUAAGUAUAUAAUAAUAUUUUUAAAAAAGUUUAUAAAUUUAGCAAAGUUGAUUAAUAAAGACUUUUAUCAUUAAUAGAUAAUGAUCACCAAACCUACAUCAUUGCAGUAGGAGAAGAAGGAGGUUAAAUGGGAGAUCACUAGUGAAGAAAACACGAGAAUAGUCACACAAGUAGUUAAGUAAUUGUUAUUGUGUUAUGGGUUGUUAUUUUGUUACUAGUUGUUAUGCUGUUAUUCUGUUAGGAUCUGCUACUAGUUGUUAUGUUGUUAGGAUCUGUUACUAGUUAAUGGGUAAUUAGUUGGUAAAUAUAUUAGUAUAAAUAAGAAAAGACUAGAAGAUAAGAGGGCAGAAAGUGAAUUAGAGAUAUUUUUGCAAUUCCUUGAGAGGUAGGAAGGUAGAUUAGAGAGAUUUUCAAAUUGAGAUCUCCUCAAUUUCUCUGUAUUAAUUCCUGAAUCUGAAGCAAUAAAAGAGAUUCGUUACAUGAAUCAACUUGGUGUUCUAUAAUAAAUUUUAUCAUAUUUACUAUUUUUUAAAAAAUGUUAUUAUUUGAUAAUAUUUUCAAUCAAAUUAUUAUAUUUCUAUUUUUCACUAACAAAAUGUGAGUAAAGUGAACCUAAGGCCAAAUUGGAUAGACUUAGCCCAAGUCGUAUGGGCCUCUAGUAUUUAAUUGGGUCAAACUUAGGUCAGCCCAACCUUUUUAAACAUAAACUCAUAGCUGAAUAUUUAUCAACUAGAUAAAUAACUAAAUAAAUACUUGAAAAAUUGUAAUAGAUGACUAUUUUAGCAAUAAUAAUUAAGGAUAUAUCAACAUUUUAUAAAAACUACAAAUAUAACAAAACUAUCACUGAUGGACUUGUAUCAUUGAUAUACUUCAUAUGAUAUAUCAGUGAUAGACCAAUAUUUGUAACAUGGUCUAUCAGUGAUAGAUUUAUAUCAUUGAUAGAUUUUGACAAAUUUUGCUAUAUUUGCAAUUUUUUUAAAAUUGUGUUAUAUACUUAAUUAAUUUGAAUUUAAUUGUCAAAUUUGCAACUAUCCCUAAAUACUUUAGGUUGGAUAAAUAGCAAAAUAAAUAGAUAGUUAUAUAAAAAAAAUUAAAUUAAUUAAAUAUGAAUAGACAAAAAUAAUCCACUUAAAAUAAAAACCCAAUAUUCAAAUAAAGUUCCACGAAAAUUUAAAACCCACUCAAAUACAUUAUAAUAAAGUGAUUAUUGUAUCCAUCAAACCUCAAAUCAACCAUAAUUGAUAGAUUAGAAACUUAAUACACAACUCGAGAUUCUCUCUCUUCGUGCGUGAACUGAGAACCACCGAGAAGAAACCAUCACUCUUCUUUUUUCUCUUUAAACUACGAUAGAAAGUAUUUAUUACGACCGUUAUAUAUAUACAUUCCAAAUUUGAAGGGAGGAAAAAAAAUGUCACAAAAGGUAAAAAUCUGUGUUUUUGGCCGAAAAAGAUGGAAUUUUUUAAUUUUCACUUUUCGCGACAAUUAUUUGUUGUCAUUAAAAAUACAAAAAAUAAUUUAUUUAAUUUAUUAAAAUAAAAUUCAUUUUUAAAUGAGAAUUUAUUAAAAUCAUAUUUUUCUCCAAUUUUAAAACCCUCACGGCUCACGCAAAUGAAUUUACCAAACCCUUACGUGAUUCUGACCAUCUUCGACCAUCAAUUUAUGUUUGUCACUGCCACUGCCCCCUCGUGCCCGUCUCUUCACUCCAAAGCCGCCUCAACCUCUUCACGAGCCAUCUUUUCUCAUAUAUUUUUUUACUAAUGUCUACGAGCUCGUUCAAGCAAGCUAAGAGCAUGAGUUUGGUAUAUUCUUGAGCUUUCUAUGGAAUUUUGUAUUUUUAUCAUCUCUUUUUAAAAUCAAAAUCAUAUUUGUUUUGUUCUUUUUUUUUAAAAAAAAAAAAGACAUGUUGAGAUAUCCCGAUUAGAGAAAAAUACCCAAACAUAAUUUCAGUAAGAUUUAUGACUUUUCUUGUUUGUUCUUCUAUAUUCAAUUUUGAUUUUCUUCAUUUUUGUUUACUGUAUUUAGGAUUGAUUGACCUUAACUGCAUAAUCUUUUAGUAUGCAUGAUUGUAUUCUUGAGCGAUUAUGUGUCAUGUUGUUGAUGACUUCAUAAACGAUGAUGACAAACAAUUAUAUGUUCAAAGCGGAUAAAGCAAUGGCGAAUAAUAAUAAUGCUGAAUCACUUAUUAAUAUAUAUUUUGUUUUUAUAUAUUCAUAUCAAGUACUGUCAUAUGUUUAAUUAAUUUUAGUUUAUAUGUCCUCAGGUACUACCAUGUCUAAUUCCCAUGUCGGUUUCGAUGAGAGUGAUUGUUUUUUUUUUUUAUUUUAACGUUGAAUAGUUUAAUAAUGUAGGAGGCAUGUCUUAGUGGGUGACACAUUAGGUUAGUCAAAGUUACAUAAACAAUUAACUGCAUAAGCCUAAAGUUUUGUUUAGGAAAUUAUUUUGUUUUCAUAUAUAGCUCUCAACUUACUGCUCGCACUCCUAGAAGACAGGAGCACUAGAGGAACCUGGAGUUGGAACAAUAUGUUGCACAACAUGUAGAGAUCCUCAUAUUGACCGUUCUAGGAUAGGAUAAGUCGAUCUCAACAUACGCUAUUCGCUUCAGCUGUGCCAUCGAUGUGGUAAAGCAGUACACUUUUUCAAGUCGCUUUCUUAAGUGGACUGACGUUACACCUGAAUACAUUGACCUCAUGAAGGGCGCUUUACGGGUAAGCUACCUACCUAUAUAUUUAGAAUCCUAACCUGUACAUAUAUGUUACCUAUGUAUAUAUAUAUAUAAUUCAAAUUUGUGUGUAAUUUUCUUUUGUAGCAAUGGUUCAUGUUGGAUUUCACAGAUCCAAAACUUACUCGGUUCGUUGAGCAUCAAAUACUUACCAUCUGGAAGGAGUUUAGGGGACAAAACCACCACCAUUUAAAGAAGUUUAGUGAUUCUGAACAGGCACGUGCUAACCCACCCCCAGAUUGAAGAAUAGUGUGGAAGAUUUGCACUUUUUAUGUGACCACUACCUUACUUGACAAUUUAAGGUGAUUUAGAACUUUUUUUAAUAUUCUCAAACGAUAGUUCUUUUUUUUUUUUUUAUGUAAUAUUUUGAUUAUUUACAUGUAGGAGCUAUCAAUGAUGAACAUGGUUGCUAAAGCGAAGUAGUCCUACAACCACAGUAGUAGUGCUAAGUCAUUUCUACAACAAGCAUGACCUCAUUGAACAACGGGUCAUCUAGUCUACCAUGUGGAGUAGCUCAAGGAAACACACGCUCGAGGUGGCCAGUUCAUUUCAUCAGCGGUUACCGAUGCUCAUGUAAGUUUUUGUAAUGCUUUUGUCUUAUUUUGUACAUACAUUUAAUUUACACGUUUUACUUCAUUAAUGAAAAUUUUAUUCUAGGGUCAGAUGUUGGAACUCCAGUCUUAUUCCACCCUAGAGGUUUCUCAACCACUUGUUGGGAAUGAGAUAUCUGUGAUAGUCUUAGGUAGACGAUCGGACUACUCAAAAGGUUUUAGUUGGGGUCCCAGGCCAAAGUCCCAACACGCUGCUAGUAGUUCUUCGUCUACAUUCCACGAGCGAGAGAUGCACGUUAGGGAGGUUAUCAAGCUAAAAGCUCAUCUUCAGGAAGUAGAAGAAGAAAGUAACCAGAGGCAUGAAGAAAGUGCUCGACAGAUCGAAGAAAUGAAGAAGAUGAUUGAAGAACUCACUCGGGCUACAAGAUCAGGACCUUGAUUUCUUCAUUGAUGUACGUAAUUUUCAACUUUUACAUUCUUUAAUUUCUAAUUUGGGUGAUAUAUAUUAAUUAAACUUAAUUUUGUGUCAUUGUAGGUUCAAAGGCAUGGGAGGACUGCAUCUGCACUACUUAGAUUAUGUUUUUAGUUAUUUUGUUUUAAGUUUAGGUUAUUCAUGUACUUUUUCGAACUACAAGCAUGUACUUUUUUGUAUAUUUGAAUUAAUUUUAAUAUAAAUUAGAUUUGAUAUUUUAUUAAUUUUGUGUUACAUGUUUUCCUCUUUUAGAAUUUGAAACAAUUUAAAUCGAAUUUGAUCCCAAUAGCAACAAAAACAAUUAAAUAAUAAAAAAAUAAUCACGACGCACUAGAUGCAUCGAGAAUAGACGCAACGACGCGGUAUCGUUCCACGCUAUGUCGACGUUGCGUCGAUCGUCCAUUUAAGUCGACGUACACGACGACGUCGUCAAUACCAUAUUGUUGACAUGUUGACCAAACGUCGACAAAACACUAUUGUCGUCUUCCUAACCUGAUGUCGGCAUUAGCUUAUUGUCAACGUGUUGAUCUAGUCGGUGAAUUAUGCGUUGGUCAAAACCAUAUGUCAACACUGUCUCAUUUGAGUGUCGACAUUUGCUCUUACGACACGACACUCACAACACGUGCACCGACAUGCAUUUCUGCAUCAACGUAGACACUGUGAACAUAUCUUUUAUUUUUAACAGCGCCUACUGAGCCAACAAACUUGGGCUACUCUCACUUAUGCAAAUCUAAAGCUAAUCUCGAAUAACUAGGAGUUCAUAGUUAGCUUCAGAUUUAGCUUCAGAUUAAGAUCGAGUUACCUAGGUCAUCAAACUUGAAAUAGUCAAUAAACAAUAAAUAUGGCAUUAUAAAGUAAAAGUCAUUAUGUCGUGGUCUGGUCUUAUACAAACUCAUUGUAGGAUGCUUCCGCUCCCUCUCUACAUAAACGAUUUAAGAUCACAUCGUUUUGUAUCAAAUACAUAGUAGGUUGCAUCCAAGUUGUCUGCAAAAUAAGAUGACCAACAUUAUUUCUAUACUAUGGAUCAUUUAGGCUAUUUUACUCAAACUUGGUCUACUUUUACGUUAAUACAUAAAGUUCAAGUGUUCAUAUUAUAAUUAUGGGAUCUCAGUUUAUUGGAUUCAAGGUUAUAAUGACCAAAUUACUUAUUCAACAACUUUAUUAAAUAAUAUCUCUAUAACUACUUUAUUUUGCAAAAUAUACAAUGUUCCACGUUUACAAACCACACGAGUUUUUAGUACAUAAAAUCCAACAAUAUUUUCAAAAAUAGAUUCAUAUCCAUUAUAAUAAUUUAUGAAAAGGUUAUAUUGGAAUGAGUUGGUCAACUGUUAACCUUAAGUUGAUCUUUGAUCGAGAUUGGAGUGAGCUCGGAUCAGCCUUUGAGUUUUGGAUCCAAAUAUGAGAUGGAAGUGGUAUAAUAAACUUUUAUGCUCGAAAUCAAUGUAGUACAAUUACGAACUUUAUCUUAGUUGAGCUAUGUUUGUGUUUGAUAAGAUUUUACUUUAAAAAUUGAGUGUAAGUACAUACAAUCCUUUAGAAACAAAAUGUGUAGUGUUUCAAUUAACCUACUUUAUAUACAGAGAGAAAGAAACCAUGCGGUUGAUGAAUUUGUGCUACAUUCAUUCAUAUAUGUGUGAUGAACCCUUAGAAUCAACCACAAACCUAUAUGAUAAGACAAGUGAAUUCAUAUACCAAACAUAAACUCACCUUCUCAAAAUACAUUAUAUUCUUAUCUAAACCAACUAUUAUGUGUGUGCCAAAUACAUGGUAAAGAGUUUACACGACCACAUCUUCGACACGGUCGAGGUUCGCCUUUAUCCAAUCUCUUCUCUAGUUUUGUUUAUGCAUUUUAAGGCAAUUGUUUAGGUUUAAGUGAGGAUCUUGUAGCAAGAGACGGUCUCAUUUGGACAAUUUGGUCUUCACUAACUCCCAUUCUCUUAGCUAAACGCCCUGCCUCAAAGAAUCUCCUUACAGCCUCUCUCAUAUACUGCCUACCUUCUUUCACAUUCAUAUCCUUUCCAAUGGCUUCAGGGUAACUAGUGAAGAUAUUGUCUCCUUUCAUAACUGCAGCCAACUGCAUUAGCUCCUGCUGAAACUCGGUAAGAUUCGCCUUUUCAUUUGCCGGGGUCUCCCUGAUCUUCACCGGUGUUGGGAGUUGUUCUAUAUUGAAAUUGGGUAAACAGAAAUGUAAGUUCAAACUGAUAUAGUUUUCUUGGAUUUGAUCUGUGGUAAUUAAUAUGGUUAAGGAUGUGUUCUGAACUCACCGGGGCAGUCGGUUCUCGGCUCUGUGCGGGUUUGCACAAUGAAUUCGAAGGAUCCGGCCCACUCGUCCCUCUUGGUGAGGAAGGGAGAAGAGAGGUUGAAGAGCUUCUUGACAGUGGCAGGAAUGGAGGAGUGUUCAAACUCGGAGGUUUGGAAAGGUGAUCCUUUAGGGCUAUGGACAACUGCAUCACCAUCACAAACAUUUUGUUAAUUCUUCUCAAAUGAAACUACCAAGUCUUUAGAGCUUUUUCCAUAAUAAUUCGAUAUACAGAAAUAUCUAUUAUCAGUAAACUUAUGAUCUUGCCAUAUUUUCUCCCUUUUACACACGCAUCAAAUUUCAAAAUAGAUUUUAGAUCUUGGUAUGAAGUGGGAAGUAAACAAAAAUAAUGAUAACAAUAACGUUUAAAUAUUAAUAACUUAAGUUCUCUUCCUAAUUAUACUUUUGUUUUAUGUUUUUAGUUUUUGAAAAAUAUGCAUGUUUUCUUACAGUUUAUUACCGUGUGAUUUGUAUCGAUAUUAAGUAAAAAAUUACCUUCUUAACUUGGUUUUUGAAAACAUGGGUAAAAUGUAGAUAUCUAAGGAAGGAACAUUUUGACUUGGUUUAUUUGAUAAGAACAUUAUACCACCAUAUAUAUAUAUACAAUGUUUUAAAAACAUAGUUUUCAAAAAUUCUAAAAGCAUAGUUUUCAAAUUUUGACUUGGAAUCAUGGGUAAAAUGUAGAUAUCAAACCAAAAGAUUUAAGUUUAAUUUUAAAAAACUAAAUUGUUAACCAACAAAACUUUAGUUUUCAGUUUGGUCACACUCUUUUUAUUGAUUUUAUUGGUCUAACUUCAUAAGUCUAUCUCUAAGCCAUAUUUUUAAGUAGUCAUAUUCCUAUUUUCUUACAUAAAAAAUUAACAACUUUUAAAGAAAAUAAAUGGCCACAUGCACCUUUUAGUUUGGAUGCAGACCAGCACUGUAAAUUUUCCAUUAGCUCCUUUCAGUUUUAUUUGAUAAGAACAUUGUACCACUACACACAUAUAUAUAUACACACACAAUGAUGGGAUACUAUCCACUUAAUUAAACGUACAUUUUUGUUGCUUUGUUUUUUGUUUCACUCAAAAAAUAUCAUAAUAGUAGACAAUUGUCCUCACUUAUUUAUAUGUAUACAUACUAUGGUGUAUCUCUUUUAUAUAUCUCUAACCAAACAUGGGAUUUUAUUAGCACUUCAAACAAUUAAAAGUUUUCAAAUAUAAUGUAACCAAAAAAAUGCUUUUCUUAUAAUAACAAAAUUAAGAAUAAGUUGAAACAAUAAUGGUGAUCAAGUUAUUCAUUUAAAUAAAGUUGCUUUUGUAUUUUUUUUAAACUCUUGAAAACAGGUCAAACCAAACCAUCAUAAAUUCAAUCCAAAACAUAUAGUUAGGAAGUAAGACUGGAUAACUGUUUUGAGCAAGAAAAGCAACAAAAAGAGAAGUUGGAAAAACAAAUGGGCAUUGUACUUAGUCCCUUUCUAAAAAAUAAAAUCUGCUACCUUUUUAUUGCAAGUUGUUAUUGGUUACAGAAAAAGCAGUGGGAAAACUAGAAACUAUAUGAUUUGAUUUUUGAAAGUCUACAUCUCAAUCUUCUUUUUUAUUAUGUAGAGCCAUGGCUCACUCCCAUAUUCUCACAAAAAGCCAAAUCUUAGCUGUGAUGCAAUUUUCCUUCCUACUAUACAUAAAAUCAAAAUAACUAAUGUAUUUUCUACCCUACAAGUUUUUAUUACCUUUUAGGAUAAUACAUUAAAUUGUGUGUUCUCUGUAUUUGUUUCAUUGUUUGUGUAUUUUCUAUUGGUUUAAUAUAUAAUUUUCUUGAGUUUUUUUUCUUUUCUUUUCUUUUCUUUUUUUUAUUGUAUAUUUAGAAUGUUCUGUAAAUUUAGAUUUUACUACAAUUGUUUGUUUAUUUAUUGGUUUAAUAUAUAAUUUCCCUUUUUUCUAUUAUAUAUCUAGAAUAUUCAGUUCGGUGAAAAUAUAUAUAUACACACAUGUGUACAUAUAUGAGUUUGCCAGCAAAAGUAUAGGUUUUUGUUUUUUUUAAUUUGUGUAUCCUUUUACUUCCUACCAUUUUCCAUAUUAAGCUCAUAUACUUAAUUACUUCUAAAUAUUUAAUUAAAGUAUUUAUACAUAUACCAAAACCAAAGUUAAAUUUUAUUUUAUUUGUAAAUAUAUUUACUAAUUUUGUUAUUUAAAGCAAUUUCCUCCAACAAAAUUGAUUUUAUUAUUUAAAAUUAAUUUUAAAAACUAUUUUAAAAUUAAAAUAGAUAAAUUUUUAAUUUUUAAAAUUUAUCAAAAGUACCAAAACUCAAAAGAAUUAUAGAAAAUUGGUAGUGUGUAAUCAUUUUUUAAAUAUUAUUUAUUAUUAUUUCUAAAAAAAAUAAUUAUAGUAGAAUUUUUAAAAAUAAUACAUCUUACCAAAUAUUUACAACCUAUAACAAAUUCUAUUGUUGAUAACCAUUGAUAAUUCUAUUGUUGAUAAUCAUUGAUAUGGUGUAAUGAUAGAAGUCAUCAAUGAUAAAAAAUCCAAACUAUCACUCUAAAAUUUUGUUUAAUUUAUUUUUCUAUUUUAAAAAAUAUUCUAGAAUGUAAUAAAAUAUUUUUUAGAAAAAACUAAGAGGUGUACAAGUAAAAAGAAUUAGCAUAGAAUGAACGAUGUAUCACCUUUUAAAUAUUUGUUUAAUCGUUAUUAAUGUGUUAAUAAGACAUAUAACCAAAUUUUCACUCCCAAUGUUCAACUAGAAAAUCAAUAAUAACAUUAAAGAAAGUACUUUAAUCCCAAGGGAAAAUUCAAAUCCAUUAGAAAACAAAAUGACAAGCAAAAUAAAUAUUCGAAAAUAAACAAAGCAUAUGAGAGCUAUGAUAAUUAAAUAAAUAAAUAAACAAGAAAUUUAACCAAAAACAUAAUUUAAAUUCCAAAAAUAUUAUAAAACAGAAAUUAUAAAUAAUAAACAAAAAAUGACAAAAAGAACAAAUAAAGAAGAGGAAGAAGAUAAAAGAAUACAUACCAGUGCCCUUCUCUAUCCACGGUGAGAUCAUGAUGGUCGGAACUCGAACUCCGAGCCGAUUAAAUCCAAACAAAAACGGCUCCGGUCCGACGAUUCCGUCGGGACUAGGUACACCGGUGACAGGCGUUGGAACGUGAUCGAAAAAUCCCCCGUGCUCAUCAUAAGUGAUGAUGAACAGAGUUUCAUUCCACUGCGGCGACGAUCUAAGCGUCUCGUAAACCUCCUUAAUGAACAUCUGUCCUUGAUAUACAUCGUGCGACGGAUGAUCGUCGUUCGCCGGCUCCAGCGGCAAAUCUAUAUACCGUUGCUCCACCACCACGUAGUUCGGCAGUUUCCCCUGCUUUGCAUCCUUCUUGAAGUUCAGACCGUAGUCGUGAAAUUUAUUCACGUAUUUCAGUUUCCGUAGAUUCCGAUAGAACAGCGUCGCUGGAAUGUUCUGGUAAUAGAUUCCAAAUGACAUUCCAGCAUCGUCGAGAUUCUCGAAGAUCGUUCGCUGAGGAUAGCCUUUAGCAAGAAGUGCCGGAAUGUUACUGGUAGCUCCAGCGGAGGUCGCUGAAUGAACAUAAAGGCGAUUCGGUUGCGUGGAGGCCGGUACAGACGCAAACCACCUGUAAAAUCAAUUCGCACAUUCGGAUUCUAGAAUUUUAAAAUCCUUCAAAUAGGAUCAUAGAAUUCCAGAUCUGGAAGAAAUUAGAACAAAAAAUCAAUGAAUCACCUGUCGAAAACGGCGAACUCGGAGACGAGAGUUUUGUAGACAGCGACCUUAUCUGGGAGGAAUCCGUUCAUGACAUCGCCAGACAUGGCGGAGGUAUUAUCCAUGGAGAAAGCCUGUUGAGCGAAACCGUUCAUAGGAGGAGGAUUAGCGGAGGUGUUGUCGGAACCGAAAAUCUGUUCACGAAUGGCUUGAAAGGAGUGGCCAGGGUCGGGGUCGACAUAGUGAGACUGGUCUUGGAAGAAGAAGCGCUUGGAGUUGGGAUCGGUGGUGGAGAGGAGGUUGGAUUCAGAGCCAUCGACGCCGUUGAUUUGAGGAUUAAGUUUUUUCAUCCAGCCAAGCAUGUGGUCGAAGGAGCGAUUCUCCAUGACAAGAACGACAAUGGUGGUGAUUGGAGAGGCAUGGAGGAAGGGAGUGAUGAUGAAGAAGAAGAAGAAGAAGAAGGGAAUGGAUUUGGGAGCCAUUGAAGGAGUUGAUGAAAUGAAGAAUACCGUGAGUUUGUUUGUAUUUAUAAAGUGAGGGGGCAGAUGGAUGUGUGGGGCAAUUUGUUAAGUGUCGUUUUGAUUCUGUGUAAGUUUUGGCAGCUGCUUCAACCUUUUACAUUCUCUCUCUUUCUCUCUAUUCAUUGUAUUUCGGUAAUGUUUCCAUUCAUUUUACAUUCUUUUCUUAAAAAAGAAUAGAAAAAUUAUUUCAUACCCUACAUCUCUUCAAAAUAUUUAGGAAUAAAACUAAAAUUUUACCAUCUAUCAAUUUAGUCCCUUUAGUAAACAUUCAUACCAAUCUCACACGAAUAUAAGUCGGUUGGCCGGUUUGGUCAUUAUAAAAAGUUGAAAUUUACCAAUUUAAAAUUUUCUCAAAUCAACACUGACCGACACGUUUCCUUUUUCAACCAACCAACAUUAGUUCAGUCAAUGGACUCAUUUUUUCGAUUUAUCAUCAUCAUGAUUAAUAGACACGCAUAAACUUCUAUCGCUGUCUAUCUUGAUACAUUUAGAUAAUGAUUGUAUAUUUUAUUAUAUUUCGUACAUAUUUUACUUCAUUUUGCUACAUUUGAAAAUAGUAAUGAACUAUUUUAAAAUAAAUAAAUCUUUUGUCUUCAAAUAGCUUUACAAAUAUUUUAUGUGUAUUUUAAACAAAAUUGUUUAUAUAGAAAUGACUUAUUUAAAAAAUAAUUUUCUAAAUCAUAAUUAUGCUCUAACAUACAUACUUUUUUUUGUAUGAGGGUCAAAUCUUCAUACUAGGGCUAUGCAAAAAAUAGUAGAAAAUUGAAUCGAUAGACAAAUUAAAUCGAAACUGAAUGCAUAUGGUUCAAUUCGAUUUGUGUUAAAUUGAAACUGCUUCUUAUGCGAUUCGAUUCGGUUUAAGAUAUUAAAUUGGUUCUAAAACCGAAUUGAACUACUUUAUUUUUAAAAAAACAAAAUAUAUAAGUAUAACUUAACUUAGGGUAAACAAUACUCGAAAACGUAGAACUCGAACGACACUCAUAAAGCAUAGGGAGACGAAGACGACAUCCUUUGCCAUGAAAACCCUUCGACUCAAUAUCAACUCCAACAAUGACCUUCACUCUGACCCUUAUUGUGUGAAGUGAGGCAAUGGUAAACCUCUCAAAAUUCGGCAACUCUAGCAACUAUUGUUGCAAUGCCCUUCAAACCAUCUUAACAACCUUCACUCCGACAAUGGUAAGUCUCAAACUCUUUGUCACAUGUCGCCCCGCAUGCAUCCUUAACCCUGCAAUAUGAGAUAGAACGCGACUAGCAACUUUGAACUUUAAACAAAUAAGCACUAGAAAACCUAACUUAAGCAACUUAACCAUAAUAAUUUUAAUAUCGCAAACUAUUUCUCUUAUUAACUUAAAAUCAUCCAUUCUACAAAUUUUACUUUAAAGUACAAGCAUGCUUAAUACAAGAACUUAACAAAGAAAUUCUAAACACAUUCACAACAUUCAACCUUCAACCUUCAACAGCCUAGCUUGCUCACCUUCUUUAACCCAAACUUGGCCUCAACACCUAAAUCUUAGGGAAGGGGAAGCUUAGAACAUAAGGUCAAUGACUUAGUGAGUGAUAUAUUUGAAAAUAUUUUUGGGAAAAUAUAAUACAAUCACAUAAAUAUAGUUUUCGUUUCACAAACGCAGAUUCAAUGCCUCAAACCAAUAAACAUAAAUCACAUAAACACACAUUAGUUUUUCACUAUUCCUUUCGCCAAGAACAUGAAUCAUCCUCAUGCGUAGAAUACUAUGAGGUCUCUUUCAUCAUCAACAUCCUUGAGAAUUUUCUAGUUCAUUUCUUGUUGUUCGGGCCGCUAAGCUCAAUACACUCCUUUUAUGUAUUGACAAACUUCACUCCAACAUGCAAUUCUUUUCACCUGGUUGUCUUUACUUCUUAUGUGCACAUAAUAGCUAGAUCAUUUAUAGGAAUAUGACUAAUGGUUUACUCUUAAUCAAAGCAUACAAUACAAUCAAUAAAACAUGAACUUUAACUCUAAAACAUAAUACUAAAACUUUUUUCAUAAAACAUGCUUUACAGAAAUUGAUUCUCAACAUAAAUAUGUAAAAAACGAGAGCGUGCUUUCCGUUAUCCAAAAUAUAACAUGUUUCAAUACUAAAGAAAAAACUUUGAAAAACUUUUUUUUUCUUUGAAAAUCCACUCACAGAAUUAAUUAUUUUUUCCAUUAGGUAGAUCUAUUAAUUCUUUUUUCCUUUAGGUAGAUCUCUCAAUCCUCUUUUUGCUUAGAACUCCUUGAAACCUCAAAAGCUUCUUGUCAGCAAGCUUCUUUCUUCUACAGUAGAGUAAUUCUAAUGAUUUCGUUUGCUUAAUCCUUCUUCUAUCGUCCUUUCUCCCUUAUUUAAUUUAAUUUCCAAAAUAGCUUAGUCAUCCUUAAGUUCUUAAAACUUGUCACCUCCUGCUUCUUACAAUUUUAAGUCCUUUGCAUGUUUAAACAUUUGGAUUUCAACUCUAUCGAACAUUUAACUCUUAAUGAUCCUGAGCGGAAGUGGCUUGAGAUCACCUCGAGACCUUCCACUUUUCCCUUUUACCUUCAAUUUCUGUCGAACUCGUGUUCGAGAUUGUUCGAGAUCUUCUUAUACUUGCUUCUCCACCCCAAAUUGCAAUGAACAAGCACUGAGAUUGCCUCGAGAUGAACCUUCUAUCUUCAAUUACUUUUCUACUUCCAGUCCCAUCUAAGUAAUACACGAGAUGGCUCGAGACCCAACUCUAAAACCCUUCUAUUUUUUACCUUGGUAGUACUGCACCUAGAUGCCCUCAUUAUAGCACUAGAAUUUGCUCUCUACUUUCUAUCUUGCUCGUGAUCACUCAAGGUUGUCUUGAGAUUUCAUUUCUCUUUUAGGCUCGGGUCCCACACCAACUAUGAAAAUAAGGGUUUGAAAUUGGUUUAAACCCUUAUUUUGUAAAUCUCAAACCCUUAUUUCCAUGAUUCACUUUGGCAACGGCGCAACUACUUAUAUUGGUUUUAAAUUGAAAAAUCAUGUUUCAAUUCUUAUAUUGGUUUUAAAAUAUUUAUGUUGUAGGCACUAGGCAAAAUGUCAACAAGCUUGACCAAUAACGAUGGUAACACUAAAACAAACAUAAGGAGCAAAAGCAACAAUUGUUCUAGUGUAAACAAAAUUUGACAAAAUUCCUACACUUCAUAGGAAAAAUCAAGUGUAAAAAAUUGUCUUUUAGUAGUUUUGUUUUAGGGUUUAAGCUCACGUAUAACUUAGCACCUACCACAAUAACAACCUCCAUAUGAUCCGCUUCUAUAUACAGAUAGCACACCCACCAUGAAUUAAGCUAGGCCCAAAGCCAAAUCACAAUCCUCCAUCCAUAUCCUCACCUAGGUUCAGGAUCUCGAAUCUCCAGUCACGACUUCUUUCAACUCUGAAACCCCCUAACAACCAUAGGUAACGCUACGAAAAAAAUUCACAUAGCCUUAGGAAAAUCACAACAUUAUUUCAUAAAAAUCACAUGUUUAAAGUUUAAAACUCAACGUGGUUAGAAACACAUUUUCAAAUCAUUUGCGAUCCUUAGCCAUCAACACAUAUUUUUAUAAUAACAUUUCAUUCAAACCAUCCAAGUUUAAUGACAGAUCAAUGAGUAUUAUUCUAAACCAGUUGUCAUCUAAAACAUGACUAAUAAAUUUAGGUUCAACAAUAAUUUCAAAAUAUAAGAGUUCAUGAAAACCGAAAACCAUAUUUGAAAACAUUUCUAACACUUAGUUUAUAAAACAAUCAUGGUGUACUAUAAUAGCAUAUAUAAAUUUAUAAUAAAAAUACUUGAAAAUAAACCACACAUUAUCAAUGACUCGAUCCACCGGUGAUAUACGCUUUCCCCACUUCAAUUUGGCCUGGAGCAAAGAUUAAAGUCUAUUAGUUAUUUUCACAAAGCAAGACAACACAACAAUCUCCAAAUCACUUCAUAAGGUAAAACUCAAACUAUUUAAUGUGUUUAAAGUCCUUGAAUUCUCAAUUCGCCUUAGACUAGAAUAGACUCUUCGCCUAUGAACCCUUAAACUAGAAAUCUAGAUAAAACUCAACGAGUCUUUUAUGUAAAUACAUUUUUAUCCUCAUUAUUGAUGAUGUUUGGGAUUUAUAUCCAUUAUAUCAACAAGUCAAUUAACCUUAAAUACUUCGUAAGAUUCCCUAAAUCAUUUAUGUUUCAAACAUGUAAAAACAACACCCAACAACCUCCAAAGCUAGAAGAAAGUCUCCUCUUGACCUCUAACAUUCAACUUUAGGACCCAAGUAAUAUGAGUAAUUUAAUCUUAACAAUUAAAAUCAAUGGGCAUUUAAGAACUCGAAGAAAACUCACUUAAAUUACUCCAACACUUACCAAGCACUUAGCAAAGUACCAUUAACUUCAAUGAAAAACCCUCUAACGACCUUCAACUAUCGAAUCCUAACAUCCAAAAACCAUGGGUACUCAAGACCCGCUAAAUAAAGCUUAGAAUCUUACCCAAGUGGUGCGAAAAUGCCCAAUUCCAAGCUUCCUCAAGGCUAGACAGCGACUCAAACUCUUCUAAAACCCAAACCUAGCAUCAAAAUUAUGGGUAUUAUGAAAAUUAAGUCAAAACUUUAUGGGUAGCCAAAACUCUUCAAGAAAUCCAACUAAAAAAAAUACCUCAAAUCCACAAUAGCUCCAACAAAAGAGAUCAAGCUUCAUAGGCAACCAAUCACAACACAUAAUAGGGCUCAAUGUCGAGCUCAACUAUCAAUGGUAAAAAAUCCAAACAACGAUGAAGAAGGUGCAAUGGCUCGAUGCUCGGAGAUCUGGCACAACUGAAUGACAUGAGUUUGAUGGUGCGAUGCACGGUGGUUGAAGUCAACGAGUUGAGUGGAGCAGGUUGGUCAAGUACAAAAUAAAGAGGAGUCAUAUGACUAGAGCUUUGACUGGCGAAGAUUGGUUGUUCGGGGAAGAGAUGCAUCACGCAUAGUAGAUUUUGUGAGGGGACACGUGCGUGGAGAAAGAGGGGAAGACGAAUCCAGAAUUCCACUUUUUUCUUGUAAAGAAAAACAUAAAAUAAUUUUUAUGCCCUCAACUCAAAACCAAACUUCAACUUGACCAUUUUCUUAGUUUUAAUUUUCAAAUCAUUACCAAAAUAAAAUUGAUUAUAAAAUUUUCUCAAAAAAAGAUAUAACCCAUAAAGAAUUUACACUUGGAUUUUAAACUUGUUUUUUAUAACUUAGAGAAUAUUGAUAUACAUAAAAGGAGAAUGGAAUGAGGGCUUACAUGCUAGGGCAUAUCUCAUACUUUUUUGCUCGAGUUGAAGGACAAAGUGUUUUUUAGAUAGAACUCACGCCAACUCGGGAAAGUUUCCAAGCAAGACUAGAAAUAGAGAAUGAUAUAUAAGGGUUCUCAGGAAACCUCGAGGUCGAGUCCGACCGAGAUUAAGAGAGAUAUCAAAUGGUUAUCGGGGCUAUAUCGGACUGUGUUUCGAGACUAGAGAUAAAGGAGUUCUUUUAAAGGUUUCUUGAAGUGAUCUUGGGCCAAUUACAGUUGAUUGCAUUGAAAAAUAAGAGUUCGAUGGAGUGAUCUUGCUCAUUUAACAACAUUAAGAAGUAUAAGUAUUAAAUGGCAAGACAUCUCUCGAUGUCGUGUGGACUGCACCGAAAGUUUAAAAUUGUCGAUGUCAUCCAUACGAUGUUGGGAGAUGUCUAAGAUCUCCGGACACUGCAUGUUGUGUGUCGGGAGAUUCUCUUCAGACACGUUUCUUUCGACCUCAACUCCAACGAGCGUUUAUGCGUCAAGAGAUCCUUUUUCGUAUAACUCUCGACGCUUUUUCAUAUAAUUUCUUACGCUUUUGUGCAUUGGGAGAUUCCAUUUUUCUUGUAGUGACUUUUGGUUCCUAAAUUUUUAUAGAAGUAACAAUUUAGUCCUUAAAGGGGCAUUUGGAGCAAAAUCUAUGAAAGACUAGAAUAACCCCUUCUUGCUACAAUAAAUAUUAUUUAGAAAUCCUCAAUUAGGCUAUAUACAGUAAAACACUAUUUCAAAAUUUCCAAUUUACUAUGUUUUUUUCUUUUUACACAAGUCAGGUUGGAUCGAGUUAAAGAUAAAUUAUGGACCAAUCCAAAGUCAUCACAAAAAAUUGAACCCUAUUAGUUCAAUAUGCAAGGGUCAACCCAAUCCAACCAAACCCAUAAUUUACAGGUUGAGUCGAUUAUGUCACUAGGUUGGUUUUUUUUUUUAUAAUUUAGACUAUUUUAUCAUUCUUUCCUUUUUUACAUUAAAAGUUGAAUUUUUACAUUGAACAAAAUAUCAUAAAUGACCUAAAUAUGUUACAUCAAUUUUUUAAAAAAUUAUAAUCAAACAAACAAGUAAAUUUCAAGUGUUUACCCUUAAAUACAUAAAAACACUUUAAACCUAAGUUUAUGUAAAAUUCAAGUCUCCAUUCAAAUUCAUUCAAAAUAUAAAUAAAAAGUAUUUAAAAACAAUUACAUGCAAAGUUUAAGUCUACAUUCAAAUCCAUUUAAUAUAUAAUAAUAAUAAAUUUGGAUUGGGUUAGGUUGACUAUGUUACUAAAUCCUAUAACUCAACCCAAUUCGAAAUUUUUAGAAAAAAAAAUUUCAACCCAAUCCAACACUUACAGUUUGGGUUGGGUAAUUCGACUUGGUCGAAUUACCUCGUUUUUUUAACGAUCCAACUUUUUUCGUUACGGUUUUUACUAUUUUAUAUUUAUCAUUUUUUUUUCGUUCACUGUUUACUAUUUUCUUCUCAAACUAAAAUAAUUUACUACUCAAGCAGAUCAUGUUAUAACUCAAUUAUAAUAACUAAGACUAUAAUAACCCACUUAUUGGCUCCAAACAUCCUUUAAAUCUUAAUAUAAAUAACAAUUUAUUCCCUACACUUUGAAAUUUAUAAGAAUUUAGUUCUUAUCAUAAAAAAAAAAUCUUUUUUCAAAAUUAAGUGUAAACUUUUAUUAUGUAACAACUUAAUCUUUAUAGUUUAACCCAAACAACGGUAACAAACUUAACUGCUUCCCAAUUGGUUGGUUGAUCGUCUCACAAACAAAAAUUGAUUCAAUAUUGAUAAUAUCAUUUAUAACGAAAACUAAAUUAUCACAAUCAUAAAAUAUAUAUAGAUUAAAUUGUUAGCUAUAAACUUAAAAGAGGUAAAGUCUAUCAAAAUUGAUACCUAUAGAAGUGUGUUAUUAAUACAAUCUAACAUUUUAUUAUAUUCGGUAAAUAUUGUAUUUUUUCUUACUUCCUAAUAAUUAUUUAAAAAUUCAACUAAUAAUAAUUUUGAUAUUGUUGUGAUCAGUUAAUUCCGAGCUGUCAGAAACAGGUCUGACAACGUCAGAUGCAUAGGAAAAAAAAUUGAAGUCAGGUUUCCCGAAAAGCAAAGCUAAUGCGUGAGAGAAACCAAUAAGUUAAAAUAAGUUUGUAAUAAAAAGAAGAACAAAUUAGUCUCUCACUGCCUUCCUCAAUUCUCCAAUUCCACUUGUUUCAUGCAUCAAACUUUGAAUAGUAAAAAGUUGCGUAAUACAAAAUUUAGACCCCAUGUUUAUCUCCGGUAAACAUUAAUAAAUUAGUAUGUACUCCCCUUCCUAUUUUGCUUCCAAUAUAUUGAAUGCCCAUUAUGAUAUGUCCAUAUUUUCUAAACUCAAAUUUAGCAGGUUUAAGUAUGGUAAGCAUAAAUCUUCCAUAAAUUUGGAUAUUCUUUGUUUGAACCUUUGCAAUUUUUGUUUGAAAGUAGAUGGAAACCAAGAUUUUCUCUUUUUGAGACAUUUUUAAACAUGUUAGACUUGGUUAGUUUCAACUUUAGUGCUCUACCCAAAAACAAGAAUUUUGAAUCCCUUCUCUUCAACCCCACUUCUACGACUUAAAAUCGAAAAGAAAGCACAUACAAACAAAAGUAUCUCCUUUCGUAUAUUAUUUUAUUUAAUGGUUUAAGAAAAAAUAUACUAUUUUCAUCGUUCUAAUUUAGAAAGAAAGAUAGGUUAUCUAGUAAUAUGUUUACCAUAUAUUUUGAAAAUAUAUCAACAUAUUAUAUGUUCUUUAUAUGAAAAUGCAGUGAGUCCUAUCUUGUUCGUACUCAAACUUCAAACUCAUAUGACCAAGUCUCAUAUGUCAUAACUUAAUCAUAUUUUCGUAAACGAUAGAUGAUGCAACAAAAGUAUAACAUAUUAUUGUGGAACCUAAUAGAAAGUUUAAUGUUCCACGUUUUGGUAUCUCUUAGAGCCACCUUAAAACCCUUGUAAACAUGCAUAGCACCAUCUUUAUCUUUGAAACUGGAACCCUUAUGAUCGAGCACAUUAAAAGAUAUUAGGCUCUACAUCAUUAGUGGAAUAUGUCUAACCUUGUUUAAAUUGUAAAAGACACACCAUCAUAUGUUUUCAUCUGAAUGAAAAAAUUUUACCUAUCAUGUACAUAUUACCGUUAGCAAUACUAACAUUCCCUUUGUCAAUUUGUUAAUACAUUCAAAUUCACUUUUUGUUCAUACACAUAUGGUAAGAUGCCUCAAUUAAAUUCAAGAACCCACAUGUUAUCAUAAUGUGAAUGUUCAAUCACAACUGAGGCUACAUCUCU
rnacentral:lncRNA from 1 species